AUCUAUUUACCUUAUAUAUGAAGUUAUACAAUCCAAGAAGACGAGAGCUGAUUUAAUGAUCCUUUAUAUCCCUAUCGAAAGGGUAAUUUAUUUCAUGAGAUUUGGGCAGAUCAUAAUGGAUUAAAGUUUGCUCAGUGAAUGGAUUCAUGCUCUAAAUAUGAAAGGAUUGUUCAACCUUGAUAGAGGUUUUAUUGUUGAGGCAGUUAUAACGAGCGUUAUGAGUAGUGCUAUAAGCAGAGUCCAUUUCUAUCUAGUACCACUCAGCCUCAUAACUUGCCUUAUAUAGAGUUGGCAAGUUUUGUUAACAAAACCUUUAGGCUAUGAUAUUUUUUGAUUAUGUAAAUGUGUGUAAGCCCAUAUAUGAUAUCCAAACCUAUUAUAGGAACACACCUUGAAGAUUGGUUUGGAUUGAAUCAAACAAAUCGACUUUUCUAAUUUUGAGAUUGGAUUGAUUCAGGUAACUUGGUAACAUAUCCUGAAGAUUUGAACAUCUAUCUUAUACUUAUUAUAGAUCAUUUAUAUGCUAAUUAUUCUUUUGUUUAAUUGGGAAGAUCGAUUGUAAUUGAUAUAAUAUGCUAGCAAGUCUUGCUUUCUUAUAAAUCAAGGAGGCUUGUAUACGUGAUGUAUUAAUCUGGUAGCACUUAUCCUUGUUCAUUGAGAAAUGUUUCUUAUGAGUGCAUUAUGUGCAAAAAAAAAGUGUAACUUGCUUUUUUGCCCUAAGUUUUCAGGGGGAAACUUAGAGGAGAGUGAUGUAGCUCUUAAGUUCAAAACUAAGGAGUUUAAUUUGGAGAUUGUUAGAUGUUGUAAUCACUUAUUGUAUAUGUUGCUAAGAUAGUAGAUUAUAUUGUUGGGUAAGACCCUGUAGAUGUGGGAAAAUUGAAUUGUGUAAACAUAUCAUGUGCUAAUUGUUUUUCAACCUUGUUCAUCACCAAUGCUUGAAGCAGUUGACACUGCCCUUAACUCUGCUUCUGGCACUACGUGUAUUUUCUUGCAAGUAGCAUUUUAAAACUUCCAGUGUAAAAGAAGUAGAGUGAAAAAAGUCACUCUCAGAUUAAGCAAGCACCAAAAUUUCAUUGAUAGAACACUUUCUAUCUUCCCCUUUGUUCAUUAGGCUGGCCAUCUUUCAACAAAAAUUGGGUGUAGUGAAAGAGAGAUGAAAACAGUUACAUUGACAAUUUUUUUUGUAAUUUUAUUAAAUUUUAAAUAUUUAUUUUUUUAAAGUUUUAUAUAUUUACCUGAACUAUAUAUAUUAUUUUUAUAUAUUUUAUAUUUUUAAUGUGUUUGGUGAUGAGGCAACUACAUUCAUUGAUGACGUGGCUUGUGUGCCACAUGUAACAACUUGAUUGGUCAUAUCAUUCUAUUUUAAUUGUGUUACAAAAUUGAACUAAAAUAGUGACGAAAACCAAAAAUCAAGUAUCAAUUUGAAUAUUGAAGCCAAAUCAAGUAUCAAAAAUUAUAUUUAUCCUUUUAAUAAGCAUGAAUGAAAUUAAAAAUUUGGGGUUAAUUUAAAUCUCCUUGAAAAAAAAACCAUAUUAUUACAUCGUCUAUGAUAACCAAUGAUGUCUUGGUAGUGUUGGUAAAGGUUGAGGUCUUGAGAUUUUAAGCGUCUAGAUUUGAGUCUCAAUAUGUGCAAGUGCCAUAUAUGGGUUUUUCCAUUCUUGGUUUAAAUCCCACCAUGUGUGGGAUAUAUUUUGAUUUUCAAUAUUUUAUGCUUUAUAUUACUUUGAUUCUAACACAUAUUAUUUAUAAUUUAUAUUAUAUUUAAAAAUUUACCAUAAUUAUAGUUAUACUUGUAAAUUCUUUUAGAAAUAUUGUUUACAAAUAAUAUGUUGGUUACCGUGGCUCUUGAUUGUAUCAAUUUGCUUUAACAAAAAUAAAUAAAUAGUUUUAUUUCCACUUCUUUAUUGCUUUAUUUAUUCACUAAAACUUGUAUUUUUUCCUUAAAACUUAAGAAAAGCAAAUCUAUAGACUAAAAUAUAAUAGCACAAAGUUGUUCAAUAAGAUACUAUAAAGCUAAAAUGUGUGGGUGCAUGUAUUUUCAAUAUUUUGUGGUGAGAAAAAUAUAGUACAUUUCUUAACACGUGGUACCACUAGUCAAGUUAAAGCCCGGUGAAACUCAUGGCACAAUGGCUCGAACAAAAGAAGGGUUUAACCUCCUAGUAAGAAAGGGACAUUGAUUGGCUUAGUUGGUUUGAAAGCCAAAGCUUUUUAAGACCUCCAAAACUUUUGUUUUGGCCAACUUUAGUUUAGCACAAUUAAAUGAGGCAGAGAAAAAAAACUGAAAAAAAAUCAAGAUCCUUUUAAACAACUUUUAAGCUACUCGAAUCAAGCUAUAUUAUUUUUAUUUUUAAUAUAAAAAUAAUUUUUUUUAAUUUUUUAAUAUUCAUUUUAUUAUUUAUAUUCAGUAUUCAUAUUUUUUUCUUCUCGAUAACAUUAUCUCUGAAAAUAUUUUAACUGGUUAAAUACUUGAUUUGAUAUAAUCAUAUAUACUUUAAAUUAAAUUGAAUUGGAUAUGGACAAAUCGCAAAAGAUACAUGCAUAACUUGUGUUUAUAAAAGUGUGUGAACUAUUUUUUCCCUUUGACCAAUUGAAGAAAAAAAAGAUUAAAGUAUUCUCUCAUCUUUUGCCAAGUUUGCAAUAAUAAAGGUAUAGAAAAAGGAACGGGAAAAGGAAAAAGGUUAAAAAGGAAGGAAAUUAUAUGUAUGGUUGUUUGGAUAAUUAUAGUUGGUAUAUGAAUGAAAAAUGUUUGACUGUGUGAAUUUUAUCUGACUUGUUGGUAUGACUAUUGGAAUUAUUCAUGUAACAUAGUGAAAUAUUGGUUAAAGAAUUAAUGCACAAAUAUAUGAAAGAUUACUUAGGUAAUUUAGUGAAUAUAAUUUAUAUUUGAGGAUUUUCGCUUAGAAAUUUAAUCCACUAACAAGCCAACGAAUUACAACCCAAUUAUUCCAAGGAUUAUUGCAUCCUUAGUUUCACACACUUAUAAUGUACUCUCUUAAGCUUUCUAACCCUGCCCGAGGUUGCAAAUAAACCCACUCCCACUAAGUAGUAAAAUAACACUCUCAUAAUGCACUAUUAAUGUUCCUAGUAGAACUAAAAUGUGCUGAUCUCUCAAAUCUCUAUCUUCAAUGGAGAGUGUUGUUCUUAUAAAUAGAUCAUUCAAAUUAGCUUAUUCAUUAGAUAAAUGUCACCCUCAAUCAUCUUCAGGAUAAUCGGCAUUAGAAUGUCAAAUCUAUCCCUUAGAUAAUGUUCUAGUUCUUCUAAAUUAUCUCCAUACACACCAUGCUUUCAAAAAGAAAAAAAAAACACUCCAUACGUACCCUUUUAAAAAGGAUAGAUUAAAUUCCAUAUUUUUGAACUCUAAAUUAUUGAGUUUCAAGUAUGGGUAAAUUCUAUAUUUAUUACGACUAAAUAAGGAAAUAAUUCAAAAUAAAUACAAUUUCAAAUUGUCUAACAUAUGAUCGAUACUGACAAUGUUUCUCAAGUAUUGUUCAAGUUGUUGCAACACCAUGUGCAACACUUCAAUGUAACACUUAUUCUAACAAUAUUUCCUUUUUGGCAUUUUAACAAAAAAAACUUGCAACAAACACAUACGCAACCCAUGCAAUUAAAGAAACAAGUGAAACUAGAUUAGUGUGAACAUGAAAGAAAGCCCUUGGACGUGAUAAGCUUAAUCUUCCUCAAGGCCCAAUAAAAUGAUCCAAAUGCAAGCAACUUAGAGCCAAGUUAAAUGUGUUAGUCCAAGAAUUUGCAACCAAAGGCUUUCAAAGUUAUUAAGAAGAAGAAUUCAAACUCAAAAGAUCAAUUGAUUUGCGAUGAGUUUUUGGAUGGAAUUUGAGCAUUUCUAGGUUAAGUUGUUUACCUAUGAUGAAAAACAUUUCUCAUAACUUUGAAGCACAUUUUAAAUCGCCUGAUUUUGAGCCCAAGAGAUCAAGAUUGUUUUAGUGAAGAUUCCGCUAGUAGAAUUUUUUGGACGAAAUUCUCACAAGAUUUACAAGUUUCAGGCUUUUAGUUAGUUUUUAAUUCAUAUUGAUUUCAAUUUUAGUGUCUAAUUGUGAUUAUUUAUGAAUCCAAUAAUGUAUUUACUAAUUUUAUUGUAACACCCCAAACCCGAGACCGUCGCCGGAGUCGAACACGAGGUGUUAACAGACUUCAAACCACUUAUUUGACAUUUCCCAGACAAGCUGCCAAUCUGCAUACUAGUCGGUUUAAAAAUCAUAUCUUGAGUUCUGAAACUCGAAAUCCAGUUCCGUAUAUUUUCCCUGGAACUAGACUCAUAUACCUAUAUGGUAGAAUUUUUGUAGAAUUUUUGGUCAGGCCAAUUAGUACAUUUUAUUAGUCAAAGUCUCCCAUGUUACAGGGAUCGACUACACUGACCCUUGCGCAUUACGAAUUGGAUAUCUCCAUGCACAGAGCUUCAAUACUGAUUUCGUUUAUUUCUAUAGAAACUAGACUCAGAGAGGAAUCUGUACAUAUAUGGCAUGACUCCUAAUUAUCUCUGGUUAAUUUAUAAUGAAUUUCCAAAGUCGGAACAGGGAAUCCAGAAACCGUUCUGGCCCUAUCUCACGAGAACCUGAAUAUCUCUUAACAUACUGUCCAUAUGAUCGUUUCGUUACUUCUAUAUGAAAAUAGACUCAUCGAGAUUCGAUUACAUAAUUUAUUCAUCAAUUAAUUCCACUCCUACUAUUUUUAGUGAUUUUUCAAUCUCACGUCACUGCUGCUGCCAGCAUCUGUUACGAAAGCAACUAUGCCCAUUUCGUGAUUUCUCCUUGAUCUAACUAGUAAUUCAUCAUACAUAUCACAAAUUAUGAUCAUGACUAGCCAUGCCAAAGGCUAAUCAUUGUCAAACAUCCCCCUACUACACUAUUGCCAUAUCAUGAACUUUAACACCAAAAUAAUCAACCAUGACAUAUGGCAUAAAAAGAAAAGUCGAAUUACCAAGGCUUACGACCUAGCGUUAUAAAACCAAACCCAACCGACAUUUAUGCCAUUUUCGCAUGGCUAAAAGUUUAAAUACCAAAGUUCAAACACAACAUAAUAGCCUAUACAUGCCGAAAUGUUCUCCUAAGCCGACUAAGAAGAAAGUACCAAAACUUGCUAGCCGGUGUGAUGACUCCAAUGACGGCCCGAUCACGCAAAAAGAGACGAGUCCAAGAAACCUAAAAUAGGUGACAAGGAAACACCGAGUGAGUAUAUAACUCAGUAAGUCAUAAGCAAUGCACUACCAUCCAUUAACAACAUUAUCACAAGAGGAAACAAAAUGGAACGAGGCUAGUUACUCCAUCCAUACCGAACCAUACCAUAGUUCCUUAGACCUAUCGGUUCAAUCUCAUACCAAGUCAUGCAUUCACAUUCCAUAUACUAAUCAAUAGGAUAUUUGAGGCAUUUUCAUACAUCAUUUUAUUUUCGUUACAAUCAUACAUCUAAACGACCUUUCACCUAUUCCACGAUAAAUCUUAUGUACGUGACUUCAAUUAUAAUUGUCACAUAGGUUCAAACUUACCAAGCUCAACUCCAAUUAUAAACAUAGCGCCUAUUGGCCAUGAACUCAAGGUACUUACCCGAUCCGCUGUCCGUGAUCAACUCAAUAAUGUCGCACACUUAGUGUCCAUAGUGAUUCAAAAGUAUAUAUUAAGUCCGCACACUCAGUCCUAUAUAAUCAACUCGCACACUUAGUGCUAUAUAAUCAAACUCGCACACUUAGUGCUAUAUAAUCAAACUCGCACACUUAGUGCUAUAUAAUCAAACUCGCACACUUAGUGCUGUACAAUUUAAACCCGCACACUUAGCGCCAAUCUCAUGAUCAUAAAAGUUUAUACCUGCACACUUAGUGCCGAGAUCAACAACUCAAUACAUCUCACCUCUUUUCUUCUCAUUCAACACUUUCAUCACCACAUACAUACAUGUAUAUAUAUAUUUAUCAUUCCAUUCAGCAUCAUUACAUAGACGUUAUGACCAUUUAAAUUAAUACAAACUAUAUGCUUAAUGACUUACUUUGUGUUGGGUAAGACGGUUCCAACUCGGCUACUCGAUGAUCUUUUCUUUGCCUUUGCUUGAUUCUCCUCCUUUAACUCCUUGAGCUUAAUCAAUAAAUCAACUAGUUUAACCGCCUUGCUAAAUAUUUACAAUCCAAUUACACAUGCAUAUGUAUGUUAGUACAUUCGGCAAUCACUCUUACUAAUCACCCAUUUAGUCGAUUGUAGGGAAUUAAAUAUAAUAUCUCUAGGAUGUACUCUACAUGGCCGAAUAUACCAUGUUAGUUUUUUAACAUUUCCUAUGUAAUUACAUAUAGAUUUUUACACUUUAAGUUUCACACAUUUCACCUUUUAAUGCCUAUUGCUCAUCCCUUUGAUCUUAACCUAAAUGACAACUCCCUCUCCCCAUAUCUCAACCGAAUUAUCCAUAACAUCAAGACUAAAAUUUUGCACCUUGAACUUCAUACAUUUAUAAAAACUUCCAUAACUCAUUCGGCUUUAACAAUUACCCAUUUCUCAUAAAAGAAAUUAACAAAUAAAAUGAACUUUCCAUUAACCCAUAUGGCCGAAUGUACCAAGCAUUACUUAACUAAAAUUCCACAAAUUUCAACCUCAUAAUAAUCUCUACUUAUUCAAUACAACAUGAAACAACCUCUACUCCUAACCUCUUGAUAUACGGCUAAAUGCCCAAACCACCAUAAAAGUUUGAUUUUUCAUGACAUUGCCGAAAUGCAUUUCAACAAUUAGCUCAACAUACAAAGGAAGUUAAAACCAACAUUUCAAAACUCACCUCCCACUAGAAAAAGGGUUGCCGAAUUGCCUUAAUGAAAACUUCCCUAUUUCUUUCCUUUUUGUUUCGGUUUUGGCAAGAUGGAGAAGAAGAUGAACACAUUCUUUCUCCUUUUUUUUUGUCUAGUUACGGCAAAUGGGGGGGGAUGGAUGAGACAACUUUGUUUUCAUCACCCCUCCCUUUUCAUUACUUAAUUACUAACCCUUUUAUUUAUUCUUUCUAACAUAACACACUAAGCCAACAUGUUCCCAACAUGUUUCCACCCAUAGCAUGGCCAGCCACUAGCUCAAAUUUUGGGUAAUUUGACAUGCAAACCCAUCAUUUUCAUAACAUGCAUUAAUAGGCCACUUCACAUUUGCCUAGCACAUUUCUAAAUUUUCUCACAUAAGUCCUAUUUAAUAAAAUUCACUUACAAUUAACAAAAUUCAAGCAUGAAAUUUUCACACAUGCAUAUAUACAUAUAAUAAGCAUCAAAUAUGAUGGCUAAUUAUUAGUAUGACUCAGUUUUGUGGUCCCGAAACCACUUCCCGACUAGGGUCAAUUUUGGGCUGUCACAUUUAUAUUUUUGGGGCUUUAUCUAUUACGAAUUUUAGGACUUUGAUUUUUUUUAUUUAUGUUUUAUUUUUGGCCUAAUCUAUUAUUGGCCCAUUUGAACAAUACUUUUAAGUCCAAGUCUUUUAUUUUCUUUGUAAAAAUCCAAUCCAUGCCAUCUCCCUAUAGGUUGGUCGAAUUUCCCUUUGCAAGUUAAGUUUUAUAUUUAGUUUUAUCUCAUUAUGUUAAAUACUUGGUGUAUAAGUAACUCAAGCCCAACAAGUGAUUAUGUGUUGUUGCGGCCCAUAGCGAUACAUGCACGGAUGAGGUGAAAUUUAUUAAUUUCAAUUCAUCUAAGUUGUCAAUUUUCAAGUUUGGAAAAUUAGUCAACUUGCGACGACUUUUUGGAUGAGAUCCAGGCAUUUUUGGGCUAAGACGUCUGCAUGCUGUUCGAAGAUCUAUCUUUUAUUUUCAAAACGCACUUUGAAUCACUCAAUUUCAAGUUUGAGAUCUCAAUUUAUGACUGUUUUAGUAAAGAUUGUGCGAGUAGAAUUUCUGGACAGGAUUAUUACGAAAAUUAUGAGUUUCAGGCUUUUAAUUAGAGUUCAAAUCAUAUUGGGUUCGAUUUUUAAAGUUAAUUUUUAUUAUAUAUGAGUCAAAUAUUUUAUCUAUUAGAUUUUAUUACUUUAUUAUUUAUUUAAUCUAAAUUUUGGGAUAUUCUUUUAAGUAUUUUAAGUUAUUUAGGAGUUUUCUACUUCUUAGUCAAACAAGAAAGUCUAGUUUAAAAUUACUUCUUAUUUAGAUUAAUUAGAGUUUUAGUAUAGCUGAGAGUUUUAUUUGAAUAUAUUUAGCUAGCCUAUAUAAAAGCCUCUUCACUAUUCAUUAGAGACACAAUUGUUUUAAUUAAUAAAAUUUUCAACUCUAAGAGUUAGUUUCUUUGUGCAAAAGUUCUUUCUUGUGAUUUUUAGAAGUAGUUUUCUUCUUGAUUUUCUUCAAGGAGUCAAGAGAAUUUGUUAUUCAUCCUUCAAUUUGCCAAUGAAUUAUUUCUUAGAGGGUUGAUUAGAGCUAUUAAUUAAGUUUGUUGGGGUUUAUACCUCAAAGGGUUCAAUUGAACACUUAUCCAUCUAUCAAUCAUACCCAUUGUUUUAUUCAAUUCAUCUUUCACUUUUUUAUUGUAUCAUUCUUUAUUUAUUUAUUGAAUAUUGAAUAUUUAUUCCUAAAUUUAUUAUUUUUGUUAUUUUCUUUGUUUUCCUACAUUUGUUUGGUUUUUUCUUUUGAGGUUGGAUUCAAAUCAUUCUUUUUUAAGUCGAACAACUUAAUAUGAUCCUCUUUUGCUUGCCCUCUUUAUCAUUUGAUUUCAGAUUUAAGCAUUUUUGAAUUAUUUCAUUGUGCUAUAUAAAGUGUUUUGUCGAUUUCAUUUAAACAACCUGUAAAAAAAACUAAAACAAAAAACAAAAUAUUUUUUGGGUUGAAUUUCGUGCCCAAAAUUUUCAGAUAUGAUAUUUAUGAUAUAAAGAGACUUCAGUUUAAUUUUCAUGAUUUUAGCACAUCGGGAACACCUUGAAAAAUUCAAGUUGUUUUCUAUUGUUUCAGGUUUUCAACUGGGUAGUUUAUUUUCUUUUAACCUAGCAUUAGGUUUUCUUUUGUUUUAGCUUUUCUUAUUCCAUUACGCUUUCUAACACAUUUUCGCUUCUUGUGUUAAUAAUUACGAAAAGAGUUGUCUUUCCUUUCUCUGUGCAACUUACUUCUGUUAGAGUCGAGUUUUUCUUUGGCUUCUUAGAGCCUUAGGUCAGCUUUGUUAGAGAGUGGCAACACAUCUUUUUCGAAUAUUAUUGAGUUUGAUUACUCUUUAAAAGUUACAAGUGAGAAAAUUUUAACUUCUUUUCCUUACCUCUUAGAGUUAGUUUUAUUGCGAGUGUAUAACGGUGAGGUUUAAUUUCCUUUGAUCAACUUUUCUUUUUUGAGUGUUUUUUUAUUUUAACCUCUAAUAAUUGUACGAACAUGUAGUCAGGACGAGGAGAAUGGUUAACCUUGGGCAAAGCAUAGAUGUCGUGUUUGUAAAAACCCCGCACGAACAUGUUUCCAAUGCCCAAAAAUAUUCUAUUGUUCAUGGACUUGACAGGAAAAAACAUUUGAACAAAGGUCAUAGUGGGAUACACAUACUUAAAUGACUUUUUAAGGACGAAAAAAGAAAAAAAUGUUUGGUGAUAAGGAGACUAUGAUUUAUCUCUCACCUAUUGUGAAAUUUCAUUGGUGUGGUUCAAGCUCAAUUCAAUAGCUCAUAUUAUCACUAGGUUCUCACCUUGAUAUUUCUAAAUGUAGUUAACAUGAACAUGUAAUCAAUUAAUACGACCCUAAAUCAUAAAUGUACAAAUCGUGGUCACGCGUCACUCAUCAACAAUUCUCGUUUUUUCUUUCCCUCCCAAAGGUUUUGUGUCGACAUUCAUUAGGAAUAGUCACAAAACAUAACACAUUAUCAAUUUUCGAUAAAUUCAUCACCAAAUACCAAUUUACGCAUAUUUUUCAAUUUAUUCAAUUUAGUCCCUAAAAUGGGGACAAGCAUAACUUUUAAUUUAUGGCUUUAGAUUAAAAUUUGAUUUCACCAAAAUUCAUAACAGUUCAUAAUAGUUCUAUAUUUUAUUCAAUUUGGUCUUUAAUGAGUGAAACUAACAGUUAAGCCUUACAAUCUAGUCAUUGUCAUAAACUGAACUUAAUUUCUAACAAUUUUACACAAUUUCAUCUAAUUCUCAACAAUAGUAACUUUCAAAAAAUUUAACAGUUUUUCAAAUUGAUACAUGGGCUAGCUAAAUCAAGCUUCCAUGACCUCAAAUUUAUAAAAAUCAAAGAAAAAUGGCUAUAGACUUAGAAUUAAUAGCCGAAUAUCACUUAGGUUUGAAGCUUUCUUCUUUAUUUUUUUAAUGGUGGACGGUUGCAAAUUGGAGAAGCUGAUGCAUUCUCCACUUAUUUUUUUUGUUUAUAUACUAUGGUUUAAUGGUAAUUAAACUAGUUUAAUUAACUUAACUUUAAUUACUUAAGCUUUAAUUAUCAAUUAACUUAAUUAAAAGACACCAUCUACUAACAUCCAUUUAAAAUGGGCUUAUUUUUCAUUUUGUUCCUUUGUAUAAUUUCUAUUUAAGUCCUCAACCAUUUUCCUGAUUUAAAAUCUAUAAUGAUUAAACUUUUACAAUUUAGUCCCUAAACCUUAAUUAACCACAUUUUCAACUAAAUUUCUUAACCGAAUUUUAUUUGAUCAAUAUAAUAACUCUAUAAAUAUCUCUAAUUACUAUUUACGGACUCGGUUUAUAGAAAAAGUAUCCCAAAAUUACAAUUUUCAACACCACUAGAAGCCGAAUUGUUACAAAGAAUAUCAAAGACAAAAAAAAUCACAAAAACACACGGCAAAACAAUUUAAGAGUUCGAAUCUGGUAAAAAAAAUACAACACUAGAGAAGGAAGCAACCAAGCGAAAAAUCAAAGAAAAGCUAUUGAAAGAAUCCAAACUUAACAUCUAAGAGUUUUAAAUAUGAGAUUUUUAAUUGAAAACUUAAAGAAACUAUUAGUGACUGAGUGAAGGUAAAGACCCAUAGGAAGGGAAGGUCAAUUUAUCUUGAAUUUAAAGCUGAAAAUUUCUAAAAAGCCUUUUGGAGAUCUGAAUGGUCAAAGUGUUUGUUGGACCAAGGAGAGGUUGCUUCCAAAGCUUUAUGUUGAUUUAAUGUUAGACAAUUGAGAGCUGAUGGUGAUAACUUCCAAAAUAAAGGGGAAAUUUAGGGGUUUUAAGUGGUUGAUUUUGCAACAACCUAAAAGUCAGUGGAGUUAGAAACGGUGGUUUUGGAAUAUUGUUUCCAAUGAUAGAAUUAGUGAAUAUUAUUAUUCAUAGUUACGAAGGUAUUGCAGUAUUAUAUUGAGGUUGACCUAAUAAUUUUAAUUAUUUGGAAGAUUAGACAAGGUACAAGUGUAUCAGUUUUAAAGUACAUGGUUUUGGAAAUUGAGGUAUCAGGACCUUGUUUCCAUGAAACAGACUCGUAAAUAUUUUAUUAAUUAAAUAUUUACGAAGUGACUAUAUAGAUAUAUUGAACUUUGGCCCGAAAAUUUUAGUGAUUUGAUAGUUAAUUAAAGAAAAAGGACUAAAUUAUAAAAAAUGCAAAAGUCAACUUCUAUAGUUAACUUGGGUCAAAUGGUUAUAAAAAUACAAGGCUUAAAGUGGUAAUUUGUCCAUAUUGGGAUUUAGUGGACGGUAAACAUUCAUUUUAUUUGUAUUUUAUAUCAUAUAUAUGUUAAAUUAAUUAAUAAAUUGAAUAUAUGAUAAAAACAAAAGAAUGAAAGUGUGGAUCUUCUUUAUUUUUCUUCUAUCAACAACCAAAAACUCCAUUUCUAAGCUUUGUUGCUUCAGUUUUUCUAUUUCAAGGUGCAUGUAAGGAUUUCUUAGUUCUUCAUAAUUUUUAAGUUUUCAGCUAAUUGUGAUGAAAUCUAACUAGUUAGUGGGUUAAUUUGUGAAAUUAUUUAAGUAUAGAGAUUAUGUCGUUGAUGAUUUUUGAGUGUUUUUUGUGCUAGUUGGUUUUCUUGGAAGCUUGAUUGUUAGAUAUGAUUAAUUUGUAAAGUGAUUUUUAAUAAUUUUUAAUUUAGGGCCUAAAUAGGUAAAAUGAUGAAGUUUGCUUGGUUUUAUUGUGAAUUUUUGAAAUUUAAGGGCUGUAUCGAGAUGGCUUAAAACUCAAUUACAUGGGUAUAGAAUUUAAUUGUGGUAAUAAGCUUCUUUCGAUUUAAGGACUAAAUUGUACAAUGUGUAAAAGUUUGGGGCAAAUGUGUAAAAAUUGUAAAUAAGAAAUUAUAUGUAUUAAAUUGAAUAUAAUGUGAAAUUGAGGCUAAUAAUUGAAAUAAAUUAUAUUGUAGAUCAAAAUCAAGUUGAUAAUCGUAGAAAAGGGAAGAUUGCUUAUUAGUCUCUGAACUUUUGUUGUUUCUGCAGUUUAACCCUGGUAAAUUCGUGAACUUAGAACUCAAACAUAAAUUAUUUUAAUUUAAUUCGAUAGCUGCUAAUUACUAUUAAAUUAUGUUUUCAUAUGUGUAAUACAAUAAUCUCUAUUGAAUGAAUGAUGUUAAGAUUAUAUAAUUAUCCAUAUGAAAAGUGACAUUAUGGAAUUAAUGUAACUCCCCAAAACCCGGCCUAGAAGUUUAGACCAAAUUUCUGAAGUCACAUUGAUCACUGAAGUGAUAGUGGGAAAUUUUAGUUUAACAACUCGAAAUACCUUAUAAUGUUAAUAACAGAACUUACAGUCUAAAAUUGUUUACAUAAAAUAAAAUUUAUAGAGAACACUUUAUUAACCAGUUUUAAAAACAACAUGACGCUUUCGAGACCUCCGCAAACCGAGUCCAGCUUCAGAACAUGUAAAUAUACCUAAAAGGGGAAAAACUAAAGGGGGUGAGCUACACGAGCUCAGUGUGAGUUCGAAAAGUGACUAAUAACAGAAUUACGGAACUCAAUUCAAUAACGAAACAAACUUACAGAUAUAGGCAAAGUCAGAAAGUAAACUUCGAACCAACGUCCCAACAGAAUGUGACAACUCAAGCACACCAAGUCACACACAGACACUCAGUCACAAGUGUUAUUCAGUCAGAUAAUCUUGCACCCAGUACACUUAAACAGAUGCAUAUGAAUGCAGUCAAGUAAUAAAAACCCACCCAUUAAACCAAAACACCUUUCUGUCCCCCGAUCACACCCCAAAAGCGCUGUUUAAGCUCAUCCAACCAAACACACCACAAAGGACCUCGAAAGGCCCAUCUAACCCUACAAACCAUGUACGUGGACUAAGCCACUCAGAUAUUAAUGCGCAACAGGGCUAGCGUAUAUGCAGUACAGUCCGACGCGGUAAUCCACUGUACAAACAUGUUGCAGUUUAAACUACCAGAUCAAAUAAUAGUACGCAGCAAAGCUGAUGUACGUGUGCUAUAGUGCGGUAAGUUACAAUAAACUGCCAGAUUAGAUCAGAAUCAGUCUUCCUUCUCUUCACAACCAAAACCCCAAAAGCUUUAUGCAAAUGCAUGUAUGCUGGCAGACGUACAGAAUCAAAAUACAAAAUUUCUAGACAAUCAUUCAGACACAGAAACUCACAUCCAGUCAAACAAUUACAGAAUUGUCGUAUAGUCACGGAAUGCGCACCACACACAACCACUCACACACCAAUCACUCAAAACCAGAAUUGCGUACAUUCAACUACUCGGAUUCAGAAUCAAUUGCAUAGUAACCUCAAGUAACAAUCAAACAAUCUGCUUAAAUAAAGGUAUAUCUAUAUAACCCACACUAAUCUUGGCUGAAUCAAAGUCCCAAUCACCCUUGUUAAGACUUAGCUAAGGUCGGAACACCCAAAAUCACAAUCAAGCUUUCAUUUGACACAGAACAAAAUUUGGCGAGGUCGGGCCACACGGCAGUGUGCUCCGGCCAUGUGGAAAUACCGAGGCUGUGUAGGGGUCAACAUGCCCAUGUAGAGGGACACACGCCCGUAUUGAAGGAGGUACACACCCGUGUGACCUAGGGACAUGGCCGUGUGAUAUGACUAUGUAACUCUUUAUUCGAUUGUACUAAAAUAGAGCGCAGGGCAGACACGACUGUAUGAGGGUCUCAAAUGCCCGUGUGCCCACCAGACACGGCCAUGUGUCCAAAACACACGCCCGUUUGGGAUCCCUAAAUAAGCAAAUUAGCCACACGUUCGUGUGGCACCAAACCACCAAAUCCCUAAUUCCCAAACACACACGCCCGUGUGCCCAAGGGACACGGCCGUGUAAAAAUUGACUAAUUUCCCCAAAUCAACCACUUGACAGUGUAGCACCCAAAUUAUCCUAGAAACCCUAAUUCCCAAUUACACACGGCUGAGUGAAUCGCCCGUGUGGGGGCACGCACCUGUGUAGCCACCCAUGUGGUCACCAAACCACACCAAAAUUGACUAAAACUUCGAUUUUGCGACAUCAGAACAAACCCAAGUCUUUAACCACUCUUUAAACAAACGAAAUCUUAUAGAAAUCCUCCAGAUUCAAUAACAAUUUCAUGUCAAAAAUAACCAGUUCAGAACACACACACACUAGACGCUGCAUUUGACAACAAUUCCGUACAAUACCUAGUUCAGUACACACUCGAGAUUAUCAAAUACUACAAAAUUGAAUUAAAAAUUUUAAAAAAAUAGAAGAGAAAAGGUUCGAAACCCACAUCUGAUUUGUAAGAUAAGCACCUGAAUCGUUUGAUUCGCUCCCCAUGCCAAUUUAGAGACUCACCGGUCAACACCAUUGAACUUGAAAUUAAUUUGGAAACCAACAGAAGAAAGAAAGAGAAGAAACUCUCUCGAUUGAAAAAAAAACCAAAAAAGGAGAUUAAGGGAAUGUCCAGGGAUAAAAAGAAAAGAACUUGCCAACAUUUUUCCCAAAAAUAAAGAUAAUGAAAAAUAAAACAAACCAAUCAAAAUAACAAAAAUAAAGUUAAAAAUUAAUAACUAUCUUUAACUCAAAACAUAUAGAAGGUGCAAAAAUAAUUCCCCACUAACACACCUAGAGACUCGAACCCGAGACCUUAGACAAAACUAACAGAUAACCAACCACCAGACCAACAGGCCCAUUCUUAUACUAGUACGUAGAAGCAAACUCAAAUGACCAAUCUAGGCACUGACCCUAUCUGCAAAUCUCAAAACUUCUAACCCCAAAACUCCAGAUGUUACAACUCACCCCUCCUUACAGAAAUUUCGUCCCUGAAAUUUCCAACUAACGAAACAGUCACUAAAUAUAAGGUCCACCAUUAUGCUCCCACUACGCACUUUAAACACAAGCAAUACCAUUCCAAACUUACAACCUUAACACUCAAUCAGAACACUUAACCACUGGAGUAGAUAUACAUUUAUGUUUCACACACAGAAAUGUUACGAUUCUAAAAUUAUAGAACUAAUCUUACUUUUUCCUCAAGUUUGCAUGGAUCGGCAUCGGAUUCUCAGACAUUUUAUCUCCUCAAAAUCAAUGAAACACAUAUCAUUUCAAAAUACUAUGGUACGGUUUAUCAAAACUUUUUUUAAAAAACGAAUACGCGUAUACAUGAAUACGUAAAAACACAGGCUGAGUUUUUGUAAAUUUGGCUCUGAUACCACUAAAUGUAAAGCCCAAAACUGAGCCUAGAAGUUUAGACCAAAUUUCGAAAGUCACAUUGAUCAUCAAAGUGGUCGCGGGAAAUUUUAGUUUAACAACCCGAAAUACGUUAAGUAUUAAUAACAGAACUUACAGUUUAAAAUCGUUUACAUAAAAUCAGAUUUACAGAAACAACGUAACGCUUUUGAGACUUCCACAAAUCGAGUCUGGCUUUAGAACACGUAAAUAUACCAGAAAGGGAAAAACAGUAAAGGGGGUGAGCUACACAAGCUCAGUGUGAGUUUGACAAGUGACUAAUAACAGAAUUACAGUACUCAAUUCAAUAGCGAAACAAACUUACACAUAUACCAAGAGUCAGAAAGUAAACUUGGAACCAACAUCCCAAUAGAAUGUAACAACUCAAGCACACCAAGUCACACACAGACACUCACUCACAAGUGCUAUUCAGUCAGAUAAUCUUACACCCAAUACACUUAAACAGAUGCAUAUGAAUGCAUUCAAGUAAUAAAAACCCACCCAUCCAGCCAAAACACCUCUCCGUCCCUCGAUCACACCCCAAAAGAGCUGUUUCAGCUUGUCCAACCAAACACAUCACAAAGGACCUUGAAUGGCCCAUCCAACCCUACACACCAUGUAUGUAAACUAAGCCAUUAAAAUAUUAAUGUGUAGCAGGGCUAGCGUAUAUGCAGUACAGUGCAACGCGGUAAUCCACUGUACAGACAUGUUGCAGUUUAAACUGCUAGAUCAAAUAAUGGCACGCAGCAAAGCUGAUGUACGUGUGGUAUAGUGCAGUAAACCGCUGUUUGAAUAAGUUACAGUAAACUGCAAGAUUAGAUCAGAAUCAGUCUUACUUCUCUUCAUAACUAAAACCCCAAAAAUUUUAUGCAAAUGCAUGUAUGCAGACAGAUGUACAGAAUCAAAAUACAAAAUUUUUAGACAGUCAUUCGGACAUGGAAACUCACAUCCAGUCAAACAAUUACAAAAUUCUCGUACAGUCACAGAAUACGCACCACACACAACCACUCACACACCAAUCACUCAGAACCAGAAUUGUGUACAUUUAGCUACCUGGAUUCAAAAUUAAGUGCAUAGUAACCUCAAGUAACAAUCACACAAUCUGCUUAAAUAAAGGUAUAUCUAUAUAACCCAUACAAAUCUAGGCCGAAUCAAAGUCGCAAUCACGCUUGUUAAGACUUAGCUAGGGCCAGAACACACAGAAUCACAAUCAAGCUUUAAGUUGAUACAGAACAAAAUUUCUUGAGGUCAGGCCACACGGCCGUGUGCUUCGGUCGUGUGAAAAUGCAUAGGUCGUGUGAGGGUUGAACACGCCCAUGUGGAGGGGCACACGUUCGUGUGGAAGGUGGCAUACGCCCACAUGAUUUGACCGUGUAAGUUUCUAUCCGAUUGUACUAAAAUAGAGUGCAGGGCAGACACAGCCAUGAGAGGGUCUCACAUGCUUGUGUGGGAUCCCUAAAUCCCCAAAUUAGUAAUACGACUGUGUGACACGAAACAACUAAAUCCCUAAUUCUCAAACACACACGCCCAUGUGCCAGGGGACAAUAUCGUGUAAAACUCGACAAAUUUCUCCAAAUCAGCCACUCGAUCGUUUGGCACCCAAAUUAGCCCAGAAACCCUAAUUUCCAAUUGUACAUGACCAUGUAAAUCACCUGUGUGGGGGCAUACGCCCGUGUUGCCACCCUUGUGGUCACGAAACCACACCGAAAUUGACUAAAAGCUCGAUUUUGUGACAUCAGAACAAACCCCAGUGAUUAACCACUCUUUAAACAACAGAAUAUUAUAGAAAUCCUUCAGAUUCAACAACAAUUUCAUGUAAAAAAUAAGCAGUUUAAAACACACACACCAGAUGUCAAAUUUCACAGCAAUUCGAUACCAAUACCCAAUUCAGUACACACUCGAGAUUAUCAAAUACUACAAAAUUAAAUUAACAAAUAAAAAAUAAAAGAGAAGAGGUUCGAAACCCACACCUUAUUUGUGAGAUAAGCACUCGAAUCAUUCGAUUUGCUCUCCAAGGAAAUUUAGAGACUCACCGAUCAACAACGUUUAACCCAAAAUUAAUUUGGGAACCAACAGAGGAAAUAAAAAGAAAAAAAUCUCUCGAUUGAAAAAAUCCAAAAAGGGAGAUGAACAGAACGUCCAGGGAGAAAAAGAAGAGAACGUGCUAACAUUUUUACCAAAAAUGAAGAUAAUAAAAAAAUAAAAAAAAUACCAAUCAAAAUAACAAAAAUAAAGUUAAAAAUUAAUAGCUAUCUUUAACUCAAAAGAAAUAGAAAGUGCAAAAAUAAUUCCCUACUAACACACCUAUAGAUUCAAACCCGAGACCUCAAACUAAACUAAUACAUAACCAACCACUAGACCAGCAGCCCAUUCUGACACUAGUACGCGAAAGCAAACUCAAAUGCCCAAUCUAGCCACUGACCCUACCUAUAAAUCUCAAAACUUUUAACCUAAAAAACUGGGACGUUAUAAUUAAACAAUGAAUAUUUUGUAGUCAAUGGAGAUAAAUGUGAUAUGGAAUUAUGAAAGGUAUAUUGAAUUAUGUAUAUGAUAUUAUGGAUUUGCAAUGGUAUAAUUCUUGUCGAUUCAUUCGACUAAUGCUAGGUACAACCAUCGUCGGUUAUCCAACUAGCUCGGAGCACAACUGUUGUCAUUUUACCUGACAAGUGCUGGGCACAUUAUCAUAUUCGUUGAUAUAUCCAACUUGCGCUGGGCGUAACUUCUAUCAGUUUAUCUGACUAGUGUUGGGCACAACCAUCGUCGGUUAUCCGAUUAGUGCUAGGCAUAAAUCUUUGUCGGCUUGUUCGACUAGUGCUUGGCACAAAAAUAAUCUUGUCGAGUUAAACGACUAGCGUUGGGUGCAAAUUAUGGUCUAACCAUUAGGCAUCGGGUGACAUUUAUUGGAUGAUACAAUCAGUAAUGUGUGAAAAUUCAUGUCAUGAUAUUUGUAUUUAAAUGAUGUUAUGAAUAUGAUUCUAUGAGAAUUAUGGUAAACUUUUGGUUAAUAGUUGUAAGUGGGAUCUUUUGAGAACAUGAGUUGCUUAUUGUUUAAAUUUUCACUUGUCUAUAAGUUAGGUAAUUAUUGUUAUUCUACAACUCAGCAUCCACGACAAAUCCCGUACUCAAUGUUGGUGAUGUAUUUCUUUUUGAGUCUUAGCAUGUACCUAGGAUGUCAAUAUUGAAAUAUUGAUAUUUUGUUUUAGUGAAUCCUAGUGAAUGUAGCCCUAUAAGUUAUAAAUGAUGAGUUACUAUAAACAUGGUUGUAUAUAAAUGUUUCCACGUAGUGUUUGUUCUAGUGAAUUGGCCACUUUUGUAUUACACUAUUGAUGUAUUUGAUUUAGAAAUAGAAGAAGGUUUAUUCAUUAGGUCAUUUGGUUGAUAUUUGUUUGUGAGUGCUUAGUAUAAGAUAUGUAUCUACUUAUCUCACUUAUUUCAAUAAUUGAACUUUGUUUAAGGUGCCUAUGAAUGACAUAUUGGUUAGGUGAUAGAUGAAUUAAAUGUGGUGUCAAUGAGGACACAUUGGUUAGGCACUUAAGAUGACUGUUUUGGCAUGUUUUGAGCAUGUUUAAUUGUGUUUUGAAUAGAUUAAGUGAUUGAUGAAUUGGUUGCUUAGUUUUUAAGAAAGCACAAAUUGGUAAACUUGAGUUUUAAGGUACAUUUAACUACACAUGGCCUGAGACACGGUCUGUCACAUGGCCGUGUGUCACAUAUGGGCAUGUGCCCUUAGCGUAAAAAAUAAUAGUAUAAGUGUAGUUUCCACACGGGAUGACACAUGGCCUGCGACACGGCCGUGUGACCUAAGUCAGCGCGUUACACGGGCUGGGACACGGCCGUGUGUCUCAAGUCAGUGAGUUACACAGGUAGAGACAAGGGCUAGGACACUACUGUGUGUUCUGAUUUCGAAAUUCACACGGUCUGGGGCAUUUCACACGGCUUAGUCACAUGGCCGUGUGUCCCUAGUUUCCAAAAAUUUUCAAUUUUUCCCAACUUUCCUAUUUUGUUACGAUUUGAUCCCGAAAUGUUUUCAAUCUAUUUUUAGGGCCUCAUAGACUCAUUUUAAGGUCCGUAAAUGUAUUAAAGCUUAUGAAUGGAAUGUGAUUGAUUAAUUGUAAUCAUGAUUGAAUGAUUAUCGUAUGAAAUGUUAAUGUUUGUAAUGUUAUCGUAAUACUCCGUGACCCCAAAUCUGGCAACAGAGGCGAGUUAGGGGUGUUAUAUAUUUUGGUAUCCAAAUUAAUAGAUAAAGAAGGGAUAGGAAGAGAAGAAUCUUGGUAGUACCCAAUCGACAAACGACAACGGCGACAGUGGCAUUAUUAGUGAGAGUUUAAUUUGGUUCUAAAUAUACGUGACAAUUUACGUGUGAAGGAAUUUCAACCGUCAUAAUUACUUCAUAAAAAAAUAAAUUUUAUAGUGAAAGAAAAUGGUAUGGUCUCAAAAAUGAUUAAUAAUAGUGAUUACCUAAUAUCUUGUUACUAUUACAUCAUUUUCCGAGAAAAAAAAACUUAGUGACAAUUUGAGCAUUUUUUUUGUGACAAAUUGGUAAUGACCAAUGAUUUGGUAACAAUUAUAUACUUAUAGUGAUGAUUUACUUGUGAUGUAAUUUAAACCAUCACACAUACAUCAUUAUAGAAAGUAAAAUUUAUAGUGACAAAAACUUGUAUUGUCACAAUAAUGAUAAAUAAUAGUGACUACUAGAUUUGAUGUCAUUAUUACAUUAUUUCCUGACAAAAAUAACUUAACGCAAACUUUUAGCAUUUCAUUAGUGACGAAUUGAUAGUGACCAAUGGAUUUGGAAACAAUUACACACUUAUAAUUUUACUUGCAAUAUAAUUUAAAUCGUCACACCUAGUGUCAUUAAAGUGACUAAAUAUUCAUAAAUCACAAUUACAUAUUUUAUUAGUAUUACAUAAAAAAUGCUUCACAAAUAAUCGAAAAUUUGUGACAAAAUUAUUUAUAUCACAACUAUAUUAACACUAAAAAUCUUAAGUGUUGUAGUGCUUGGUGAUACAAAGGAUUAUGUUGGCAACAAAGAAAGAUUACACUACCUAGUACCAUCAACAUUUCCAAACUAAUUACUUUGUUAAUGUAACAUUUUUACUUAAUAAUUGAUUGUGAAAACCAAGAUAACAUUAUUUACGAUUGCUACUUUAGGACUUCAAAAAUAUUAGACUUGAGAAGUUGUCUAUAGAUUUACUACCUAUGCUUGGGACAAGCUUGUUAAACCUACUUUACUAUCAAAUGAGAAAAAAAAAGUAGAUUCUAUGGCUGAAAGUUAAGGAGUUGUUGCCUAAAAGACCUUUUUGAAUGAAAAAGCUAACUUGAAAAAAAAUUAUAAAAGGAGAAUUUGUAUUGUGAUAAUUUUUAUUAGGGUUAACUACACAAAUAGUCACCCAAUUAUUAUUUUUUAUUUUAGGCACUCAAAAUAAAAAGUUUGUAAUUUAAGCACCCAUGUUACAUAUUUCAGUCAUUUUGAUCACUCUCGUUAAAAAAACAAAUGGCAAGCUGACGUGGUAGCUAUAAAGUGAUAUAAUAAUAAAUUUAGCCCUCAACUUUUACAAAUGGUCUUAAUUUGAUUCUAAUUCUAAAAGCUUCAAAUAAAUAUAUAAAAAUAUAUAUUUUUAAAAUAUAUAUAAUAAAUUUAAAUAUUAUAUUUAUAUUUAUAUUAAAUAUAUAUAAUUAUAUUAUUAUUAAGUAAAAUAAAAAUUCCCUUCACCUCGUCCUUUUCCCCAUUCCCCACUCCCCACUGGAUUUAAACGAUUUUCUAAGAAAAUUCCAUCGUUAAAAUACCCAGAUGUGAUAAAAUCACUAGAUUUAAACGGUAAUAAACUCGAUGGUAAAAUCCCAUAAAGUUUUUCAAAAUUUAAUACUUUUUUAUUUGAAGGUAACAAUGAACUUUGUAGGAAACCAUUAGAGAAACAUUGUGAUAAAGCUGAUUCAGGAAAAGUUCAACAAGAAAAUGAAAAACAAGAAGAAUAAAAUUCUUCUUCUUCUUCAAAUGUCAUGGUGGUUGUCUCUAUUGUGACACUAGUGACCGUGGUGUUUUUCGUGGUGGUCGUCAUUAUUUCAACGAAUGGUAAAAAAAAAGAUGAUUUAAUGAACCACCAUAGUUCUAGUAAGGAACCAUUAAGGCAAGGUAAUAACAUACCUGAGUCAACUCGACAAAAACCAAUUGAAUUGAGUUAAAAAAGUAGUUCUGAUUGGAAAUUCAAAUAUGGUUGUCACGAAAAGGGUUAUUUACCACAACUGUGUUUUGAACCAUGAGCAAUGAAGCACGAACAUGGACACGCAAUAUGAGUACGACACGAUACGGACACAGUGACACGGUAAUUUUAAAAAAAUGAGGACACAAAUGCAACAUGGUACGAUAAUAAAAAAUAUUUUUUAUGUUAAAAUACUUAUUGUAAAUGAGAAUAUUUAUAUUUUAUUAAUAUAUAAUCAAUUCUUUUUCAUUAAGCUCUCUUGUCAUUACAUAAAAUAUGACAAAAUAUAGUAAUACAUUUUCCAAGUUCAUUAUACAAAACAUACCAUAUCAAAUCUAAAUUUGAAGUUCAACCUAUAUCCCUAAGAAGUCUUGUACAAAAAAAAAAGAAAAAAAAGAAGCAAUCUUCUAGUUCAAUUCAUAGCAUUAGCAUUUUCCAUAUCUUCUUCUUCAUUGGCAAAAUUUAUCAUCUCAAUAUUCGAUUCAUUAAGGGAUAAGCUAGCACCUUCAAGAACUCCAACUCCUUCAAAUGAGUCAAAUACAUUACCUCUAAUAUCCCAUAUCUUGUUCUCUCAUUCUUUAUAAUGAAAAAUAUUUCUGGAAAGUAAUCGAAAAUUAGUAUGCACAAAUACUAAAUCUUGACACGUUGAGGAUCAAUCUUGUUUCUUCUCAUGGAAUGGACAAACAAAUAUGUAUUCCAAUUCCUUUUACAAAGAGAUGAUGAUGAAGGUUGUCCAAGAAGUUUUAAAGCUAAGUUUUGGAGCAAAGGUAUUGAAGCCCCAUGAACUAACCACCAAGACUUGGGAUCCAAAAGCCAUCUAUCCUAUAGUGAAUCAAAUGAACCAAAAACAUCUAGUGCUCCCGAAAAUCUUGAAAACUUUUGGAAAGUCAUCUUUCUUUCUUCAGCAGAAGAAAAAUUUCUUCUUUAGAACUUAUUCCUUUCCUCUGAGAUUUCUACAUCUUUAUCUAGAGGAAGGCAAUUUGGAACCUCAUUAAGCCAACCACUAGAAUAAUACUUAUGUAAACAAUUAAAUUUGAUUUUUUUAUUGAUAAUAAAUAAAACAAGUAUAAAAGAAUAAAAAUUAGCAUAAAUAGAAUAUAUGUUAUCUAAGUUUGUAACGCCCUGAAUAAUUUAAGUCUGUAAUUGUGAAAUUUGACAAAACUAUGUAUUUGCUUUAAUGGUUAAGUGUUCUGGGUGUGUAUAUGAGGUAUUGGGUUCAAGUCCUAGUAUUGGAAAAUUUUGUUUUUUUUUAGAUCCAAGCCUUAUCCUUGUUGAGUGGACUUAUAUAAAAUUGUCAGUUAAUCCAUAUUAGAAUGAGCCUACUGGUUCGAGUGGUAAGAAGUUAGUGUGUUGGAGGUCUUGUGUUCGAAACUCUGUACGAGCAUGGGUAUUAUUUUUGCUCGGUUGUGUGAUAGAGUUUCGGUGGAGUUGGAAUUUUGAGUUGGUUGGGUGAUUAGUGGAUCUAGUGGGAUAGUGCUAAAUUAAAUCUUUUUAUUUUAUUUUUAUUUUGUUUUUCUCUUUCUAAAGCUUUUGACUUUUCUUCUCCAAUUCUUGAUUUUCCCAAAGGUGUUGUGCAAGGGGAUUAAAACGUGUCUCCUAUCGUCUAGUGUGUUUGAGCUAUCGUAUCUGUUUUAGUUUUAGGAGUCUUGGGAUUGUUUCACUGCAAAAACGAACAAGGUGUGUACCCCUUACGCAAGAAAAUCGAGUUUUGGUAAAAGCUAUAAGUGCAGUCUAUCGACGCCAUACAGGCGUGUGGUCGCCCAUGUGGUUGGCAGCGUUUGAGCCAUGGCUGUGUGUCUGACGAAGGUGUGGCCGUGCCCAAGACACGGCCAUGUGCUGGUGUAGGUGUGGCCGUACGCUGGUGUAGGUGUGGCUGUAUGGGUCACACGGGCUACACCAAGUUGGGUGUGUGGGCCCAUAGUUCUGACAUUUUCCCUAGGGUCGCACAGGUCAUUCUAAUCGAUUGUGGGCCUACCGUAGGGUCGAUAAUGGCUAACCAACCCUAAAACUAUAUGAUUUGCUAGUCUGAAAUUCUGCUCUGAUUAUUCUGAUAUAUAUAUUUUUGAUAUUUGUAUUGAACAUGUAAGUAUGAUAAUUCUGAAUAUAGAUAUAUAUCUGAUUGGGAUGGGCUUUGUAUAUGUGGAGGAAGUGUUCUGUACAGCGAUCAUCACUUAUAUUCUUGUAGCUUGGCUGCACUUUAUCUGACAUGUGUCGUAAUGGCACAAUAUGGUGUGUAAGGUUGGGUGGGUGUUUUUAACCCCACAUGGUGUGAUGGGAUGGUCUGAGUUGGUGUGUAGAGGAUGGGGGUAGGAUUCUGUACAUCUUUUUUGCAUAUCUGUUUCUGUUAUCUGAAUCUGUAAAGGAUCUAAGUCUGACUGUGUAUGUGAUUCUGCGUGUGAUUUAUGUAUGUGUAGCAUGUUUAUUUCUAUUGGGAUACACAUUGAGUUUAUGUAAACUCACUUAUGUUUGUCAGUUCUAUUAAGGUAAUCCAUAGACUUAGGCGGAUUAGUGCAGCAAAGUCUCGCGAUGACCACUAGUCUAUGAACUAAGUUUAAAUAAAGGUUUUAUUUAUUUAAGGAUUAUUUUUAGAGUUUUGUAUUAAUUAGACCCUUCGGACUGUUUGGUUUAAUAUCUGAGGUUUGGAUUUUUCAUUUAAUACUUUAUUUGCGACAGUUAUUUACAAAUAUAGUUUUUACUAAAAGAAAGGUUUUCCAAACUUACGAAUGGGAUUUUAAGAAAAUAACGUUUACUAUAACUUCUGCUGUAAAUUAACAUUUUCAACAAUGGAUAUAAACAUAUAUGAGUUAUUAAGCUGAAAUGAUUUAACGUAACGCUUCGUUUUCAAACCCCAUUCUUUGUGACAUCUUCAGAUUCGGCUAUAACGUUUGGGCUGGGUUCAGGGUCUUACAUUUAGUGGUAUCAGAGCUAGGUUACAAACCUCGGACUAUAAAUUUUGGGUUUCAAAUUUUUGUUUCAAAUUUUUGUUUCAAAAAGAAAUAAUUUUCUAAUAAUUUGUAUAAUUUGAGAAAGUAUGUGGUACACCGAGUCUCAGGCGUCGAUCCUAUAAGUAUCUCUGAACUUAGACAGAAUACUCUGGAAACACUAUAGUUAGUACUUUCUAAAACUGUACUGAGUUAGUUAGAGACUAAAACCUCUAAAAAAAUUUCUGAACUUCUGAUAAUUUACGCAUAAAAUAUCUACUAAUAAAUACUGGAACUGAUGUAUAAAAUUUCAUAAUGUAGAUAAAUUUUGAAAUACACAAUGAGUGCUCGUGAAAAUUGUGGACAUGGUAUUCGUAACCGCAGUAGAAGCCGUAGGGGGCUUGAGCUAAGUCUUCUUCUCUGGGCAGUAUGCCAAAUUUAGACACAAGUGAGACACUGGUUUUGCCUACUACUGAGACUGGGUCUCAAAGUCGUUCGAUUGGGGAAGACACAUUAUUCCAAGCCAUGUUGAAGGUAUUGGAGAGGGUCGCUAGACCCCGUUCUGGAUCUGGGGGCCGUGGGUCGGUAACUGAGCAACUCCGAUCCAAUGGAGCUAAAUUGUUUAGAGGUGUCACUAGAGUCGCCCCUACUGUGGCCGAGUAUUGGUUGGAGGCCACUGAGAGAAUUAUGAACGAUAUUGAUUGUACUCCUAAGCAGAAACUUAAGGGUGCCGUUUCUUUGCUUUGUGACAAGGUGUAUCAAUAGUGGUUAUCAGUUGAGGAGGGUACUCAACCGGAUCAUCUAAACUAGGACUUCUUUCAGACUAAUUUCUAAAGGAAGUAUGUGGGUGCGAGCUAUGAAGAUGCUCGUAGGUGUAAGUUCAUGAAUCUCACGCAAGGUGAUAGAUCCGUGGUCGAGUAUGAGGUCGAGUUUCUGAGGUUGAGCCGCUACACUCGAGGCAUGGUGGCGUCUGAGUAUGAGAAAUGCGUCCGUUUUGAGGACGGCUUGAGAGAUAAUUUGAGGGUAUUGAUUGCUCCACAGAGGGAGUGAGAGUUAGUUGUUCUGGUUGAUAAGGCAAAGAUCGCCGAGAAAGUUAAGCGCGUGGAGCACCAAAAUAGGGACCAAGAGAGAGGCAAGAGUAAGAGGGAUUCAGAACCCUCUAGUUCUGUUCAGAGGCCUAAGAAGCAGGCCAGACCUGAUGGGCCUAUUAGAGUGGGGGCUCCUGUUGCUCCUAUUGGGAUUCAGCCUUGCGGGGGUUGUGGUAGGCGCCAUCCGGGUGAGUGUUGGAGGAGGUUAGGGACUUGUUUGAUGUGUGGAUCCUUGGAGCAUCAUAUUAGAGAGUGUCCACAGCAGGCUGAUUAGAUGCAAGCUUCAGGACUGGGUUCUGUACAGUCUCAGAGGGCAGUUCAGCAGCCACCUAGGGGCUGUGGACCGGCUAGGGGUGGGAAUGGUAUGAGCCGAUGACAGAGAGCACCGGGUAGAGGUUCUAGUCAAAUUGAGGAAAGGUAGCUUGUACUAGUUUACGUUGUUCGACGUCGAGAGGAUAGAGACCCUCCUGGUGUUAUCACGGGUAUGUUCUUUAUUUUUUAUGUACCUUAUACUGCUUUGAUAGACAUAGGUUCUACACACUUCUAUGUAACUAGUAUUAUUUUUGAAAACCUGGUGAUUUUGGUUUAGAGCACUUCUAGUGAGAUAAUUGCACUGAGUCUGUUAGGGCAGUCUGUUCGGGUUAAUAGACUUUAUAGGAAUGUUCUGUUAAAAGUGCAAGGGGCUGUAUUUCUAGAAAUUUGAUGGAGGUUCCGUUUGGGGAGUUUUACUUAAUCUUGGGGAUGGACUGGUUAGUUGAGCACCGAGUUAGUUUGGAUUACGUGACUAAGAAGGUUGUUUUAAGAACUGUGGAAGAUAAAGAAGUGGUUGUGAUCGGUGAGUAUCGAGAUUAUCUUUCUAAUGUGAUCUCCGCUCUUGUAGCUAAAAAAUUGGUUCGAAAAGGGUGUGAGACAUGUAUGGCUUCCGUCAAUGUUUCAGUUUCUAGGGACUCAUUUAUUGAGGAUAUCAGAACAGUGAGAAAUUUUUUGGAUGUCUUUCUUGAGAAGCUACUGGGUUUACCUUCGAAUCGAGAGGUUGAUUUCGGUAUAAAUCUUUUACCGAAUACAACUCUAGUGUCCAUCACUCCAUACCGUAUGGUACCAAAGGAGCUUACGGAGCUUAAGGCUCAACUUCAAGAGCUUUUAGAUCAUGGUUUCAUCUACCCUAGUUUGUCUCUUUGUGGGGCACUAGUUCUAUUUGUAAAGAAGAAGGAUGAGACAAUGAAGAUGUGUAUUGAUUAUCUGCAGUUGAAUAAGCUAACUGUAAAGAAUAAAUAUUCACUUCCGAGGAUCAACGAUUUGUUUGAUCAAUUCCAAAAGGCUUCUAUGUUUUCAAAAUUUGAACUCCGUUUUGGGUAUCAUUAGCUUAGAGUUAAGGAAUUUUAUGUUCAUAAGACGACAUUUAGGACUUGUUAUGGGUAGUAUGAGUUCCUAGUUAUGCCUUUCGAUCUGACGAAUGCUCCGGCUGCAUUUAUGGAUCUGAUGAACCGAUUCUUUCAGCCAUCUGAUGAAUGUUCCUAGUUCGUUGCGGUCUUCAUCGUUCAUAUUCUGGUUUACUCUAAGACUGAGGAUGAGCAUGAUGAGCAUCUUAAAGUAGUGUUUCAAAUACUCCGACAGAAACAGCUCUACGCUAAGUUGGGAAAGUGUGAGUUCUGGUUGUGAGAGGUAACUUUUCUGGGGCACGUGGUUUCUGUUAAAGGGAUCCGAGCUGAUCCUAGGAAGAUUGAGGCUGUGCUUGAUUGGAAACAGCCUAAGAAUGUAUUUGAGAUCCGCAGUUUUCUGGGUCUUGCGGGCUAUUAUAGGCAGUUUGUCGAAGGGUUCUCUCUGAUUGCAACUUCUCCGACUAAGCUUCUGCGCAAGGGUGUUCCUUUUUUCUGGACAGAUGCGUAACAAUCUAGCUUCAAGAAGCUCAAGUCUGUUCUGACUCAGGCUUCAACAAUCUGACUCAUUAUCUGAUGUGCCAGCAAGUUAAGGCUGAGCACCAGUUGCCUUCGGGUUUGCUACAACCUGUUAAGAUUCCCUGAUGGAAAUGGAAACGAGUGACGAUGGACUUUGUUAAUGUGUUACCCUUGACACCUACUAAAAAGGAAUCUGUGUGGGUCAUCGUGGAUCGAUUGACCAAGUUCGUUCAUUUUAUUCCAGUUCAAAUAAACUACUCUCUGUAGAAGUUAACAAAGCUCUAUAUCUCCGAGAUUGUAAGACUGCAUGGGGUUCCUGUUUCGAUAAUUUUUUAUAGAGAUUCUUGUUUCACUGCUCGAUUCUGGAAGAAAUUGUACGAGGCUCUGGGUUCUAGAUUGGACUUCAGUAUUGCAUUCCAUCCUCAGACCGAUGGUCAAUCUGAGAGGGUGAUUUAGAUAGUGGAGGAUAUACUUCAGAGUUGUGUAAUAGAUUUCGGAGGUAGGUUGGAGGAUUUCUUACUGCUAGCUGAGUUCGCCUAUAAUACCAAUUUCCAAUCUAGCAUCCAAAUGGCACCUUACGAGGCUCUGUAAGUUCAUAAAUGUCGUACUCCGCUAUGUUGGACUAAGUUGGGUGAGCAACGGAUUUUGGGUCCUGAGUUGGUUUUUGAGACUGAAGAUAAGGUUAGACUAAUUCGGGAUCGUCUGAAGGCGGCUUCUGAUAGACAAAAGUCUUAUGCGGAUUUGAAGAGGAGAGAUAUCAAGUACUCUGUGGGUGGCUUUGUUUUUCUUAAGGUUUCUCCGUGGAAGAAAGUUCUGAGAUUCGAUCAUAAGGGCAAGUUGAGCCCAAGGUUCAUUGGGUUGUAUCGAAUUUUGAAGCGUGUGAAACCGAUCGCUUAUCAAUUGGAGCUAGCUCUAGAGUUGGACUGUAUUCACGAUGUGUUUCACAUCUCGAUGUUGAGGCGGUAUCGGUCUUGUAAUAGCUCGGUUUUAGUUAAAUCGGAAUAGUAGUUUUAGAACCACAAAUUUGAGGUUAAAAAAUUAUUUUAAUAUUAUUUUUGGUAUUUAUAGCGUGUGAUUAUAUAUGUGUGAAAGCUUCGUAAAAAAAUUACUGUUUGAAUGUUUAAUUCAGUAAAAAAGACUAAAUCGCAUAAAGAGUAAAAGUUAUGUUCUAUAUGCUAAAGGUGUCUAAUACUAUAGAACAUUAAAGUAAAGGUCCUUAAGUGGUAAAUAGACCAUAAAUGAGAUAGUGGAAGAUGUUGGCUUGGCAAUUGUGUAAUUAUUAAAGUUUAUAAAGGUUAAUUAAGUAAAAUAGUAAUUAAUGUUAAAAAUAAACAAAACAAAAUUAUCAUUAUCCUCCAUUACCAUCCACUGAAUUUUAGAAGGGAAAGAAGCCAUUUUUGUGCUAAACAUUCGGCCACGCUUGUAAGCUCAAUUAGGUAUGCGUUUUUGUCUCGUUUUUGAUGAUUUCUUUGUUUUUGAGAUCGUUGCUUCGUGUUCUAGCUAGCCCAUGCCCUAAGUUUUGAAUUGGUUGAUGAAUUUGUGAGUUGUCACUAAUGAUAGCUUCAUGUUUUUGAAUGUUGAUGAUGGAAAAUGAAUAAUUUUUGAUAGAUUAAUAUGUUUUGUAAAGUAAUUUUUGACAAAAAUGUCAAAUAGGGAUUAAAUUGUGAAAUAUGCAAAUUGAGUGGUUGAUAUGUGAAAUAAAUGAAAGUUUUGGACUGCUAGGGGCACUAUGGUAAUUCGACCAAGCAUGGGUCUUGUUGAAUUUUGUGAAUUUGGUGAAUUUGUGAAAUAGGGACUAAAUUGUAAGAAAUGUGAAAGUUUAGGGCCAAAGUGCAAAUUGGCUUAAAUAUGUGUUUUUGGACUUAAUUGAAUGAUUAUAUGAUUAAAUGAGUUAAUUUUGAAUACAUAUAGAUCAAGAAAAGAGGAUUCCAGAAUUUUAUCGGGGGAAAGGCAAAAUUAUUGAGUAAUCGAUCGAUUCGUCAAUUUCAAGUACGAGGUACGUUCGUGUGUAAAUAAUGCAACAUCACAUUAUUUUGUAUUUAAUGUUUUCAUAUAGCAUGAAUUGUAUAAUUUCUUUGUGAAUUCGGUUGAUGAUGUUCCAAUAUCGAUUUGAGAUUUUGUGUAAGACCAUAGCUGGGCUAUUGGCAUUGAUUUGAGAUUUCGUGUAAGACCAUAGUUGGGCUAUUGGCAUCGAUACGAGAUUUCCAUGUAAGACCAUGUCUGAGACAUGGCAUUGGUACGAUACAUUAUGUAUGAGUUUUCCCGAGUAUCUUUACUAUUCUAAGUGGUUCAACGGGUAAUCCAAAGAUUAUGUCAAAGAAAAGACAAGGUAUGAUCAUGUUGAGAGGAUGCAGGUAUGUACGAAAAAUUCAUGAGUAAUGAACUCGAUGCAUAUUGGAAAUUUUGGAAAAAAUGUAAAUGAGUAAGUCAUUCUUAUGCGAAUGAUCUUAUGAUGACCUUGUGAUUAUAAGUCUAUACUUAUGAGGUAUAAAUAUGGGGUAAAUUUGAUUGAUGAUUGUGUGAGGCUUUUAGGCCAAAUUAAAUUGAGACAUGAUAUGUUUAAGUCUUUGUUGUUGAUGUAUAGGUGAAAUUGGCCAAUUAAUGUCAUGUAAAUAUAUCAUAAUGAUUAGCUAUUGGAAUAGCUAGUUAUGGAUAUGCUUUGGUGUUAUGUGUGUCGAAAUAAAUGUUAAUACAAAGAAAUCAUGAAAGAGUAAUAUUUGCAAUAAAACAGAUUUGGACAGCAGUAGUUGUAAAACUUUGAAAAAUCACCAAAAAUUUUGGGAAUCGUAUUAGAGGUUGAAUAAGACAUGAAAUUAAAUAUUAUUAAGUCUAGCUUCACAUAGAAGAAAUGAUGUAAGCAAAAGAAUCUCAUAUUAUGAGAUAUUUGAAUUUUUGUGAGAUAAGGUUAGAAUGAUUUUGGAAUCCCCUACUCUAACUUUGGAAAAUCAUUAAAAAUUGUAUAAAAAGAACUAUAGGUUAUAAUUUAUAUAAUUAAAAUUCUUAAUGAGUCUAUUUUCAAGAGAAACAAAUGGGAACAUCGUCCAAAUCUCGUACUAAGAGAUAAUUAAUUUUUAGAGAAGAAAGAUCAGAACUAUCAGACAGCAGAACAGGGACUACUUUGAUGAAUUAACUAUAAUUAUUUGAUUAACCAAAAAUUCUAAAAAUUUUAUGGUAAGAAUAUAUGUGAGUCUAGUUUUUGGAAAAUCAAGCGGAUCUUAAUUUGGAUUUCUGUAGCACAAGAUAUAAAUAAUUUAGUGACUAUGACUCGAGUAGACAGCUUGGUGUGAAAUGAGUAAAUAGUGGAACUAUGUUUAAUUAUGAUUGUAUUAUCUUGAGAACAUAUUGUGAGGAUUAGUAAAAGCAUGUUAACAGUUUUCUUAUUAUUUACAUACCAACUUACUAAGCUAUAUAGCUUACCCCCUUUCUUUCUUUUUCCUAUAGUGUCACAGAUACUAGCUUGGGUUGGAGAUCGUCGGAGAUUCUAUCACACUAUCAAGCUAUUGAUCAGUAUCAACGUAUUCAAGUAUUUUAAGUUUAUGGCAUGUAUAGGGGCUCAGUCAUUUUGUGUAUGGGUUAUUAUGUUUUGGCCAAAUGUUUUGGCUUGUAAUGGUUAAAGGUUUGAUUUAUGUGUAGCCAUGUAACUUGGCUUAUAUUGGCUAAUUGGUUGUAAGCCUACAUAUAUAUUAAUUAUAUGUCAAAGUUUGGUGAUGUGAGUUGUGUUUUCAUGAUACAUGAUGAUUUGUGGGACCCUCAUUAGUUGAUGACGUUAUAAGCAGAGAGUUACACGGGCUGAGGACAUGGGCGUGUGACCCUCCAAAACAUGAAAAUUUUCUUAGUGUUCCAAAGUUUUCGGUUUAGUUUCGAACCACUUCUAUCGUAUGUUUAGGGCCUUGUAAGCCCUUAUAAGGGACAAUAUGCAUGUGUAUAAAUAGUUUUAAAUUGAAUGAAAUUUUAUGGCCCGGUUUUGUAUGGUUGCUUGUGUUAAGACCGAUCUGAUCCAUCUCACGUUGUCUCUAUUGAGAAGAUUGAGGUUAGACUGGAUUUGACUUUUGAAGAGGAUCCAGUUCAAAUUUUGGAUCGAGAUAUUAAGGUUCUGAGGAGGAAGUCCAGACCGUUAGUGAAGGUUUUGUGGCGGAAUCAUGGCACUGAAGAAGCCACGUGGGAGCCUGGGGACUCGAUGCGUUAGCAGUAUCCUCAUCUGUUCUGAUCAGGUUGAAAUUUAUUUUAGGAGGUAGAGUUGUAACACCCUAAAUAAUUUAAGUCUAUAAUUGUGAAAUUUGACACAACUAUGUAUCUACUUCAGUGGUUAAGUGUUCUGGGAGUGUUAUUUUUUUAGAUCCAAGCCUUAUCCUUGUUGAGUGGGCUUAUAUAAAAUUGUCUCUUAAUCCAUAUCAGAAUAAGCCUGCUGGUUUGAGUGAUAAGAAGUGGCUGUGUUGGAGGUCUUGUGUUUAAAUCCCUGUAUGAGCGUGGGUAUUAUUUCUGCUCGGUUGUAUGAUAGAGUUUCAAUGGAGUUGGAAUUCUGAGUUAGUUGGGUUGUUAGUGGAUGUAGUGGGAUAGUGUCAAAUUAAAUCUUUUUAUUUUAUUUUUAUUUUGUUUCUCUCUCCAAAGCUUUUGACGUUUCUUCUCCAAUUCUUGAUUUUCCCAAAGGUAUUGUGCAAGGGGAUCAAAACGUGUCUCCCAUCGUGUAGUGUGUAUGAGCUAUUGUAUCUGUUUUAGUUUCAAGAGUCUCAGGAUUAUUUUGCUGUGAAAACGAACCAGGUGUGUACCCCUUAUGCAAGAAAAUCAAGUUUCGACGAAAGCUGAAAGUGUAGUCAGUCGACGCCACACGGGCGCGUGGUCGCUCGUGUGGUUGGUCGUGUGCGAGACACGACCGUGUGUCUGACGAAGGUCUGCCCGUGCGUAAGACACAACUGUGUGGUGGUGUAGGUGUGGCCAUGUAGGUCACACGGGCUAGGCCAACUUGGGUGUGUGGGCCCACACGGGCAUUUCACACAGGCAUGUGGGUUUUGGGACAGACUGUGUGGGCCACACGGGCAAGGCCAAUUAAGGCGUGUUAGCCACACGGGUGUAUGGGUCCAUAAUUUUAAAAUUUUUCCUAGAGUCGCACGGGUCGUUCCAAUCGAUUAUGGGCCUGUUGUAUGGUUGGUAAGGGCUAACCAACCCUAAAACUAUAUGAUCUGUUAGUCUGAAAUUCUACUCUGAGUAUGACACUGUUUUGCAUGUCUGAUUAUUCUGAUGUAUAUAUAUUUGAUAUUUUUAUAUGAGCAUGUAAGUAUGAUAAUUCUGAAUAUAGAUAUAUAUCUGAUUGGGAUGGGCUUUGUAUAUGUGGAGGAAGUGUUCUAUACAGCGAUCAUUGCCUAUAUUCUAGCAGCUUGACUGCGCAUUAUCUGACAUGUGUCGUAAUGGCACGAUAUGGUGUGUAGGAUUAGGUGGGUGUUUUUAACCCCACAUCGUGUGAUGGGAUGGUCAGAUUUGGUGUGUAGAUGUUGGGGGUAGGAUUCUAUACAUCUGUUUUGCAUAUUUGUUUCUGUUAUCUGAAUCUGUAAAGGAUCUAAGUCCGAAUCUAAAUCUUAAUUUGACUGUGUAUGUGAUUUCUGUAUGUGUAGCAUGUCUAUUUCUAUUGCGUUAGACAUUAGGUUUACGUAAACUCACUUCUGUUUGUCUAUUCUGUUCAAGUAAUCCACAGACUUAAGUGGAUCGGUGCAGCGGAGUCUCGCGGUGACUACUAGUCUAUGAACUAAGUUUAAUUAAAUUUUUUAUUUAUUUAAGGAUUAUUUUUGAGAGUUUUGUAUGAAUUGGACUCUUCGGACUGUUUGGUUUAAUAUUUGAGAUUUGGAUUUUUCAUUUAAUACUUUAUUUGCGACGAUUAUUUAAAAACAUGGUUUUUACUAAAACAAAAGUUUUCCAAACUUACAAAUGGAAUUUUAAGAAAAUAACGUUUACUAUAACUUCCACUAUAAAUUAAUGUUUUCAAUAAUGGGUAUAAACGAAUAUGAGUUAUUAAGCUGAAAUGAUUUAACGUAAUAACUCCGUUUUCAAAACCUAUUUUUUGUGACAUCUCCGGAUUUGGCCAUGACGCCAGGGCUGGGUUUGGGGUGUUACAAAGUUUACCUUGGAUUUAAAGAAUAAGCCAUACAAUGAGGUGGUGUACUACUCUUAGUCCAUUGAUCAAUAAGAAUAUCAUAUACCACUUCAUAAAAUAUUGACCUCUCGUUUCCUUUCCUCCCUUCAUGCCUAUAAAUACUUAUCUUCACUUUUUAAAUCAUUUCAUCCUACAUCUCAUAAACCAAGUGAAGAGUGGGUCUAUCCGUGUCCAUAAUUCAAAGCAUAUCAUAUAUAGGUCCAGUAAAAGAAAGAAUAUAAUCAACCUUAUCCCACCAAAACUCAUCCAAAAAAUUUUUCUUCACCAAAGAGGCUUUGGAAACGUCAUGUAACGCCCCCAAAAUUUCUAAUUUCGUUAUUGUGAAAAUAAGACACACAUAUCUGUCAGUUUUAGUGGUUAUGUGUUCUGGGAUCGUUUGGGAGGUCUCAAGUUCAAGCCUUCGCUUAGGAAAAUUUUGGUAUUUUGAAUGAAUUAGGCAUUACUCAUGUUUAGUCGGCUUUUAUUUGAUUGUUGGGUAAAUUACAUCAAAUGGGUUUGCUGGUCUGGUGGUUAAACGGUGUGUUAUUAUGGUAGAGGUCUUGUGUUCGAAUCCCUAUGCAGCCAAGGGAUAUUAUUUUGUACUCAAAUUUUGGGAUAGAGUUGUGUAAUAGGGGGAUUCUGAGUAGUGGAUGUGUAGUGCGAAUUAGGGGAGAAGAUUAAGGAAUUUUGGGGGUUAUCGGGAUUUUAUUUUAUUUUUUUCCCAUAACCGAAUUUUGACUCUUUUCCAAAAAAAAAAUUGUCGUCUAUUCUUCUCCCUCUCCUCUUGCCGAAAUUCUCUAAGUUUUUCCAUCUUUCUUUUCUUUUUCUUCUUGAUUUUUCCCUAAUCCAUUUAUUUUCCUUCGCUUUCGCAUGUGGUUAGUGCUCGCUUAUUUUCGAUAAGUGUUUCUCUUCAUUUCUGUCAUGAAUCUCUUAACGACUGAAGUGGUAAUGUUUUUUCUCUGUAAUUUGGGCGUAGAGGGAGGCUCAGACUUGUGAAUUCAGUGCUCUCGUCUUAACAAUAGUUAAAUGGAGGGUUAUCAUUGGUGGUAAGUUGGGUUUCUGUUCGUUCUUAGUUGUCAAUUCGCUUGUAAAUCCAUUAAAUUGUUAUUGAGUAUCUUGAUUAUAGGCUUUGGAGUGCUCGGGAACUAUUUUAGCAUCAAACAAAACCAGGCAUGUACCCAUUAAAUAAAAGCUAACUUACUAUAAUGGUUUUUAAACUCAACAAUCUUGUCUUCAAAUCCCUUUCCAUGUGACAUCGCCAGAUUCGGUCAUAACGUCUAGGCCGGGUUUGGGGUGUUACACGUCAUAUUCUCUAUAAGUAGAUCGUUCAUCACAAAUAAUCAUAUUUUGGAGACCUCAUUUAAUGAGCUCGAGUCUUUUUAACAUCAUAAUCAUAGAAGCAAAUUGAGUAUCUGUAGCAGCAAGUAAUUUCAAAAGCACAAAAGAAUUAAAUAUUGCCAACUUCAUUUAGUGACUCAUUAUGAUGUUUCUUAUAAAGAUAACAUCAUCACCAACAUUAUUUACGCAACACAAAACAUCAUGUGUAACCUUAUUCUUUUCGGUGUUUUUUGCAGUACAUAUAUUUUAAAAGCAUGGUUAAGAGUAUGUACCACACAAGGUGUCCAGAAUAUAUGAGGAUGUUGUGUCUCUACUAAUGAUCCCGCGGCUUUAUAAAUUGAUGCAUUGUCGGUUAUCACUUGGAAAACAUUUUGUGUCCUAACCUCACUUAUGGCAUCUUUAAUUAAAGUUGUCAAACAAAACUUAUCAUUGUACUCCUUGUCACAAUUGAUGGCUUUCAAGAAAACAACUCCACCUUCAGAAACAAUUAUAAAGUUAAUCAAUGGUCGUCCUUGUGCAUCCUCCAUCCAUCACAUACAAGACUAAUACCUUUUUCCCUCCACAUUCCCUUUAUAGGUCGUAACAAACUCUCUAUGUUUGCUUGUUAUUUUUGCAAUAAUGUAGUCCUUAAAGUAUUAUAUCCCGAAAGUAGGUAACUCGGAAUCAAAUUCUUACUAGCUAAGGUGAAUGCGAUUCACAUAAUAAAGGUUCCUAGCUAGAUGAAAAGGCAAUCCACUUGAAUAAAACAUUCGAACAAUUUCACUAUCUAAAUUCUCUUGAGCAACAAGGUUUAAUGAUUGUUCUAAAGGGCCUUUUCUUCUUUUAGAAUCUAAACUAUGCCCUUGAAGUGAGGUUGUGUUUAGCCCAGAGGAAGAUGCUAGUGUUUGAGAACUAGGUGACAAUGGGACUAUUUUUGGUUGCAACUUGAGUUUCGCAUCUUCAACUAUUUUUUGCAUUUCAACAAGAUGUUGUAGUGUUACUUUAAGACACACUCAAAUUCUUUGCCCAUUUAGUUUCAAUAAAUGUGCUUUAACCCUAGAGUAUGAGCCCUUAAAUAUAGCAUUGCAAAAAGUACACGCAAAACUAACAUUCUCGCUUUCUUCAACAAUUUUCUAUAAUUUAGUAACAUAUCUCCAAAGAGGAGUGUUACUAAUAUCAUCUUGAGACACUAGCAUUAGUAGCAUUAUUUGAUGAGCCAACACUUCCACUACCACUUUGAGAUGUCAUAAUUAAAAACCUAUAUUAUUAAAAAAAUUAAAAAAAAAUCAAUGUAUACUCCAAGAGUGAUCAUAACAAAUAAAUUAUUUAACAAACAAAUAUAUAAAAUAAAAAUAAAAAGUAACUAAACAAAUAAAAUAAUGUAAUCCAUUCAAACUUAUCCAAAAAAAUGUAACAUAUUCAAAGCAUAAAAAUAAAAUAUUAAACUUACCUUCAAUUGCUUCAAACUUCUAUGUUCGUUGAAAGUAGGAAAAAAAGAUAAGAGUGGUAAAUGUUUAAAAUAUUUUUUGAAAUUUGAAAAUGGAAACGUCAAAGGCAACAAAGCAAGUACAAAGCUCAAAAGCUUCUCAAAUAACCUAAAUUUUUUUUAGUUUUUAUUUUACUGUUUUAAUUGGCUAUUUAAUGUUUUAAAUUUUAAGUCUUUUCAGUGUUUACAUAGGCUGAUAAUAAAACUCAGCAUUUUAUUAACAGAUUGAUUGUAAAACUCAGCAUUUUAUUAACAGAUUGAUUGUAAAACUCAGCUUUUCAUUAAUAGGAAACUCUAAACUUCACAUUUCUUCUGUACAUCAUCUUUUUCCUGCCGCUAACUCUUCAUCUACUACAAAUUUCAGCCACCGUCCGUCAGCCACCAUCUACUUUUCCUGCUUCUAUGACAUGUCCAUUUUUAGACACCCGUGUCGCAACCGUGUGGAACGAAGGGAAUGUGGAAGUGUACACAAUCGUAUCGAGUAAUAAAGUGACAAGAAUGUCGAGUUAUCAUACCCACAGGGACUAUGCAAGAAAAUAUUUAUGAAAUGUAGGAAUUAAACAAAUUGGUGAGGAAAAAUAUGUUGAUUUGUAAGAGGUUAUCUAAAAACUAAAAAUUAACUAAGUAAUUAAUUAAAAUUAAAAUUCUAAUGUACGAUUUAUAAAUAAGGGUUUAAUCAAUAUGACAUAAAUGUGUUAAAUUAAUUUUAUUCAUUAACUUAGAAUUAUUAAAACUAUGUUUAUGUUGUUACUAAUAAUUACAUGGCAACUUGGUCUUUUGUUAACUAAUGCACAUACAUACUUACUAAAUCAAUUAAUCUCUUAAACAUAUUUCUAUGUCAAUUCAAACAAUUAAUCAAUUUUCAUAAGUAAAUAUAAGAUAAAGUGAGGUAACAAUAUAUUCUUAUAUUGAAACAAUUUAAUCACAAUAAUCUUACAAGUUAUACAAGGCUUAAGUAUUGUUUAAUACCAUCGCUAAUUUAACCCUCAACUACCUUAGAAGAUUAAACAUGCACCAAUUAAAUAUUGUGUCAAUUAAUUAUAAUUUCAAUCCGAUUAAUUAUUAAUUCUUUUGCUACCUUACAAUUAAAAUGCAAGCAUAACAUAAGUAUGAUUUUAUUUAAUUGAACAAACUAUCAAGACCUAUAAUAACACAAACAUGAUUUUAACUAAGUAAGUGGACAGAAUGCAAUUAAUCUAACACGAAUGAAAUUUAAGUCAUUUAAAUUAAUUCAAGAACAUCAACACAACAAGUAUUCAUAAUCAUGAUCACAACAUAAACUGAAAAGACUAAGAGAAGGGAAUUAGAAAAAUAAAUCUCGGUGAUCUUCCGAAGCCCGACUAGUGUGCCCCUCUUUUCUCUGCUCGUUCUGUUGAUCCAAAUCCUUCACAGACAAUUGAUUGUUGUUGCUCCAAGAACCAAGCUAGAACCUUUUUCAAAAGGGGAAAUCUGCAAAGAAUGGAAGAAAAUUGGAAAGCAACUAAAAGGGAAAAAGAGAAAGAUGAGAGAAAAGAUAUGUGAGAGGAGAUGUGUGAAGUGAGGGAUGAAAAAUGAGGAACUGAGGGGGGCUAUUUAUACUUGAGCUUGACAGCUCAAGUUGGCUAAAAAUAGCAGCCAAUCCCUCAUCUUAUGAAAAGCUGAUUGGGAGGGGUUUGAAUGGCAUUUAUGAAAAGUUCAAGGGUUGAUUUGCAAGUGUUUAAAAUCAUCCAAAAUAAGCUGAUUGGGUUAGCAACAUGGGACAGUUUGGGCUACUUUUUUGGGCUUUACUUGCUCAAUUCAAGCCCUUUUCUCUACUUCAAGUUGCUUAUUUUUUCGGAUAAAAAUUAAAUCGGACCAAUUGAUUUGAGGAAGUCCAAAAACAUAAAUUUAAGUCUUUCAUGGCUGUUAUUUCAUCAUCUUGAACUCCCAUGAUGCCUCGUUAAUUAAUUCUUUCAAGGUGAUUGUCGAGCUAAUUUUUCACCCUUUGUGCAAAACAGCCAAAAAUAACUCAAUUUAUGCAAAAUUAUUAUAAAAUAAUUAAAAUACAAAAUGUUUUAUAAACUAAGCUUAAAUUAAUUAUUUUAUAAUAAAAGCAUAAAAUUCGACAGAAAUUACUUAGAAAUUGCAUGAAUUAGUCCUUAAAAUGUGUUGAAAGAGUAUAUAUAUUUUAGUGUUUCCACCGUGUUCGACCUCCUUUUUUUUUGACAUAUUUUAGCAUGUCCCGUAUGUAUCCAGGUGUUUCUGAGGAGUGCCCGUGUUGGACACACGUAUGACACCAGUAUGAGGAGGGAUGAGCCGUGUCCGUGCUUCCUAGACCAUGAGUGUCAUACAAUAGAAUUGGAGGUCCGGUGCAGGUGGGGGAGGGGGAGGGGGAGGGGGACGAGGAUGGUGGUAGAGGGAAGUCUAGUGGGGGAAGGGGAGAGGGAGAGGGACGGGCGAGUGGGUAGGAGGGAGGGAGGGAGGGAGGGAGGGAGGGGAUUUUUAUUUUAUUUAAUAAUAAUAUAAUUAUAUUUAUUUAAUAUUAACAUAAAUAUUAAUAUAAUAUUUAAAUUUAUUAUCAUAUUUUUAAAACAUAUUUAUGUAUUUUUAUAUAUUUUUUUGAAUUUUUUAGAAUUAAGAUUAAAUUGAGAUGAUUUAUAAAUUUUGAAAGUUACUUUUUUAAAAUUAUGACUAAAAUUGAUAAUAUGUAAAAUUUGAGGAUUAAAUUUGUUAUUAUACUAAUUUUUUAACUGUCAGAUCAGCUUGCGGUUUGUGUUUUCAACGGGAGUGGCCUAAAUAACUGAAACUAUGUAAUGUGUGUGGUUAAAUUGUAAAUUUUUUAUUUUAGGUUCUUAAAAUGAAAAUUGCAAAAUACCCUUUUAUUAAUUUAUUAAUUAGCCCAAAAAUGAUAUAUUUAGUUGAUUAUUUUAUUAGUUUUUAUCUAAUAGGUUAAGUAGUAAUAAUUUCUUUGUUUAUUUUAAUGGUUUAUUGCUAAAACAUUAAAUAAUUUUAGGCAUAUAAAUAAAUAAAGUUGUGAGUUCUGUAAAUCAUUCAAAUCAUGUUAGAAAGAAUAAUUUAGUUUUCUCUCAUGAUGAGAUUUUUUUUUUUUCUAUUUCUAUUUCUUUAAUUACUAAGUUUUCAUUUUCAAGGCAACGUCAAUAACAAUAGUAUAUGAUCUUUUUAUUAUAUAAGAUUAAAUGAAUCCGAAAAUAUCUAAAUUCAUAAAAGAAAAAAAUUGUAACCUUUAAUAAUAUCCAAUAUGAUGAAUUUUUUAUAACAAGUUGUAAUUUUUUAGUUGGAAGGUUCAUCAUGUAAUCUUUCAAUAAGUUUUACGUGAUGAAUAAUGAUGGUAUUAAAUUAAAAAAAAUAUUAUAAAAGAUAUUGAUUGAGUCUUAAUUCGAUUAAUAUGGAUAUUAUUGUUAAUGUAGAAAGGAGUGAAUUUGAGUGCGUUGAAGCGUAUUAUUGUUCAUAUAUAUAUAUAUAUUAUAAAAGAUUGUGUUAAUUUCUUUUACUUUAGUAAAAGAAUCGAGUGGUUUAUGAAAAGGGGGAAGAGUACUCCACUUGCAUAAACCUUUUACUGUUUUAGCUUGCUUGCUUUCCAACUUUCCACAAUAGUUUUUCUUGGGUGUUAUAUUUUUUAGAAGAUAUUUAAAAUUAUUUAUAAUCAAUUCCUAACCUUUAAAUAAAAAUAUAAAUAUAUUUUAUUAUGUUCGGAUUUAUAUUUUUUUACACUAACAACAAUGUUAAUGCUAAUAAGAUUAAUACUUAAUAAUUAAAUUUAAAUUUUAUCUAUUUUAUAUGCAAAAAGGUUUUGGUAUGAUUGUAAGUCUUAGGUUAGGAAACCAAAAAUAAAAAAAUUAUAGUUGACAAAUACAUUUAUGAUUUAAAAUCUAGGAUUUUGAACUUGUACUUGAUGUAUUUAUCGAUUUCUAAAUCUUAUACAUACUCAUUAAAUCUUAAAAAAAUAAUAUAUUUACAUAUUUGAUGUGUAAAUUAUAUAAUAUGAAACUAAAUCUUAUCACUAUAAAAUAGAUUUAUUAGCAUUUAAUAUUUAAGUAUUUUCAUACAAGAAAAAUUGAAAAUGUUUGAAUUCCAUUAUUAUUAUUAUUCCAUUUAGACUUUAAUUAUGAUUUAAAUUUCUAAUAUUUUAAUUAAUAAAGUAGUUAAUAUAUUUUAAUUAUUUUAAAUAAUUCAAAUAAUGUUAAUUAUAUAAAAUAAAAGUAUUCUAUUUAAUGAAUUUAAAAAUAUAAAUAUAAAAUCACAUAAAAUUCAUAUCACGGUAAAGGUUAGUAAACUAAAAACUAAGCCUUAUUUAUAUAUAACCAAUGAGACUAGGGCUUAUUGGUAAGGUUAAGGCUACGAGACUUUGAGAUCCUUAGUUUCAAGUUUUGUCUUAUCUUAAACCACACUUUUCAAAAAUAUUUCUUAAAACCUUUUUUCCAUAACACUUUUUAAAAAAAACUUUUCAAAAGUAUUGCCAAACUAGCCCAGUCUUUUAGUGUUUGUAAUGAUUGAUUCUAUUGGAACGAUUGUAAUUUUAAAAAUAAAACUUAUUUAAGUACAAAUUAAAACAUUAUUUUGGUACAAAUUAAAAAUUAAACAUUCAUUUUAUUUGAAUAUAUAUAAACACAAAUUUAAAGAAAAUGAUAAAAUUCAAAAUUUUGAUUAUUUUAACCAAAUUUUAAUUUGGACGCAUAAGGUGAGAUUUUGAAGACUACAAUAAUUACCCAUUUAGUUCAAAUUAGAAAACUAAACUUUAAAAGGCUUUAUUUUUCAUUACUUCCCAAAAUUACGGUUAGAAGUUUUUUUUUUAUUGAAAAGUUUUAAAAGUUUUUAGAAUUUUAAAAUAUUGGUAUUUUAGAAUUCAUAAAUUUAAAAUGUUAGAUUUGCAAUUACUUUGUUUGAAUAAAUAAUUGGUGUUGAAAAAAAAGUAAAGUAAUAGAAUUUUACAAAUUAAAAAAAAUAAUUAUAUUAAAAAUAACUAAUAUAAAUAAUAUUCAAUAUGGAUAUAGUUAUUUUUGUAAAAUUUAUAAAUAGUUUUAAUAAAAAUAAAUUUAAAAAUCUUAUUAUAAUUAAGUAAAAUAGUUUUCAAAGUUUAAGGUUUUAUCUUAUAGUGGAACUAUGUGUAUUAGAUCAAAUAAAGUGAGGGAGAAUUUUGAAAAACCACCGAUUUAGCUGGAGUUUGAAAAAAGAAUUUGAGUUAUUAAAAUUCCUUCAUGAAAUUUCCUAGAAAUUUUUAAAUUCUCUAAUAUAUUUACCCAAACAAGUAAAUUCAUUUUUAGAAUUUUGAAAAUCUUGAUACAAAUGAAAUCUCUCCCACAAAUUCCUCAUCCAAACACACCUUUAAAGGAUAAUUUUUUUCCUUAGAGCCAUAAGUAUGAUAUGGUCGUUAAAAGCAAUUAUCAAAACGCUGCUCUUAUCUGCGUUUCAAUUUAAAUCAAAUGAUGUGUUUUGAGUUAUUAUGAGAAUGGUGUGUUUUAUGUUUGGGGUUGUCAAUGAAACAAUGCGUUUCAUUAGUUUGUUUUGACAGUUGUAUGCAAUGUCUGUUACAACAAUUUAAUCAAAAAUUGAAUAAGUUUUCUUAUUCCGCUUAAUUAUCUCAUAUUUCUUCUCUAUUCUUCUUUUCUGUGUGAUGUAGUUUAGCUUGUAACAAGGGUAUCAUAGCUAUACGUUCCUCAUGGCCAGCGAGGGUGUCAUCACUAUAUCACAGAAUAAUGCAGCUCAGGUUCAGUAGUAGUUAACCAAGCUCCAGUUGGAAGUUUCUCAGUGGGAUAGCAAGCUUGAUGCUCAAAUGAAGGAAUUUAAGGAUGAUUCCAGCUUGGAGAUGAAGGGAUUGUUUGAGAAAUAUCUGGGUAACUCCACGCAAGCUACGCCUAUAACUUCUGCACUUGACAAGGGGAAGGGAGUGAUAGCGGCUCAUCCGCCUAGAUUUCCAUCUAAGGAACAUCUACCCCUCUCUCAUUUGAGUGAGUUGAGUAGUUUGUUGUGUUCUGGCAACUGGGAGUCCUUGUAGAAAUCUCCUAAACUUAAGUUUCCCCGAUUUGAAGGCUCAGAUUAUCGGGGUUGAUGGGCCAAACUCGAGUAGUUUUCUAAAGCAGUGGGCAUCCUAGUCUAUGUUAAAGUGCGAACAAUGGUACUCCACCUUGAAGGGAAGGCAUUAGAUUGGCGCUUCUUCACUCAUCACCAAGGUGGGUUCCAUUCACUGACUUGGCCAUCUUAUGUUCACUACCACAGUGAGCGUUUUAGAUCUAACACCUAUAAGGACCCCAUGACUAAACUGGUCACACUCAAGCAGGCAGGGACUAUCAAUGUUAACAUGAUGCCUUCAUCAACUUCAUUAACCAUCUGUAUCUCAAAAGAAAAACUAUUCUCCGGGCUUGGGAACAAAUUCAAAGGGGGUUACACUGUUACCAUCACCUGCUCAACUAUCCAAGUUGUUUCCUGCUUCCACUUCUCCUAAAGAAAUGACAUCGACCAAUAAUUCAAUUUAUCCUACUGGUUCGGGUAGGAAUAGAACCUUGUCCCCAAUUGAGAUUGAUGACAGGAAGAAAAAGGGGCUUUAUUAUUGGUGUGGCCUCAAAUAUACCCCAGGACAUAAGUGUGUCAACUCCUAAUUCCAUCAGAUGCUACUUGAUUCUACCUCUAAUGGAGAGGUUGAAGAAAACCAAGAUUGUCUAGAUCAGCUAGAGGACAAUGUUCAACGAAAAGAGGUGACUGAGGCACCUACAUUAUCUCUUCAUGCUCUACAAAGUUCAUAGGGUCUUCAAACUAUGAGGAUUGUAACAAGAAUUGGCACUACUCUAGUCAUUAUACUUGUUGACAUUGACAGUACACAUAAUUUUAUCAGCUCUAAGCUGGUUAGAAAACUUUCAUGGCCAGUGAGAAAAGAGAAAGGUCUUAAAGUUACUGUAGCAGAUGGUAGAUGUUUAUUUACUAUGGGGACUUGCCAAUCAAUUCAAUGGGAGUUACAAGGGAUGCAAUUCUUUAUUGACUUUUUGUUCUUACCAGUUAAGGGAUGUGACAUAGUCCUUAGAAUCCAAUGGUUACAGUCUCUCGACACCAUUACCUGGGAAUUUAGUCCACUCACCAUGAAGUUCCUUUACCAAAAUAAAAGUUGUCAAUUGCAUGGCAUUGCCCCUGGUGCACUCCAACUGAUCAGUGCUUCUUAAUAUGCCAAAUGUUUAUCCAUAGUAAGACAAUUCCUAAGACCUUGUGCAAUGGUCAUGGUUACACCCUCCCAAACUGUCUUAUCAGCUACUACAAAACCUACAUCACUAGAGCUACAACAAAUUUUGGAUGACUAUGUAGACAGUUUCAAAGAACCUACUGGUUUGCUACCACCACGGUUCCAUGAUCAUGGGAUUCACCUUAAAUAUCAGUUAAUAGUGGUUAAGAUUAGGCCCUAUAGGUACCUCAAUAUGCAAAAGAGUGAGAUUAAAAGGUUGGUUAAGAAGAUGUUACAAGUUGGCAUUAUCAAAGACAAGAGCAGCUCAUUUGCUUCCCCUAUAGUGAUGGUUAAAAAAUAUAUAUAAGUUGAAGAAUGUGAGUGGGCUAUAGGCAAUUGAACCAAUUCAGUAUAAAGGAUAAGUUUCCAAUUCCAAUGAUAGAAGAGCUUCUCGAUAAAUUCAAACAUGCUAUCUAUUUUUCCAAGUUGGACCUUCGAUUUAGAUACCACCAAAUCAGAAUAAAAAAGGAAGACAUUUCUAAAAUUGCCUUUCAGACUCAUGAGGGGCAUUAUGAGUUUUUAAUCAUGCCAUUUGGGCUGACUAAUGCACCCUCCAGAUUUCAAGCUUUGAUGAACUUAGUUUUCAAGCAUUUGUUACGAAAAUCUGUUCUGGUCUUUUUUUUUAUGGCAUCCUUGUGUAUUCACAGAAUUGGUCAUCUCAUUUGCAACAUUUGCAGGAGGUUUUCCAGUGGUUGAGAUCCUACUAGCUAUUUGCAAAGAGAAACAAGCGUACCUUUGUAGCCACAAUAAAAGAGUACCUAGGCCAUGUGAUAUCAAGUGGGACAAUAUCUAUGGACCCUACUAAAGUACUGAUGGGCAUCGAAACCAUAAAAUAAAAAUUUCUACGACAAAAUAACACUAAAUAGUAGUACAAAGUAGUAAGGUCGAAUCCACAGGGAUUGAGUAUCUAAUUUUGCCUAUUCUUGUGACCAGAAUUGUUGUCGCGAUAAUAGUCAUGCCCACGACUCGUGACGAACUUGUUGAAAAAAAUAAGGGGAGAUGAAAAUGUUUAGAAAGUGAAUAAAAUGAACUUGUAGCAAUAAAAAAUUAUAUUAAUCAAAAAUAAAAUAAAUAAGAAAAUGUAAUUGAAUUUAGUAAGUACUAAUAUAAAGUCUUAGCCUUAGACUCGGUAAAUUUCGAUUCUAAAUCGAUCCUUGAAAAUGGGUUUUCACUUCCAAACCAUAAGCUGGUUAUAGUGACCAAUAAUGUCCAAAACGCUAAUUCUUCCUCUCGUAGUUGAUUCUAGUACGAUCUACAAACCAACCCUUACCGAUUGUCUAACUACGAUACACGCAUUCACAAUUCAAGACCCCGACAGUCUUACUUUCUGAAGAACCCAACUCAGAUCAUCAACCUCAAUCGUGUGGGUCUUUUAAAUCUGAUCACUAUCUCCCUUGACGAAAAUUCCACUAGUAUGACCCCGAUAGGAUACACCAAUUUUUUUACGAAAAUCGAAAUACAGCACGACCGACUCAUCUUCCCAACUAUACGCCAAAACGAAUCCAACCCAACAUGUACUUUGUGUUGAAAUUUAAUUAACUUUAAGGGACGAAUUUGUACAAUCCCGAUGCAAAUGCAGAUUUAACAUAUAUAGGAUAUAAGCAUACAGUCAUACAAUUUUAGAUCGUGCUCAUGUAAUGCUAUCACACUUAUCAGGUCUCAUAAUAACGCAUAUAAAUAUAUCAAAAUAAUAGAUUAUUCAAUAACAGAUUGUCAGAUUACAACUUCUAUAUCUAGUUCAGAUCAUAUGGACCAUACGGUAGGCCUACAUUCGAUUCAAAAAACGAUUACGGUCCUAGGAAAAAAUCUUAAUUUUUGGCCUACACGCCCAUGUGGUCCACACGGCCUAGCACACACCUGUGUCUCUAGUCCAUGUGUCCCUAAAUUCAAAACAGUGAGUUACACAACCGUGUGGCAUCGACAGCCAUGUUUUUCGAUGUUCAAAACUUGUAGAAAAUCAGAUUUUCGUUACACACUUGAUACAGUUUCAUUGUAGAAGCAACUGAGGUGAAUCCAAAGCCUAAAAGCGACAAUCCAAAGGACAAUUGUGCAAUUAAUCACAACAAAAUUCCAAAAUUAGAGUAAAAAACCUGAGUUACGUCAAAAAGUUUGACAAAACCCCAACCCAAAAAUUCAUCCCCUUACCUUUACACAAUACCGCAAUCCAUAGAACUACAGAGUUUGGGAAACGUUGUUCUCACGAUCUUCACCUAAAAGAAUAUCAAACGAACACUUAAACAAUGAAUUCAAGCAAUUAAGCAAAACCCACUUUGACAAAAUGAACAAACAAAUACUAAUGAAAAUUCAAACUUACGCAAUUGUCUCGACAAUCGAAGACAGAAAAGUACAAAGUUUUCUCUUUCUAACAACAGCAAAAAUGACACAAAUUUAAAAAGAAAUAAUGCAAUAAAAGAAGAACACAAUAUGAGAGGGGAAAGAUGGAAAAGAAAAAUAAGAGGAAGAAAAGAGGGAGGAAACGUAACAUGAAGAGGGAAAAUUUUAAUUAGCUUGUUUUAAAAAAAAUCAACCACACUUAACGGAGUAGUAACAAAAUUAUUUCCUUAUUGUAUAUGCAGAGACUUGACCACAAAACCAGAAGAUCUACAAAACUUUAACCAUCAAACCAGCAAGCUCAUUCUUGACAUAAAUUGACGCGGAAGUAAGCUUAAGUCAAGAGUUCAAUGAUAAAUGUUAAACUAAAAUAAAUAGUAAAAAUUUAAGAAGGAAGACUCGAACCCCUGAUCUUAAACACAUAAACAGAGAACUUAACCACAUAUAUAGAGAUUUAAUUAUUAACAAGCUUUAUCAAACAAUUGCUCAAAUUUUGGUGCGUUAUAAAAAAAAAAGGCAAUGACUUAAUUAGGUUUUUUCAAAAAGUUCGAGGGCCUUUAUAAGGGUGAGCAAAAUUUUAUUCGACUCGAAAAAUUAAUUUUUUUUAAAUUUUGAGAUAAUCAAAUUGAUUUAUUCGAUUUUUUGAAUAAACUCGAAUAAGUAAUUUAAUUUUCUGAGUUAAGUUGAGUUAAAUUUUACAAAUUGAAUAACGUAUUGGUGUAAGUACGCAUUUUGUCCCUAGUAAUUCCAAAAAUAAGCAAAUGGAUCCUUCUCAAAAAAAAUAAAAAAAAUCAAUUCAAAUUUCAAAACAUUUAUAAAAAACCAAAUUUUCAUAAAAAUUUAUUUUAAAAAUUAAAAUUUUAAAAAAUUUAAAAUUCUAAAGAAGAUAUAAGAAGCAUUAAAUUUUUAAUUUAAAAUAUCCAAAUUUAUAAAUUUGAGAACUUUAACAAGUAAAUUAAGAAUUCAAAUUUAUCAUACUAAAGUAUCUUUUCCCCCUCUUAUUCUUCUUUGAAAAAGUUUUCGAAUAUAUAUGGCUUUAGAUUUAUGUGCUCUUGUAACGACCCGAAAACCAAUGGUGUUAGAAACGGUGGUUCCGAAACCCCGUUCUCCGAUGAUCAAUUCCGUAAAUGUUAUUAAUUAAUAUUUAUGGGUCAAUUAUAAUAUUAUAUUAUAUUUUGUUCUCAUAAAUUUAUUGAAUGGAUAGUUAGUUAAGGUACAAGUGUAUUGACCCUAAAGUCAGUGGUGUUAGAAAAUGAGAUAUCGGGACCUCAUUUCCGUAAACCAAACCCAUAAAUAUUUUUAUUAAAUAUUUACAGAGUUAUUAUAGAGGUGAAUUAAAUUUUGGAUAGGUAAUUUCGCUGAAUUAGUAAUUAAUAAAGGUAUAGGGAUUGAAUCGUAAAAAUGGUAAAAUUUUGUUGUUAGAGAUUUUUAAGUAACCGAGGGACCAAUUGAGUAAUUGACCCCUUUUAAUUAUGAAAGACAGUAGUGGAGAUGAAAGACCAUCCACUAAAAUGAUUAAAUAAGGUUAGUGUUAGUUAAAUUGUAAUUAAUUAAGCUAAGUAGGAUUAAUUAUUUAUUUUAUUAAACUAUAUAAGUUAAAAAUUAAAAGUCAUUGUCGAAACCCUUUUUUUAAUCGACAUUUUUUUUUGAAAAAAAUGAAAAUGGAGUUGACACCAGUCACUUUCAUGAGGUGUGAUCAGAUCACCUCGUAAUUUAAUCGUUUUAAUAAGAUGUUUGAUUUACUAAAAAAAUAUUUUUCGGUCUACAAAAUUAAGAAAAUGGGUUUAGGAGCCGGUUACGCACGAGGAAGGAUUAGCACCCUCGUUAUGUCCAAAAUUGAUACCUAAUUGAUUACUUGAUGUCUUAGUAUCGAGAAUUGAAAAUCUAAAGAGAAUUGAAAAUUCGAUCCCUUUUUGUACUAAGAUAUUUUAAUAGAAAAGACUUUAUUCUGAAUUAAUCGAGAAGAAGGAUCAUGCCCCGUGAGUUAGGAUACAACACCAUUAGUUUUCGAAAACCAGAAUUGUAACACCCCAAAACUGGCCUAGACGUUAUGGCCAAAUCUAGCGAUGUCACAUGGAAAGGGAUUUGAAGACAAGAUUGUCGAGUUUAAAAACUGUUGCAGUAAGUGGAAGCUUUUGUAACCAAUUAAUUUAGGGAAAUCAUUUCUAUUUACGAAAAACCUUAGUUUUUAGAGAAAAAGAAAAACAAACUGUGUUUUGUGGAGUUGCAGCCACAAAAAAAACUAUAAAGUCCUAAAUUUAAAACCAACCAGUUCAUAGUCCAAAAGAUACAUCAAAAACCCCAAAUAAGUAAUAAAUUCUAGGCAUUAACAGAAAAAUUCUAAAAUUUACGUAUGGCCACCGUUGAGUCCUCCGUUGCACCGACCCGUCAAGUCUGAGGAUUACCUGUACAAAUUAAACAGAGAAAGGGUGAGUUUUUGCAAAAUCAGUGUGUAAUCCCCAAAGAAAACAUGCAUACAGAUAAUCAACAGAAUUUAGUUAGAUACAGUCUAGGGCCUAUGCCCAUCACAGAAUCAAUUUGGGCCUUAGCCCAUUCAAAUACAGUCUCAGAAGUACAUUAGGGCCUUGGCCCAUAUCAGAUACAGAAUGCAGAUACAGUAAAUCAGAAUCCUACCCACUAGCCUCUACACAUCAUCUCCGUCCAACCCUACACACCAUUUGGGGAUUAAAUCAACCCACCCAUCCCUACACACCAUGUUGUACCGAAAUGCGGCACAUAAUCAGAAGGUUGCAGCUGAGAUGCCAGAUAACAGGCUUAAUAGCCUUUCAGACACUUCCUCCUAAUAUCAUCAACUCACCCCGAUGCAAUGCAACAUAAAAAAUAUGUCAUGCCAUUAUGCAAUUAAUAGUACAUACAUUCAGAUAUCAUAAGUCAUACUCGGUAUAGAAAUCAGACAAACAGAUCAUACAUAUAGGGGUCUAUGUUCCUUCAAAGUUAUCUACUUGAGUUACUAUUAUUAAAUUAUUUAUAUCUUGAGCUACAUAAUUCUGAAUUAAGAUCUGUUUGAUGUCUUUGAAACUAGACUCAAAUAGAUUUCUACCAUAAAAUUUUUAGAAUUUUUGGUUUAGCCAAUAAGUACAGUAAAAUCCUCAAACUUACUCCUAUUCUGCUAUCUGAUAGCUUCGUCCCUUUUUUUCUAAAAAGUAAUUAUCUCUUAGUAAAAAUUUUGGAUGAUGUUUUCAUUUGUUUUUAUUGAAAAUAGACUCAUUAAUAAUUUAAACAUGUAAAUUUUAACCCCUAAUUAUUUUUCUCCAAUUUUUUAUGAUUUUCCAAAGUCAGAACAGGGGAACCCAAAUUCAUUCUGACCUUGUCUCACAAAGUUUAUUAUACCUUACGAUUUACAAUUCCAUUACUUACACCGUUUCUUCUAUGAGAAACUAGACUCAAUAGCCUUUAAUUCCAUAUUUUAUUCAUCCUCUAAUUCGAUUUCCAAAAUUUAUGGCGAUUUUUCAAAGUUAGCCUACUUCUGUUUUCCAAACAGCAAGCAAUUUUGACUUUUCGCUGAAUUCCUUUUUUUUUUUGCAUUUCGGGUACACACUUGGGUUUUUUUAUAUUAAAACAGUCCCCGGGCACUCCAAAGCCUAUAAUCAAGAUACUCAAUAUCAAUUUAAUGGAUUUACAAGAGAAUUGACAACCAAGAACGAACAGAAACCUAACUUACCACCAACGAUAACCCUCUAUUUAACUAUUAUUAAGACGAGAACAUCGAAUUCACCAGUCUGAGCCUCCCUCUACAUCCAAAUCGCAGAGAAAAAAUUUUACCACUUCAGUCGUUAAGAGAUUCAUGACAGAAAUGAAGAGAAACACUUACCGAAACUAAGCGAGCACUAACCAUGUGCAAAAACGAAGGAAAAUAAAUAGAUUAGGGAAAAUCAAGAAGAAGAAAAAAAGAGAAAGAUGGAAAAACUUAGAGAAUUUCGGCAAGAGGUGAGGGAGAAGAAUAGACUGCAGAAUUUUUUUUGGAAAAGAGAGUCAAAAUUCUGUUAUGAGAAUAAAAUAAAAUAAAAUCCCGAUAACCCCCAAAAUCCCUUAAUCUUCUCCCCUAAUUUCCACUACAAAUCCACUACUCAGAAUCCCCCUAUUACACAACUCUAUCCCAAAAUCUGAGCAAAAAUAAUAAUAAUAGCUUUGUCUGUAUAGGAAUUCAAACACAAGAUCUCCACCAUAAUAACACACAAUUUAACCACCAAACCAGUAGGCCCAUUCUGAUGUAAUUUACCUAACAAUCAAAUAAAAGCCUACAGAACAAGAGUAAGACCUAAUUCAUUCAAAAUAUCAAGAUUUGCCCAAGCGAAGGCUUGAACUUGGGACCUCCCAAACACUCUCAAAACACAUAACCACUAAAGCUGACAGAUAUUUGUGUCAUAUUUUCACAAUAACGAAAUUAGAAGUUUUGGGGCGUUACAAGAAUAAUCGUCGUUUUAAUCGUUACUUAAGUUUUAUUUUUUUAUUUUAAAUAGGAUAUUCGAUUAUUUCAGUUCUAGAAAAAUGUCAUAUUUCGUAAGUUAGGAGCACAACUUCUUCGAAUCCUAAAAAUAAUGAACAUUACCUCGGUUUUGAAUAUUUUAUAUGUUAUAUAAAAUGAAGAUGACCCCUUUUUUUAGAACGAUACGUAUAUUUUUAACAAAAACAAAUGAAUAUAUUGUGAUAUAAUAUAUGAAAUGAUAAUAGUAAUGCAACUAUAAUAAUAAUAAUAAUAAUAUCAAUUUUAUAAUAAUAUCGAUAAUGGUACUAAUCACAGAGUAGUUAUUAUAUUAAUAAUAUAAGUAAAUAAAAUGAAAAUAACAAGGAUAAAAUAGAAUAACAUGUAUAAAUAAUAUAGUAGUUUGGUAAAAUAAAAUAAAAUGGCUACUUGGGUAAGAUAUUAGAAUGAUAAAAUAUAAAUAAAUUAAAUAAUGUAAUCAUAAUAAUAAAAUAAAUAAGAUUAUUUGAACUAAAAAUAACCAGAAGAUGCAUGAUUAAAAAGACAAGGCAUGUAAGUACUAAAAAUAAAAGAAAUAAAAAAAAUGAAGUAAUAAUGACAAUAUGACAAAAAUGUACAAAAUGAACAAUACAGAUUUAAAAAAAACAAGAAAAUAAUAAAUAAAUAAGAAAAUAAAAAAUCAUGAAAGGCUGAAAUUGCCAUAAUAAAUAAAUAUAUAAUUAAAUAAUAAAAAAUUUAAUGAAAAGUUGAAAUUAAAUAAAUAAGGAAUUAAAUUGAAAUUUAAAUAAAAAUCAAAUUAUAAAUCGCAAAAUAAUAAAGGAAAAUGGAAAAUAAGGACUAAAUUGAAUGUCUAUUGAAAUCUAAGGUCUGAAUUAAAAAAAACAUAAAUGAUUAAAUUAAAACACGAUGCAAAGUUUCGAGGGCUUCGAAGAAAUUAACCCAAAAAUACACGCGUCAUUCCUCCAAGGGUCAAUGGUCUGUGGACCAAAUUGAAAGAAAUUUAAAAUUAAGUGGUGCGAUCUAAAACAAGAAAAGAAAAGAAAAAUUAGGACCAAAUUAAAAAAGGCCCAAAAGUAGAAGGAUCGGGGUCGCAAAUAGACCCUUGUUGCAAAAACACGCGAAUCUUGAGAUAGGUCAGGUUGAUUUUUGGAUCGUACCUCAAAACGACACCAUUUUAGGCAUCCAUCACUUAAAAUGGUCCAACGACCAAAAUGAAAAUAAAAUAUAAUUAAAUGGAAAAAUGAAAAAAAAUGAAAUAGGACUAAGUUACAACAUGCUGCAAAAGCGAAAGGACCAAAGGCGAAAAUAAACCAUUUUUAAAAAAUACGUAGAUCCUAUUAAAGGGUUGGGUCGAAUUUCAAGUUUGGCCCCAAAACGACGUCGCUUUGGGGCUAUUGAAGCCAGACCUAAACAACGUCGUUUAGCGUUUUCUAUAUAAGCCAAUUUUUUUAAAAAAAAAUCAUUCUACCCUAGUUUAAAAAAAAGUAAAAGCCCCUUCUCUUUUUCUCUCAAUUUUUCCUCCGUCCGACCAUUGGGCUACCGUCAAUCCGCCGCGGCCACCGGUUGUCGACGACGGCCGCCACCUUCCCCGAUGGCUGGAGUUCACGAAAAGGGCCCAUUUUGGCUAUUUUAUUUCCCUCAACCCCGAUCUAAGGCCAAAAUAUCCAAAAAAAUCCCACCAAAAUUUGAAAAAAUCAAAUGAACCUUUUGGUUCUCAAUCAUCUUCCGUCAUGACCAUUCGGUAAGUCCCUAAGGAACUGUCGGUCUUUCAAAAUAGAGGGAGAAGACGAUAGCGGCGAUAAAGGUAAAAAAUGUUUCAUUUUUAUUUUAUUAUAUAUAUUUUCGAAAAUAAAAGAUAAAAAUAUAAAAAUAUAAAAUAAUCACCUUUCUUUUUUUGAGUUUAUAUCUGAUUUCUAUUUCUUUUUUGUAUUCAAUUUCUCUCCUUUUUAUGAUAGAUUUUUCGUGUACGAAAAUACAUGAUUAUCUUGGCUUUUAUAGCCAAAUACAAAAAGAUAUUUUUACUGUUUGCCCACUGUUCUUGUGUGUUCUUUGCUGUUUUUUGCAGAUGGUGGUUGAGGAGCAGUUGAUGGUGGCAGAGACUAGGAGCGGUGGCAGCGCUUGGCUAAGGUGCGGCACAAAAAGGGCUAGGGUUUCUAUUGAAAAGUUUAGGGUGUUGGGCCUACCAGGCCAUUAGGGUUUUUUUAAUUUGGGCUUUGUUUUUUGUAACUAGACUGUUGUAUUUUGGACUUUGUAAUUGGGUUUAUUUAUUUUAUUUAUUGUCUGAUUUCUGUUUUGGUUGAUUGGGCCUUUUAUUUGUAAUUCGGGACCAAGCUAAAUUGGCCUAUUACAAUCGUCACCUUUGUUUUUCUUCUUCUCCACCAUCCUAUCCAAAGAAAACUUAAAAGUCAUUCUUUAAAAGCUUCAAGUUAUUAUGUCCUUACGUAGGUAAGUGGUUUUAAAUACGUUACUUGUAAUUUUUAUAUUUUUGAGGUCUCGAGAACUUGAUUUAGUUAACCCAUGUGUUAAUUUUCAAAACUAUUAAAGUUUAUAAAUAUUUUCAUUUUUGAAUCUUGAAGCUUUUGGUGUGGUUAGAAUUAAAGUCUAGAUAUGAAAAUGGAUUAGUUUGUAAAGUGAAAUUGUUAGUUUUGAACAUACAAACUAAAAUGUAAAUAUUUUGAAAUUUGUAUGAAAUUUCUGUAAUUAUGGAUAGUAGUGGGCUAUAGGAGCAUGAACUUGAGAUCGUUUUUUAAAUCGAGGCUCAAAUUUGAAAUUUAUAACUAUUUCGAUUUUAGGGACUAAAUUGAAUAAAAUGUAAAACUUUAGGGACAUUUGAAUAAAAAAUUGAGCUGAUACAUGUUUAUGAUGGGAUGAAAUAAGAGGGUUGAAAUUGAUAAAUUGUAUAGAUUGAGAAUUGGACUCAAUCGUAAUUAAUCAGGGAAAAAGACAAAUUUGUUAUUAGUCCUUAGAGAAUUGAUAGUUUUUUGUUUUGACCAGGUAAGUUCAUACGAUAUGUUUAUGUCAAAUUGUUAUGCUUUUAAAAUUAUAAUUGUAAGUAUGUUUAAUUGAAAUUUUGAUUGUUUAAAAUUUGGUACAAAAAGGUGAGAUAUGGAUUAAAUCAUAAACAAUUGACAAAUUGACUAAUAAAUUGAAUGUAAUGAAUUGCAAUCUAAGAUUGAUUAGUUGAAUUGAAUCAAAUUGAUAUGAUUAUGUUUGAUCUUCAAAAUAGAGGAGUAAUUUGAAUAUAUUUAGAAAUAUUGUAUAUUGUUGUAAUUGCAAAAUUGGCUUUAUGAUAAGAUGGAUUAUAAUGUUAUGCAUACAAAUUGAUAAUUGGUUGAUGAAAUGACAACAUCGAAUUGAGAAAUUGGCUUAUGAAUGAAAUUGAGAAAUCGUUACCCUAUUAACUAUUCGGGUGGAGUCGAAUAUAGUUGGCAUGCAAUUAGAUAGGAAGAGUUCGGGGUUACUUUGACUAUGUGUCGAUAAGACACUAGGUGCCAAAACAUUGCUGAGCGUUGGGCACAAACUAUUUACUUCGGCAUUGUCAGAUAAGGCACGAGGUGCCAAACUGGUAUGAUUGGUUGGAUUCGUGUAUUCGUUAGAGUCCGAGUCAGAUUAAUAGGGGUACAAAAUAAAAUUUUGAUAAAUGAUAUUUGAAUUGGGUUGAAUUAUGAUUAGAUGAUUUGUAUACAUAUUGUGAUUAACGAAUAUCAAUGGCAUGUGAAAAAUUAUACGAGCCCGGAGGGCUAAUAUAGAAUUAUGACAAAUCAAUGAAUUUGAUUCAAUAUUUGUAUACGGAAAUGAAAUAGUAAUUGACAUUAAAUUGAAAUUGAAUGUAUAAUUGAUAAUUCGAGCUUAUAUUUUUGUCCAAACCCUUCCACUUUUCCUUUUGAGUGAUUUCCUCAUUAAAAUGCUCACUUCUUUACCUUUUCCCUUAUUUCUUUGGGAUCUUCUUUUAUUAUGUUGGACUUUAUGUCCCCCAUUCAAGAAUGUCCAUAUAUAUAUAUAUAUAUACUUCUUAUGUGAAAUUUAUAUAGACUCAUUCGAUUUGGAAGUUGAAAUUCAAUUUUUAAUUGGUGAAAGAAAUUAAAAUUGUAGUAGACAUGGUGGUCCAAAAGUAUUUUACAUAUUAAUCUUGGAAGCCAUUUUUAUAAAUAUAAUAAGAUACACUAAUUUAUGCCUAAUACUGGAGGUUAACAAAAUUAUAAAUCUUGUUUUUUUAGUGGCUUUUCAUUGUUUCUUUAAAUUUUAAUGGAAUGCAUGGCAAAAAGGUUGUGUAGGCUGAGUAACAUUUCAUAUUACAACUACAAAAAUACAACCUAAAAGAAAUUUAUUUUUCCACUUUAUAUAGUAUUUUGAUUUAGAUAUUAUAAUUAUUGUCCACCGUACAUUCCAAAAUUGAUAUCAUUAUUCACUUUUAGGUUGUUUUUUUAUUUCAUUUUACUUAUGUAGAUAAUAGAUUUAAAUAUUCCAACCAUACUGGCUUUGACCAUCUAAAUCGGAAUUCAUUAUUUACUUAUUUUGUAAAUUAAACUAAAGUUAUCAUUUUUAAACAUUUAAUAACUUCAUAUAUCUACCGGAUUUAAAUUUUAAUUGUAAACUUAAAUUUAAGCAUAAUGAUAAAUUUAUUUCUUAAUUUUUAUAUUUUUUUUAUCAAUUUGGUCUUUAUUCUUUUUUAGUUAAAUUUGAAACUCAACCUUUUAAAAACGAGUCGAGUUUGACCAUUAACCUUUCAAAAAGGAUAAUUAUUUUUUAACAAAAAUACUGACUAAAACGUUUAGUUUUGAAACAUGAAAACUCUAUGGCAAUCCACAUGUAUUUCAUGUUAUUUUUUUAUUUUUAUGAACUUUUAUAAUUUUUUUUAAUUUUGAUAAUUUUUCAUAAUUAUUAAAUUAUUUGUUGAUAUGACAUAUAAAAUAAAAUAGUGUCAUGGUAGAAUGAAGUAUACAUUGGAUUGCCGCACAAAUUGCCAAGCUAACAUCAUAACAAAAAUUAAUGUUUUAGUCAAGAUUUCCAUUAAAAAAGUGAUUUGACUCUUUUUUAAAAGGUUAAUGAUAAAUUUAACUUAAAAAAAGGACCAAUUUGAAAAAAGAUGUAAAUACUAAUAACUAAAUUUAUUAUUAUGCUUCAAAUUUAAGACAUGAUUAGGGCAUUGCACAAGUUGAAAACUAAAAGCACUAUAAAUAUUACCAAAAUUUGUUUAAAGCAAUGGUAGAAUUAGUAUUUGGCAUCUAAAUGGUAGAAAAUUUAAUAUAUAUAUAUAUAAAUAAUAUAUAAAAAUAAAAUAUACAUAAAUUUGAAAUUUUUUAUAUAAAACUACAAAUAAUAAAAAAAUAUGUUUUAAAGGAAAAAAUUAUUUUUAAUAAAAAAUGAGAGAAAUUCAAAACAUAUACAUAAAUAUUAAAAAAAAAAAAGAAUUUCUCUCCUCCCAUUCACUCUUCUGUUAAUACGAAGAAAAAAAUAAGGAAAAAGAACUCUUGUGUAGCUUCAUUCCUUGAUGAAGAUCCUUACCCUUUGUUUAUUUAUUUAUUAUAAAUGAAAUUAAAAGAAGUGCAUUUAGCGUAGUAAUUCUAGUUCUCUUCCUACUCCAUAAUAGUUGAAAGCAAAAGAAAAUAAAAUAAUUGUCAAAAAUCAAACUUAUACUACCCAACAAGAUAAGGUCUAAACCAGUCAUGAUGUUCUUAUAAACUUCAAAUCUAGCUACAUCAACCCAAAAAUUUCUAAUAUUAGAAUUCAGCACAAAGGAAGAAAUCUAAGAAUUCAGUCCAGAAAUUUCUAAACCUCAUUAGCUUCCCUAACUUUGAUGGAGCAAUCUUGUCGUGGCCAAUGGUGUUGAUGAGAAAUGCAUUUUACAGUUUACUUAACAAGAAAGAAAGGAAAUGAAAAAUGUUAAGACGUAGGGAGAGAGUUAAAAGGAUAUAAGUUUAGCAUUUGUGGGAUGGUUGGAAAAAGUUUGAAGGCAAGCACAAAUGAGGAAGAGUUUUUGGAUCAAUAUGACUUCGAUAUUUUGUAAUUAAUUAUUUGAAAUAAAUUUUCUAUUUUUUAAUUUGUCUACUGAAUUAUUUUCAAAUCUGCUUAAAUUGUUUGUUGGAGUAUAGUGAUGGGUGAUAAUCACUGGAUUCAACUUUUGAUUUUGAAAUUUGAUUCUGCCUUUAUCGUUAAAUCAUAAAUUGACUGGACUCUCAGAUUGAUGAAAAUUCAUAUCUUUAUUUAACCAAAAAUAGCAUCAUUAAAAUACAUGUACAGAUUUAUUUUAUAUCCCUCAACCAAAACUUUGCUUCUCUCACCUUUUAUUUCAACAAUCAAUUAGUCACUGAAUUAUGGGUAAAUUUACGUAUUGGUCUCUUUACUAAAAUAAGUUACAAUUUGAUCACUGAAUUAUUUAAAUGUUUUUUAUUUUUUAAUCUUUGGGUUGUUAAAAUCGAUGCUAUAUGGUUUUUUCUAUUCGCACUCCCUGCACCAAUCGGAAAGAUUUCUUUCUCAUUCUCUUCUACACUUCAUUUUUUUCAUGAAAUAACUUUGGACAUCACAAAAUUGCAAAUAAAAAAUCAAACAGUUUUUUUUUUCUGAUCUCCGACACUGGCCAUCAAAUUGACUUGGAUCUAAGGUAUGUUAUUCUACUCGUUGAAGGGUACUAAUCCAAUGUACCAAUCAUCAACUUGUCGUUUGAAGCUUGCUCGCGGAACUUUAAAAAAAAAAAAAACUUUACAGCCUAAUGACUUAAAUAAAAAUUUCUGAAUAGUUCAGUGACCAAAUUGUAACUUUUUUAGUUAAUUGACUAAAACGAUAACUUACCCAUAAUUUAGUGACUAAUGGUGUAGUUUACCCUAUAAAUAACUAGUUUUAUUGGAUUUUGAAUUUCAUUGAGCUCAUUUAAGUUGGGAAUUGAAAGCAAAUUUCACAAACAAAAAAGUAGAUAAAGUACCUGGGUUAUAUAAUACUGGUUUGAUCCCUCUGCAUUUAUAGAAGGGAACUUUCACAGACAGACAUCGAAUGAAUAUGCAGUGAACAUAAAUACUCAAUAUUGCCAUUUCUUUUAUAUAUAAACGUUAGAGAAAUUAAUGUUACAACAUUGGUUGGUGCAGAAUGAUCAAUGAGGUAUAUUAUUCACCAAACAAACUAAGCUAAAGCAGAGAAGAGGAGGGGAAGGGGUAUACCACAAAGGCAAACGUUCCAAGUUUAAUGUAGCACUUAUAAAAGCUUCUACUGCUUUCAUGUUAUAAGGUUUCUCUCACUUUGGGUGAAGCACUCAUAAUUACGAUCCUGAAAACAAUCCGUUGUCAAUGUCAUAGUUAGCAAAGCUUGCCUUAGUAGUUUGUUUUAUCAUUUUAAUAAGUUACCAGCAAUCACCUUGUAAGAAUUUAUAUAAUCGCAUCCUAGUAGAACUGGUUAUGGGCCAGGCCAUUCUUCUAGGCCCAAAGUUUCGUUCAAAAAUUGAAAGGGUUUGGGUAAAAAUAUAAGUUCAAGAAAUGGGCUUCAAUAAAAAAUUAAAAAAAACGAGCCAGGCUUUGGAUAGGAUUGUUUUGGCUCAGACCCGACCCUAAUCACCCUAAAUUUUCUUUUUUGGUGUUGUUUUAAUGUCAUUUCACUAUUACAUUGCUACUAUUUUGAUGUUAUUAUUCGGAUAUUGUAUAAUUCUUGUUUUAUUGUUAAUUUAGCUACUAUUUUAGAGGUAUUUGCUUGCUAAGUUGUAACAAUCUUAGUGUUAUUUAAGUUUAAAGAUUUUUUUAAAUGCAUUUUCAAUUUGUUGGGGAACAUUUAUUUUAAUGUUUUAGUGUAUUUGAUUUAUUAUAUUUUUUAAAAUUUGUUUUUAUAUAAAAGAUAAUCUAAAAAAUUUUAUACGAGCGGGCCAGAUUGGGCACGAGUUUAGCAUUUUUAACCUAGGUCGAGAUUGGACAGAAUUUUAAACUCAUUUUUUGAGUUGGAUCGGACCUGAACCUAAAAAACGAACCUAAAAUUUUGCAUCAACCUAACCCAUGAUUAGUGCUACAUCCUAACUCUACAAACUAAUUAAGAAUAUAGAGACAUUAAUUACUUGUAGUUCAAAGUUUUAACUUGUUUAGAAAGUAGGUUUUCUCUUCUGCCUAAAUUUGUUAUUAGAUAUUUAUUAUUUUGAUAUGUAUGACUUUUGUUUUCUUAUUGUUUUAUCAUUUUCUAAUAAUUUUGUAUACUUAGAAUUCGUCAGAUGAUAAAAGUAUCAUAGAAGUUUUUUACACAAAACGUAAGUUGAAUACACUAAAACAAAGUUGCCAUAAAUUCACGUUCAACAUUCACUCUAUAAGUAUAAAAAAACCCAUAGAUGUAAGGCUCCAAGAUUUAUACAGGUGGUCAAGUAGGAUAACCCAACGAAAUUUAUACCGUUGUUAUAGGGUGUGUUCAUCUGGUAUAUGCCUUUCAGACUAUACCGACGAUGAUUCCAUCUGUAAAAAUUGUUUUGUUGGUUAUCCCGCUAAGCCUUUACUGACGGACGUAACAUAUAGCGACAGACGUAGAAAUGAUUUCCGUUAGUAAAAAUAUUUUUGUUAUUUCCAUAUUUUUAUUGGUAUUUAGGCAUUAAAUUAAUAUUAAAUUUUUUUUAUAAUUAAAUAUAAUUUAUCAUUAUAUAAAUUAUUUAAAAACAUUUUAAAUAAAAUUAUAAUUAACAUUUUUGACAAUUAAAUAUAAAAUUUUAUAUCUAUUUUUUUCCAUGGGUUCACACAUUUUUAAAAAUGAAAUAUUAGAAUUAAACAUAAUCUAAAAAAUUGAUUAAAAUAUUAAAAAAUAAAAACACAUUUGAUGUUAAAUAACAUAUACUCAUGCAUAGUUAAGCUAAACAUCAAAACGUGAUAAAAGUUUCAGACUACAAAGUUAACAUAAUCCCAAGCACAUAACAAAAAUAGUUAGUCUCUUAUCCUUCCGUUGAUCGUACAUAGAAUGGAAUCAACGCGAGAUGCAAAUUCACACUUCAAUCAAUGUAAAUUUCUAUCAAGACUUUCUUCGGAAAACAACUCAAAGUUUAAAUCUUUAAAAUUUUUACGAGGAUAAAUCAAACAUGUAACACGCAGUGUAACAGAGACAAAGAACUAUUCCUUUCAUGUGAUGUGAAGUAAGAGAAUGAAUAAUAUUUAUAUAUAUUUUGUUUGUUUAUAUAUAGAAAUCAAGUACUAUAAUUUCUUAAAAAGAAAAAGUGAAGGCUACAACAAGGAUGGUAAAGGCAUGACAAGUAGUUUCUCAAUUUGGACUAAAAUCAAGGUCCAUUUGGACUCUCAUUAUCCAGCCAACCACAACGCAUAAGGGAAUAAUUAAUUAAUCUCAAUUCCAUCCGAGACUAAUUUUAUAAUCAAAUUAAGUUGUUUUGGCUUUCUGGAUUCGGUUGUUAUUUUAAACUCAAGAUGUAAAAUUAAUAUCAUCUUUUCGAAUGUUUAAGUCUAAAUCAAGUUUGUAACCCUAGUUUUAAGUCAAUUAAACUCUAUAAAUAGGAUCUUUGAGGAGAGGCAAGAUUAUCCCCGCUCUCAACUUUAUUUGAGUUUGCAUUUUAGUUUCUUUAUGGGUUGCUAAACUCUUCUUUUCUAGUUGAAGUAAUAUUCAAAGUUUGAUUUUACAAGUUUGUGAGAUCGACUUGUUCCUAAUCUCUUUUUUUUUCCUCUUUAGCAUUUGCAUGGCUUCUGAUUUAAUUACAAUUGUUCAAGUUUGUUAAAUAUUCGGCCGGUAUUUAAUAGCUUAAAAUAACUGUUUUGUCAAUUAGAUAAUUAGUCGAUCGAUUGAUUUGUAUUUGUGACGGCUGCAUGAUUAUUUGUGUAGUACGAGCAUGAGAUUUAACUUAAAUAAACCUUGAUUGUACGUUUGUUGGUUAGAAUUUGAUCUCUUUUAUUUUUAAGGCUAUUGAUAAAUUAAAUUCCUAAGCGAUCAUGAGUUGUUUGUUAAUAAGAAAAGUAAUUAAUGACGAUUAUCUUGAUUAUCAAGAAGGAAAGAAGUGAUUAGGUUAUUAGGCGAUCGUCGACAACUAUAACUAACUUAUCAAACAACAUUGAAAUUCAUAUAUGCAUUAACGAUCAAACCUUUGAAUCAAAUGAAAAAUUUACUUUGACUAGAGUUUCAUCUCAUUUAUUUUCCUUAAUUUUAAUUACUGUUUUCUUUGUUUUUCUUUUUUAACUUUUUCUUUUAAAACAAAAUCUUUUUUUUUAAUUUGUUUUAAUUUAAAAAGUAGAAUUAUUAUUGAUGUAUGUGAAUUCAAUUUUGUUCAUCAUUAAAAAUAAACUUCACCCAAGUGUAAGUUAAUGUAAAAGUGAUUUAAUUUAAAAUUUACAAGAUAAGAUAAAAUGAUGACUGGAUAUGCCAAAAACAGUUAGCUAUAUAUACCGAUGAGAUACAUUCAAAUGUUUCAAAAUUAGUAUUGAAGCCUUAAUAUGCCUAAUAAUAAUGAGUUGUUUAAAAGUCAUGUCAGCCAUUAAUAUUGAAGCCUUAAAUUAUUAUGUAUAAUAAAAUUAUUUUUAUAGUAGUUGAUAAUUAUAAAUUUAAAUAUUGGAGUAGGGUCCCAACUCCCAAGUCGCAAUCCAAGUUUGGAAGAAAGAAAUUUCUUAUUAACAGUAUACAUAGCUACCACGUAUAUUUAUAAGCAAAAGGAAUGGCCCCCAUUCCUUAAUUUGCCACUUGUAAAGAUGGAAGACGACAAGAUUGACGAACCGAUUUGGAACAUUUUAUCUACCAUCAAGAUUUUAAUCCAAAAUUUUAUAACAUGGGCUGAAAUACUAAGAAAAUGAACAACUUACAGUUUAUAAAUAAAAUAGACACCCCAUCUUCACAUUAUUAUAUAACAAUGCGGCAAAGAGAGGCGCCCCCGCCGCUUUAAAUUGUUUUUUUUUCUUUUUUGCUUUUUAAUUUCAAGUCUUUUUUUAUAUAACACAUAUGUUUAUGGUCUAACCAAAAGUGAUGUCAUAUGGAGGGUUUAACUAAUCAUAAGAUUUAGAAACCAAAUUAAAUUAUUUGGAUAUGGUAAUGUUUUUUCAUUCAUUCAAUAUUGCAUGACAUUGAUUUUCCGAGUUAAACAAAUUCGAUAAAUGAUCAUAUUUCUUAUCAACAUUAUAAUGAAAAGCUUAAUAUGUUUCAAGUUGAAGUAGUAAUAAAGAGGGUAUGGCCCUCUUCCUUGUCCGGGCAUUUCAACUGCUUUGUCCAAUCAUGGAUCAAUCGUCCCAUAAUUUGUCCUCCUAUCCUAUGUAUGUCGGCAAACAGUGAGAUCACAUUUCACAAAAACAUCAACCUUAUGUGGGUCUCAUCACCAUCUUUACUUUACUAGUACAACAAGGUUAAAAAACAGUUUCAUGGCAGUCAAAACUAAAGCAAUUAGCUAGUCUCCCAUACUCUUCCCUUUUUUAAAAAAAAAAGAAAAUUGAAAUAUAUGAACACAAGGCAAUAAUUUUAUCUAUUUAGGAUUCAGAAAUUUAAAAAAAAAAAAAAACAAAGGGUUCAAUUCAACCAUCAAUGAAAAAGGAUGGAAAAAGACAUAUUUCAAAAAAGGUUUACAGAAUGAAGCAGAUAAAAUGAACUGCAACUCUGUCAUGCCAAGGCAUCAAUUGAAAUAGAUAGUGUUACAAUGAUAUCUAUCUUAUGUUACCUUUUUGUUGGCCCCAGAUGGUGGGACUGCGAAAACCCCAGAAACUAAAAGAUAAAAUAAAAUCUGCAAAUUAUAUAGCUUCAGAAACAUAUAUAUAUAUAUUAAGAUGGAAAAUAAUGGGGAUGAAGAAGGUAGGUAGGUAGCUAGCACAAGUGAAACUCAAGCAACAGAAACAAAUAAUCCAGCCAAUGUAGUGGUCAAACUUUACUGUUAAAUUAGCUUUAAAGGAUGCUGUUGGCACUCACCAUCUAAUAAAUCCAUCUUGUAAAACAACAAGAAGGAAAAAUGAAAAAGUUACAAGACAUUUAUAUGCCCCCCUCCAAAGCCCACUUUGUUUAGUGCAACUGCAAUUAUAAUUAUUCUAUAGUGGAAAAAAGGGUUUUAUACGUGGGGACUACUAUUCCUUACACUCUCAAAAGUCACUUUGAUUUAAUUAAUUUCUUUUUCUUUUUAUUUGUUUAUUUAUUUCUCUAGUUGAUGGGGAUAUUUCAUUGCGGUUCCAAGCUCCCUAGAUGUUUAUGGAUUCUAGCAUAUCAUACUAAAGAUCAUGUGAACUCUUCUCCUUUUGGUUUUGAUUGUGGAACAUGGCAUAUAUAGCUUUGAUCAUGUGCUUUCAUCACAAUGAAUUGUCACUUUUUAUCACUAUAGGCUCUUUGAUUUUUCAUUCUUUUAUAGAAAUUAAUGAUUGAGUUGGCUUUUAUUUCUUUUAUACAUAUUACAAAACUGACUGAAAAUUUUCCCAUUUUGAUUUCAUGCCGAAUAUCGUUUUAUGUUGAUUUACUCGAAAGAUUUGUAUCACCCCACCGCCAGAAAAUUAUGCAACUAUCUUCAAAUCUUUUAUUAAAGAGAUCCUCUUCCUUUUUAUUGCUUUCAAAUAUGAUAUAAUUAACUAAUAAUUUAAAGUCUAUUGUAAAUCAUUAAAUGUUAUAUCCGGAUUGCAAGUUUUAUUUAAAAUUAGUGAAUUUUUAGUAAAAAGAAAUUGAUUGAUGAAAUUUCCAAGUUAUCCAUGGUUGAAAGUGACGGUCCUCACAUCAUCAUCAUCGUUAUCAUCAGAACGAUGAGAGAUCACCUUUGCAUUUACCCCUUUUAAAGAUUCUAAUAAUCUUAUACGGCUUCAACUGGAGUCCAUACCAAAUUUAUGCCUACUGCUUAUCGUACCCUUUCAUUCCUCCGGCUAAUAAUUACUUCCCCCACACAAUAAAAAUAAAUACCACAAAUAAUCCUUUUCUCAGCAUUUACAAAAAAAAAAACUUACAUCUUCCAAGAGAUUUGGCACUCAAAAACCCGGCAACUGUGGCAAAUCAUCCGGACCCAAGAUCCCACAAUAACUUCAUGUGUUGUAUGAAUUAUCAUCACCACAGUUCCCAGAUUUCAGCUUCAUUUCUUUUUUCUCUUGCAUUGCAUUCUUAUUUUUUAUUCUAUGCCUAUAUAUACAAAACUCAAAAUAAAAACUAAUAAAAGGGCAGAAAAGAAAUGUAGAAAAGGAAGUGGAAAACUUAUAAAAAAGAAAAAAGCAAAUAAGCAGCUUGUUGCUUCAACCCUAAUGGAUGAUAGGGCGGAUUUUUUUUCCUAAAAAUGAAUCAGAUAGAAAUCUGAAGAAAAUUGUAAACCCCAUAGGCAUACUUCUAAUAGAAAAUAGUAAUAGUAGUAGUAGUAGUAGUAGUAAUAUAACAGAGUGACGUGAAUGAUGGUCAUCCAUCGUUUGGAGAUUCGGAGAUGCUCUCUAAGUGUGGUCUCCACACCCCAACUCGGCCUCUUCUUCGAUCCCUUUGCGUUGAUAGUUUCUCUGAAAGUAUCUCACUUAAAUACUGAUCCGAUAUCAAAAGAUUCGACAUUGAAAUUGUGUUGUUGUUCUUGUUGGCGUUGCUCAUGCUUCGGCUGUGAUUAUGCUGGCGGUUGCGGCCGUUGCUGCUGGCGCCGCCGCCGUUGUUGUUGUUGGUGGUGUCAAGCCUGUCUCUUUUUUUCUUCUUGGUUGUUGAGGAAGUUUUGGAACGGGUUUUAUCGGGUGUUGAAAGGAGUGGUAUUAGGAAAUAAAUCUUGCCACGUUGAAGUUCGGCGUCGGGUGGGACGAUGACGAUUUUUGGGACCAUCCCAUCAUCGGAAGAAGAGGAAGGCUUCUUUAGAACGUGUUUAGGGUAAGCCUUCAUGAUGUCGCUGGCUUUGAUGGAGCCACUGAUUUCUUCAACGCGGCCAUUGGAGUGUACUAUUCGAAUCACAUCGAGUGCUCCACAGGGCAGAAUGCAAGAGAUGCAGCACCGGAUUGUGUUCUUCAUGCCUCUUCUUUCUCUCUAUAUUGGCCUCUCAUAGAGAGAAAAAAAGAAGAACAAGGAGGGAGGAAAUGAAGUAAUGAAAGAGAGAAUAUAAGAAGAGAAAAAAAAAAAAAAAGAGGAGGAGAAAUCUAUUUUUUCUUUAGCCUUAGCUAACAAAGAGAGUUGGGAAUCAGUCACCCAAAAGAAAGAAAGGAAAGAAAAUUAAUGAUGUUUUUUAUUAUAUACACAAUUAGCUAUUCCAACCCCCUCUCCCCUGGGCCUUUUUCUCUGCUUUUUUGAGGGAAUUUUUUUCCUUUCACUUGCUUAGAAUGAAAUCUAUGGCAUGAAUAAUUGCACCUUACUCUGUACUUUGCCUUUUGGAUCCAUCAUUUAGGGCCCCCGUCUCCCUUCCCUUCACUAAGAUCAAUAAUUUUGGGGGGGUUAGUAUUGCUAGGUUGGAGAGCUUAUGGGUGACACAUGUUAGUGCAUGAUUGGAACUGCCAAGUAAGCCAGAACAAGACCCUCCUGCCAGGGGAUGACCAAUGACACAUGCUUCAAUCACCUUGUGACAAGUGUCAUUUUCAAGACCCAAAAUGCCACUAAUAUUAGAUGGGGCCACUAGGGUAGAGAGAGAGAGAGAAGCCUUGUUUAGAGUUUAAAAAAAUUGGGCAUUGUGAGAAGGGAGAUUGGGGAGUUGGGGUUUAGGGAAAUCUUCUUUUAAGAGGGAUUGUGAAUUGUGAUCUUCCAAUAUUCCCAAGCAAGAUCAUGUGGGUUGUGGUUUUCAUUGGAAAGUGAGGUUUUAGAUGGUAGAGUUUAAGAAUUCUUCUAUUUUAUCAUUUCCACCCCUUUUUUGUGGUUUCAGAUUUAUUUCUUCCUUUCCUCAAGUGCUUUGCCACAUAUAGCUUCAUUCCCAGUUCCUAAAUUCUCUUGACUUCACUUGAGAGUGAUUGUUUUGAGUUCCCACUUUUCACAUAUACACUUAGUUCAAGCAUUCUUUUGUAAGUAAGCAUGGAGUUUCAAAAAAACUAAGAUCAUGACACCAACAAGAAGCAAAAAAGAUUCAAGCUAAUCCCUUAAAAAAGGGUAUUAAAUGGUUGGAUUUGAUGUUUUACAAUUUCGUUUUCACUUGGGGGACCAUAAUCAAAAUUAGUAUGACCACAUUGAGAAUUAAACAAAGGUUAACAGUUAAUAAAACACUGUUUAAUCUUAGUAAUGUCCCAUCCAGGCAUGGCCCUACCAAUUAAAUGGUUCAGAUGUAGAUGUUAGUGGGUAACAUGUGAUAGUAUGGAGAAAGGAGGGUCCAUUGAAUUGUGAAGGGUUUUUCUAAUUUUCUUUCAAAUAAUAACCCUUCUUGAUUGCUAAAUUAGCUCACCAAAUCCAUUCACCCUUUUUUUUAAUCAGCUUAAUUAUGAUUAAACGAAUUGCUAAGUAUAUAAUAAAAGAAAAAAUAUGGGUCCCUUAACCACACAUCAAUCACAUUGGCAAAAAGGAUGUACUUUUUAAGAUGUGCUGUUGUGGACCAAAUCCCCUUUUAUCUCCACAUUAAACAAAUCAAAUCUUAUUUGAAGAUUGAUUUAGUCACAAUCUUCUUUGUCUUCUUUUUUUUUUUUUAAAUGUCUUAUAAUUAUUCUCUUCAUUCUUUAAGACUAUAUAAUUUCAACUAACCACUAAAAGAACAAAUUUUUAAUCCGACUGUUUUAAAAGAGAUGGUGAUAACAAAGUUUAGCAAGUUUGUACUCUCUCUAUAUUUAUAUAUAAGUAAUUAUCUGAUUCACCAUACAUGAGCUUUUUACAUCCUAUAUAUAUAUAUAUCUAGGAAAAAUAAAAAUUUGAGAUAUUGCAGAAUUUAAAAUUUCAUGAUAAAUGUGUAAAAUUACAAGUCAUAUAUAUAUAUUAUUUUCAAAAUAAAUAGUAUUUAUUAAAGUAAUUAUAUUUUGAAUUAAAAAUCAAUUAAAAUUUUAUAAAUUAUUUGUAAGUGGACAGUCAUUUGUUAUUAGAGAUAAAAAUAAAAAAUUAUUUUGGUGGGCAAUUUUUAAGAGUAAAUGACAUACUUACCCUUAUUUGAUAAAUGUGUUAUAAUUAAAUUUUGAUUUAUUUUAGUAAUUUCAUUAUUGAGUUGGUGUGAUUGAGUCAAGUGACACUAAACCAAGCAGUCAUUUUAUAAUGUUACUAGAAUUUGUUACAUCUACACUUUUAUAAUUUUUUUGUUUAAUUUUUAAUCUAUUGUUAUUGUUGCUGCAUAUGGAUGUCAUGUAACAUUUUUUUAUUGGAUUGAAAUGUGACGUGGCAUAUUUUAAUAGGGUUACAUUUAAGUCACCUAAAGUGUUUAGGUGAGCAACUCACUAAUUUUAGUAACGUUGUUUUAAAAUGGUAUAUUAUUAGUUUCAACUGUAUUGAAUAUAAAAGGGAGUGUUGUUUAUUCUUUUCGAGAAACGGCAUAAACAAUGGGGUCAAAUGUAAACCAAACUUUAUCGAUGAGGUUGUUUAGCAAAGCUCCAAUUAUGGCCGACUUCACUUCAACACCAUUUCUAAACUUCCGGGUCUUUGUUUUUUAAUUUCACGCCAUGUCCCUCAAGAUAACGAUACCAAAACCUCUGAAUUUUUGUAAACAAAGUAAAGGAGUUGGAUUUCUUCUAUAUUAACUCUUAAUUAUUUUAUGAUUAAAAACAUUUCCAAACCUCUAUCAAUAAUCCGGUUUUCAAGGUUACAACUUUACAAUUAUCGAAGACUUGAAAGUAACAAGUGUGUUUUGAGAGUUUGUGAUUUACCACUCCUUUAUAUAUGCACUUACAUAAUUAUAUAUUUAUUAAUAAAUAUUGAAUAGAAAUUGAUGACUAAACAAACUUCUAUCUCAAAUAUUUCGUAUUCAACUCAUCCAUAAAAUUCUCCUUGCACAAUCUUCACUAAAAUGAUUAUAACUUGAGCUUCUGAAAUCAUAUAUGAAGCUAAUAAAGAAAUACCUUCAAUCCAUAAGAAGAGAAAUCAACCAAAAAUGCUUCGACCCUAUCCAUAAAUGGGUCACAAGUUGUAUGAUCUAAACUCUCUUGGGUUCCUAUCAUUCCUCCCCGCCCCCCUCCAAAUAAAAAAAAGGAUUCGUCCUCGAAUCUGAGCAUUAUGUAGGGAAUGGUAUGAUUUUUCCCCUCCAAUUGGAUCUACAAAAACUUGAAAUAUAGAAACACCACUAAAUAUAUUCGAGUUUCAUGUAACAGCCUGAUUUUUAGUGGUGUCGAAAACAGUAGUUUGAGACCACCAAAUCCGACAAGUAAGCUCGUAAAUUUUAUUAUUUAGUAGUUACGAGUCAAAUGAGAUUUUAGAAAGAUUUUUGCAUUAGUAAUUUGUGUUUUAUAAGGAUUUAUUAGGUCAAGUGGUUUAGAAAAUGAGGUAUCGAGACCUCGUUUCUAUAAAUCAAGUCGUAAAUAUUUUUAUAAAUAUUUACGGAGUGUCAUUAAGGUAGUAUUAAAUUUUUAUUUGAAAAUUUUAACGUUUUGAUAGUUAAUCAAUUAAAAAGGACUAAAUUGAAAAAGAUGUAAAACUUGCUAAUUAAGAGAAAUAGUGAUUCAAUAGCCUAGAUGGUAAAUAAGGGAGAACUUAAAGAGUAAUUAAGCCUAAAUGAAUUGGCUGAGGCGGCAUAAGCUAAAAAAAAUGCUAAAAUGAUGUGAUUAAAGGGCAAAAUUGUAAAUAAAUGAAAUUAAAAUAUCAAAUUGAAAAACCUAAAAGUUUCUAGACAUUUUAUUCAUAAAUUUUUUGUCCAAAAACACCAUUGAAGAGCUCUCAAAGCUUUUUUUUCAUAUUUUAGCUUCAUGUGAAUUUAAUUCUUUCCUUUCUCUUGUAAUUUUUGUGUUUUUAAGACUUUUACAAUUAGGUCCAACUAACUAUUUCAUUACUUUUUGAUUUUAUUGGAAAUUUUGAAAGUUACCAUUGAUUAAUACUAGAUAUUUUUUAUGAAAUAACAUGGAUUUAGAGCUUUAAUUUUGUUGUAUGAUGAUUUUAUAUGGUAAUUUUGAUAGAUAUUAAUUUUAGGACCAAAUUAAGAAAAGGUUAAAUAUUAGGGUUUGGUAUUAAAUUUCUAUUUACCAAGGGCUGUAUGAUAGCCUAGAAUACUUAGAUAAAUUAUCAAUUGAGAAAAAUUAGUUCAUUUGAUAGACUAAUUAGUUAAGGGACUAAAUUGUAAAAGUUGUAAAAGUUGGGGUAAUUGUGUAAUUUUGAAAAAUUGAGGGGUAUUAAUUGUGAAAUGAAUCGGAACUGAAAUACAUGCUAAUGAAUGAGUAAUUUUAUAUUUUAGAUCAAGAGCUCGUAGAUACUCGUGAAAAAAAAUUAGCAGAAUAGUCUCUGAACUCCUACAAAUAUUACAAUUUAACCCAGGUAAGUUCGUAUGGUUAAACUUAAAUAUUUAUAAAGAUAUUUAUUUGUUGAAAAUGAAUUAUUGUUAAAGUUACAAAAUGGAAUUAAACGUUCGGAUUUAAAUGGCACGCGAGAUAUGGUACAUUCAGCAAUCGAUGAAUUGACGGCAUUAGAGGAAAGUGAUAGCAAAUUACCCAAGUAAACCGAGGUUUAGCAUUUGUUGCUAACUUUCAUGUUUACUCUCCAUUUAGCUCUCACAAGCUCCUGUUUAACUCAUAUGAGUUUCCGUUCAACUCUAUUGAGCUUAUGUUUAACUCUUAUGGGUUUCCGUUCAGCUUUUACGAGCUUCCAUUCAACCCUUAUGGGUUUCUGUUUAGCUCUCAUGAGCUUCUGUUUAGCCUUCGGGCUUCUAAUAAUGAUGUACUCUUAUCUGUAAGCCGUUCUCCGAAUUGGUAAGGUUAGGUAAGUGACUUAUGUAAUUGAAAUUGAAAGACUUAUUGUUAUUAUUAGUAUUAAUUUGAAAUAAGUAUGUUCAUCGAUUAAAGUGAUUAACAGGGAGAUUGCAUGAAUAAUUUACUUAUUAAUUUGUUAUAAUAGGUUUGGUAAGAUUUAUGUUUAACCUAACGAACUUACUAAGCUUCAUUAAGCUUACUUGUGUUGUUUAAUGUCCUUAUAGAUUAUCACGGCAAAAAAAAAACCUACCGGGGCAAUGUCUUUUUCUUGGGCUUAUCGCAGUUUUUCUCAUUGAAGUCGAGAUUCCUUCUCUCUGAGUUUUUUGGAUCCAAUCCCGAUUGAAGAGAGUUUUAAAUUUAUCUGUCAUGGUCAAAUGUGUCAAAAACAAAUGAUGCAAGCUCACCAAAGAAGGUUCGCCCUAGAGAAUUUCAUGAGGGGGACUUGGUAUUGAAGAAGAUCUUCCCCAUACAAAAGGACUUCAAAAGGAAGCGGACGCCAAAUCGGGAAGGGCUUUAUGUGAAAGACCCUAUCUGGAAAAGUGUUAAUUUUGACCGUAAUAUAUUUCAAAAAAUAUAUUUCAAAAAAGAAAAAGGAAAAGAAAAAAAAAGAACCCCAAUUAGUAUUCUUUUUAUGUUAUCCAGAAGACUCUUUUUAUAUAAUUUACAUAAUCUCCAUUACCAAUCCUUUAUGUAUUUUGGUGUUCCUAACCAUCCACUCUUUUUUGUUCAAUCCCCCGUUUGUUUAGCAAUACAUGUAUGGGAAUCCAUACAAAGGAUAGCGAAAACUCUAUACGGUUGAUCUUUUGAGCCCGCUUCAAGCUAGAUUGACUAAUCAACCUGUCUUGGGGUAAAGAUUUCUUCCGAAGGCGAAAACCCGCAAAGGGCGCCUUGAGACCAAGAAGGAUUUGAGUUAAAAACCCGAAAAGGACGGCUCAAAUUUUGGAUCAAAAUGGGGCAUGAGGUGAUGGAGCAGCUUAAAUUUUGAUCAAAUUAGGGCAUGAGGUGAUCUUGUUAUACCUGAAUCAACAAGAAAGGGUAGGCGACAUCUUGGGGGAUAGACAAAGUCUUGUAGAUCUCCUAAACACAUGUCAAACUCAAAAUGGUCUUUCAAAGAGUUUGUACAGAGAAGUUCAAGCUGUGAUAUCUGGGGCACCUAAUCUUUAUACUAUUUAUAUUGAAUUUGUUGUCUUUGAAAACUUCAUUCUUUUUCAAGAUACGUGUUCCCAAUCAAUUCCUCUUUUAUCUUUAUUAUCCUUGAUAAUUUAUUCAUUUUGAGCUAUGCUCCCAAAUCAAUUUUAUUUUUAUCCAUUGUUAUGAUCUUUUACAAGCAUGUUGCAUUGGAAUAAUGAUUAAUGGACUAAUAAUACUUUCACAAGGGAAGUUUUGCAUAUUACUCUAGAAGUUUCUAAAUAAUAUAGGAACCUGAAACAUGACUAUCAUUUAGAACACAUCAAGUUUAAAGGUUGAAAUAUCUAAAAAGGAAAAGUCUAAGUUAAGACUAUCCUUUCGGAUUUCGUUGUCCAAACUUUGAUUGAACAAAAAUUACAGGAUGUCGUGUUGGUGACAAAGCUUCAAUGAACAAGAAAGCAAUGAUCACCAAGUGAUAAGAAGAGGUUUCUCAGAAGAGAAAGUUAUACAAUUGUGUAUAAACAUUUGGUAUGACACCUUGGGAAUGAUGUAAGGCCAAAGAGAUUCAGAUCCUGUAUCCUUGAUUUGUGAUAGCAGAGGAUUGAGAAAAGGCCAAAUCUUUCUACCCUUGGGUUACAACAGGAGAAAGAUGGUACAAGUUUUGCAUCUAGUGGAUUGAACUCGAAAGUUUACAGUGGGGGCAAUCUGACUAAGUGUUUCUUCAGAAAAGCCAGCCGAGCAAGAAGGCGUUGUAGCAUGUCAGUGAUAAAGCCUUAAUAAAUUUCGAGUAAUGACAACUUAAGGAUCAUUCUAAAAAAAAAGACAUUCUGCGUUCAUGCAAACAUCAUUCAUACAUACCUAGUUAGGAACAUUUGACUCAUUCUGAUCAUGAUAUCCUAAUCACUAGGCAUAAUUAGGUUCAUUAAAUGGAUUCUAUAGGUCAUGUUCCCUAGAGAGCAGAUUAGUGAAACCAUAAAUCCUAUACCCUUGAGGUUGCAGUGGGAUGGAUUGAAGUAGAUCAUAGCAAAUCUUAUCUCCCUAAAGUUAAAGUAGAGCAGUUUAAAGCCAAUAAUUCUAUCUCCCUAAAGUGGCAGUGGAGUGGAUUGAAGACACGAAUCUUAUGUCCCUGGCGUAGCAGCGGAGUAGAUUAAAGCUGAGGGCAGCGAAUCUUAUCUCUCUAGCGUUAAGGCUUGGAAUAGCUGAAGUGGAGCGGAUUAAAGCUGUGGGCAGCGAAUCCUAUCUCUUUGGCAUUACAAUUAAAUAGAUUAAAGCUACAACAGCGAAUCUUACUUCCGUGGCGGUGCAGUGGAACAGAUUGAAGCUACAACGGCGAAUAUUGCUUCCCUGACAUUGCAGUUAAACAGUUUGAAGCUAUAACAGUGAAUCUUACUUCCCUGGCAGUGCAGUGGAACAGAUUGAAGCUACAACGGCGAAUCUUGCUUCCCCGACAUUGCAGUUAAAUAGAUUGAAGCUACGACAGCGAAUGUUACUUCCUUCGCGGUGAAGUGGAACAGAUUGAAGCUACAACGGCAAAUCUUGCAUCCCCGACAUUGCAGUUAAAUAGAUUGAAGCUAUGACAGCGAAUCUUACUUCCCUGGCAGUGCAGUGGAACAAAUUGAAGCUACAACGGUGAAUCUUACUUCCGCGACAUUGCAGUUAAACAGAUUGAAGCUACGAUAGCAAAUCUUACUUCCCUAGCGGUGCAGUGGAACAGAUUGAAGCUACAACGGCCAAUUUUGUUUCCCCGACAUUGCAGUUAAACAGAUUGAAGCUACGACAGCGAAUCUUACUUCCCUGACAGUACAAUGGAACAGAUUGAAGCUACAAUGGCGAAUCUUGCUUCCCGACAUUGUAGUUAAAUAGAUUGAAAAUAACGAAUCUUAUUUCCCUGAAGUUGCAGUGGAACAGAUUGAAGCUAUAAAUUACAUAUCUUAUCUCUCUAAAAUUGCAGUAGAGCAGAUCAUAUCAAACCUUAUCUCCCUUAAGUUGCAGUGGAGCAGGUUAAACCAAUCUUAUCUCUCUGAAGUUGCUGCGAAGAAGAUUGAAGCUACAGGUCAUAUCUCUCUGAAGUGCAGUAGAGUGCAUUGAAGCAACGAGACAUAGUGGAGUAGAUUAAAACCAUGAAUCUCGUCCCCUUGAAGUUGCUGCGAAGAAGAUUGAAGCUACAACUCAUAUCUUUCUGAAGUACAGUAGAGUGGAUCGAAGAAAUGAGACACAGUGGACUGGAAGGAGGCUAUUUGAAGAAAAUGAGCACUAGAAUAAGUCAAGACUCGGCGAGACCGAGCAAAAUUGGUCUUUCUUAGUCUUUACUCUGUUCUCAUUACACGACAACGAGUAAAGAGGUGCAGCUGUACAGCCCAAAUUUUGCCCAGGGCCCAAAACCCAAAACCCAACCAACCCAAACACAAAUAACAAACCCAACCACCUAGACCUAACCCAAUAGCCCAAUUAAAACCCGAGCCCAAUUACAAUGCUUGGCCCAACAGUCCUAGCCCAAAACAUAUUUUUAGAAAAAACGUAACCCUAACCCUAGGUGCGCCGCACCUAGGGUCGCCCACUUGCCCUGCCACCACUGCCUCUGCUGCCGCGCCACCAACUCUGCCACCUGCUCCAUCAACGUCAAAUACCUGCAAACAAACAGCAAAAGAAACAGACCACAAAACAGUAACAAUAUGAGGGGAUUUUUUUCUUUUCUUUCGGCUAUAAAGCCGAAUAUGUUGUAAAAGUUUGGGGGAUUUUUUUUAUUCUUGUUUUUCAAAAAAAAAAGAUUGAGAAAUAAAAACAACAAAAAAAAUUCAAAGGUUACAUUGAGAAACUCUACUCUAUUUUCGUUUUGUUCUUUUAUUUUUAUUUUUAUUUUUUUUGAAAUAAAUAUAAAAAUAAAAAAAGGAGAGGCCUUUUUACCUUUUUUGCCAUCGUCGGAGUGUGGGAGACCAAUGAUCUACAUCGGAGGAAAAAAAGAAAUUUUUUUGGACUCCCCGCCGCCGUGCACAGCGGUGCCAGCGAUCGGCGGCCGACGCAACGGUCGUUGGCCGGAUUUUGGGCCGAUUUGCGGAGAGGGGGAGAGGAGUUGGGAGUGUUUUUUUGAGAUUUUUUUAAAAAGAAGGGAAAAAAUAAAAUUUUUUGAAAAAUUUUGGUUUAAAUAGGGAAGCAAAACGACGUCAUUUUACUCUGCCCUUUAAAACGCCAAAAUGGCGUCGUUUUGAGCUACUUGAUCCAGCCGAUCCGACCCGCCUGGAGGAUCUGCGUGUUUUCGACGGAAGGGCUAAUUGCACUUUUAGCCCUUCCACUUUUUUAAUGUUUUUCAAUCAAGGGUUUUUUUAUUUUUCAAUUUUACCCUGUGUUUUUUUAUGAAUUCAGUUUGGCCCACACUUGAAUGACGACGUUUUGGAGGGUGGGGAUUAUUGCCCAUUUGGUCCCUCCUUGUCAUUUGCGCUUCCUAUUGGGUCCUCCCUUUUUAUUUAUUUUCAGAUUUGACCCCGAAUUUUGUUUUAAAAUUCAAUUUAGCCCUUUUGUUUUUGUUAUUUUGGUUAUUUUAUUAUUAAAACUAAUAAAUUAUUAUUGUUAUUAUUAUUAUUAAUAUUAUUUUUAUUAUCAUCAUAUUUUUGUUUAUACUUACUAUGUAAAUUUUAAAUAUAUUAUUAUAUUAUUAUUAUAUAAUUGCUUCUAUAUAUAUAGACACACAUAUAUACAUAUUUAAUAUUUACAUACAUAUACACGCUUAUAUUUUUUUAUAUAUUUUAUAAUUUAUAUACAUGUAUGUAUUUAUAUGCGCAUUUUAAAUUUAUAUAUAUACUUAUACAUACUCUUUAUAUUUUAAAAUCUAUAUUUUUCUUAUUUAUUUUCUAUAGUUUAUAAUUCAUGUGUACAUAUAUUUUUAUAUAUUUUCUAAUGCAUACAUGCACAUAAUAUAUAUAUAUCUACAUACGUUUUUUAAUUUUUAUAAAUAUACAUAUAUACCUACCUUUAUUUUUUUUUUCAUAUCUUUAUAUACAUAUAUACAUACAUACUUACAUAUAUUUUUAUGUACAUAGAUUUUUUCAUAUUUUCAUAAUUUUAUGCACACAUACAUAUAUAUAUAUAUAUAUCUUUUUACAUUUUUAUAAUUUUAUUCAUUUUAUUUAUUUAUUUAUUUUCGUUAUUAUUUUAAAAGAAUGCUUUGACUUUAUUUGCUUAUAUAUUUGUUUUGUAUGUUAUGGAUUUGUACUUUUUAUUUAUCUUAUUUUUGUUGUUGUUGCUCGUGUUAUCUUUACACCAUCGUAUUCAUUAUUGUUUUGCUAUGUAUAUCAACAAUGUCAUUCGUUUUUGCAUUCUUUUUAUCACGACAUCGUGUUUCAUUUUACUCAGUAUGUCAAAAUUUAUUCUAAAUAAAUAACAUUUCGUAUGUUUAGAUUCGAGAAGGUUGUACCCUAACUUACUGGGUUUCGAUUUUCACAAUAAAUCUAAAUACACGGAUCUUUUCAAACUCAAGUUUUAAAUGAUCUCGGGAAUUAAGAAAAGAUCGUGUCCUAACUUACUGGGCAUGAUCCCUUUUUAAAUCCGAGAUAGCUAAAUAUCUUUUAAAUAAGUAAAUUUUCGGCAUUCAUUCGCGCAUCGAGAAUUCAAGACUUGUGUCCUAACUUACUGGAUAUAAUUCUCUUUCUCGAUUAAUGUAAAAUAUGCCCUUUUCUCGAAAAUUUUCAACAUUUCAAUAAAGGAUCGUAUUUUUAAAAUUCUUCAAAAUUUUCAAUCUUCGACACUAAGACAUUAAUUAAUCAACUAGGUACCAAUUUUGGGCGCUACGAGGGUGCUAAUCCUUCCUCGUACGUAAUUGACUCCCGAACCCAUUUUUUGAAUUUCGUGGACCAAAAUCGUUGUUUUAAUAAAAUCAAAUUGUUUAUUAAAAUAACCACUUUUCGAGGUGGCCCGAUCACACCUUAUCAAAAAGGAUUGGUGGCGACUACCAUAUUCGUUUUCAUUUUUAAAAUCCAAGUCGACCCCGUUUUGUCAAAAAAAUAGUGUCAACAUAGUCCAUUAUGAAGAGUCCAUAAUUCUAUGUCUACACUUGUAGUACAAGGGAUGUGGCAGUAGGAUCCUACGAUCCAGUUUCCGUGUUGGUCUUUUAUAAAGGCUCAAGAGUUUAAAAAAUCCUUAAACUUUUUUUUAAAAAAACAACAAAUCCCUCCUCUUUUUUUUUUUUUUGCACUCAAUUAAGCACUUGAACUUUCAAAAUGUAUAAAGGCCCUCAAACUUCUUCAAAGAAACCAAUUAAACCCCUAUUUUUUUUCACUCAAUUGGGUACUUGAACUUUCAAAAUGCAUGAAAAAGAUCCUUAAAAUUUUUCAAAAAAGCAAUUAAGCCUCUACUCUUAUUAAAAAUUAGAAAAAAUAAUUAUAAAAAUAAUAAAUUUUAGAAAAUUUAUUAAAUUUUAAUAAAAAUAUAAAAUAUAAAAAAUUAAAAAUUUAUUAAAAUAAUUUUUAUAAAAUCAUAAAUAAAUUUUAAAUUUUUAUAAAAAUCAUAAAAAAUUAAUGACCCUUAUUUUUUUCAAUUAAAGUCAUCACGUGUCGCAAUACAGUGUGACAUGUGGUGAAAAAUGAUAAAAGAAUUAAAAAUCAAUAAAAGUUUUAGAAAAUAUUAUAAAAUGCUUCUUUGGUGCAUAAUUUUUAUAAUUUUUUUUCGAAAUUUAUAUUUCUUUACAUUUUGUAUAAUUUUCUUACUAUUUUAUAAACUUUUAUAUUUUUUUAUGUUUCUAUAUAUUUUAUAUAUUUUUUUACGAUUUUUAUAAAAUUUUACCAUUUUUAUAUUUUUUACGAUUUUUAUAUUUUUUUUCUAAUUUUUAAUAAAUUUUAAUAUUUAAUUUUUUUAUUAAAAUUUAUUAAAAUUUAUAGCUUUUAUUGAUUUUAUUUUUUUAUAAUUUUUUUUAUAAUUUGUAAUAAAAAUAGGGGCUUAAUUGGUUUUUUUUUUUAAGUUUGAAAGUCUUUUUGAUACAUUUUAAGAGUUCAAGUAGCCAAUUAAGUGCAAAAGAAAAGGAGCUUAAUUACUUCUUUUUAGAAAAAAAAAAUUUGAGGGUUUUUUUUUGCACUGUUAAAGCUUUCAUAAAUGCACUUGAUCCAUCUCUUCAUGUGCCUAUUGAAGAUUCAUCUGUAUUCAGCUUCGACUAUCCCUACUCUAGUAGCUGCCAAUUAAUUGGAGUAAAUGAUUGUAAAGGCUUCGCACAAUUGGUAGGCCUUCGUUAUUAACUUGUUAAAGCUUGUAUAAAUUUAAAAUAUCCUAAAUUAGAUCAAAUCUUGUCUAUUUCCCCACAAGAUUUAAAGUUAAGGGUCCAAACUCUUUUAACUCCUAAGACAGCAACCCACAAAUUCAUAGUUCACUAAUUUAAGCACACCAACACCAAUAAAAAAAAACCAAAUUCAUUGUCUUGUCUGGAUCCAACUAGCCCAAUUAGUGUUUCGAACUCACUGACUAUGUCUAAUGUAUAGUCUCGCCCAAGUUAUGUCUACUUCUCCACUUGAGCCCACACUCCUAGGUUAAUAAAUGGAAACCCAAUUUUAGGAUGGAAAUUUGUGUGGAAAAUAUGAUUGUUUUUCCCUAAAGAAAUUAAACUUUUUGCACCUACAAUUCUUUAGUGAAUUGCGAAUAUCAAGAUGUGCUCGUGAUUCUGAUUGUGCUUCAUUCAACUUGACAGACAAUUAGUAUCCUGCCAACUCUCCUCUUGACAACUUAUAAUGACACAAUAUAAGUUAAAAAUAACUACAAAUUCCAUCUCUCAUUCCUUAAUCUUAAUUUGAUUAAUAUUUAUAAAUUUUGAUAAACAGGGAAGUGAUAUUUUUAAAGAAUCAGCAUAUUUUAGUUAUUUGUAGACACCUGGCAUCCAUGCUUAUCAAUUAUCAUGUGUCUAGGGCAAUGCUGUAGUCUACACUCCCUUAGUUUGGGGUAAAACUAUGGAUUGCAUAUUUGCAUUUUAGAAUAAGAAUAGGGAUAUUUGAUAUCUAAUCCUUCAUCUUCUCUUCAUUUUAGUAGCAGCAGAAACCUUUUUAUAUUCACUAAUAACCCCACAUCUUUAUUUUAAUCAUUUCCCUAUGGAUACGGGAAACAAGUGAUUUUCUUUUUAUCAAAUUAUUAUUCCUUUUUCUUUUUAUGUGAAGCCUAGAGAUAUGAGAAAGGUUGUAUAUAUUUGUUAAUUGCCAUCUCAUAAAAUCAACUUAAAUUAACACCACAUUAACCUUACUAAUCAUAUUUAAUGUGAUUUGAUAUUUUGAUGCAUAAUUGACUAACUUUUAUGGAUAAAAUAAGGAUUAAAAUUGAAUUAUAAAUUUUUAAGAGGUUAAAAUAUAAUAUUUUUUAAAAAAGAUUAAACAAUUUUUUUCAUUUUUUAAAAGAUGAAAUUGUAAUGUUAUUAUAUAUUAACUUAUAAUUUUAUCGAUAUUGAAUUACAACUUUCUAUAUUAAGGGAGACUACCUACCCUCCAUAGAUUCACCUAUAGAUAAAACUACAAACCCUCGUUGAUUGCCCCUACUUAAUUCUAAAUGUUAAAUUCUAGUUUUCUACUUCAUCCUAAUAAACUUUAGGGUAAACUAUAUAAAUAGUCACUCAAUUAUGCUCGCGUUCUUGUUUUGGUUAUCCACUUUUAAAUAUUUUCAAUUUAAGUACUAAUAUUUGCAUUUGUUCCUAUUUUGGUCACCAAUCGUUACAUUGAGAACGGAAAGUCUUUUUCUAAUUGAUAUAAUAACACAUUUAGUCCUCAGUACUUACAUAUUCUAUCAAUUUGAUCCUAAUUCUAAAUAAUUUAAUAAAUUCAACCAUUCACAUUUACAAAUUCUAUCAAUUUGAUCCUCAAUCUUACAGACCAUAGCUUUGAACUCUUAAAAGAAAGGCAUUCCACAUCUAUAAAUUUGUAAAACCCAAACAAGAAAAAAAAAACUUCUCUCAACUAACAAGUCAUAUUCCAAGCCAACUCCUGAUAUCAAUGAGUUUAUCUUAAAACUUUAAUUAAUUUCCCUUUUUUUUAUCAUUUUUCUUCUAAAUAUAAUAUUUUAUAACCCUUUGGUUGAUAAAAUUUUUGCUAAAGAAAAUGGAAAAACCUAAAAAAAAAAAAGAAAAAAAAGAAAAGAGAAACACUUUAGAUUUACUCUUGUUGUUAAUAGUAUGAUAUUUCCUUCAAGGCACAUAGAAAUAGUCCUCGAGGUUGGUUCUUAAAUUUGGAAAUUAAAUCCAAAGUUAAAAAAUAUAGCUUUAAAAACUUCAAUUGUUCAAUCAAUAAUUAUAUGAGAACAAAGUUAUAAACUUUACAUUUUUAUAAGAAAAAAGUGUGAAAGAAUUAAGAGAUUAUUACGUGUUCUAUUUUUCUCUAAUUUUUAAAUUCAUAAUAAGCAAUAUGUAUCACUAAUAAUUUGAUUUAGUGUCAAAUCAUUUACAAAUUAAUUAAAAACUUAAGUUAUGCUAGUCAGGUUGAAAUUAUAAUUUACAAAUAUUAAAUUAUUUAUGUAAUUUUAUUAUAUACUAUAUUUUUAGAAUUUUUAUUUUCUAUUAUUUUUAAUGGCGUUUAGUUAAUUUCUAACUCCAACUUCUUAAAAAUAUAAACAAAAAAAGUUAUGUAUCAAAUUGGAUAAUUUCAACCAUAAAUAAAACAAUUAAUAGAUGUGGAAUGUCUCUGUUUUAUAAGUUGAAAGCUUUGGUCAGGAAGUUUGAGGAUCAAAUUAAUUGAAUUUGCAAUUUAUUGAAUAAUUUAGAAUUAUGAUCAAAUUAAUAGAAUAUGUAAGAAUUGAGAACUAAAUGUGUUAUUAUACUAAUUAAAAAAAAGGCUUCCCGUUAUCAAUUUAACAAUAGUGACCAAAACAAGAACAAAUCAAAAGGUUAAUGUCUAAAUUAAAAAAUUUAAAGCUGAGCAAUUAAAAUAAAAAUCCGAGCAUAGUUGGAUAACCAUUUAUAUAAUUUAUUAUAAUUCUUAUUCCCUAACAUUUCUUAUUUAUUAAGUAUAUUUACUUUAUUAACGAAGUUAACUAGGUUUUUUUAGCCCAAACAUAGUUUUUUCAUUGCUACAAUAAUAUUUAAUUAACUUUUUUUUGCUACUCUUUUUUUAUUCAAUUUUGUUUUACUUAACUAAAUAUUAAAAAAUUAUAAACAUUUUAUUAUUAAAUCAAAAAAAAAUAUUUCAAAAUAAUCUUAUAUACACUAUGAAAAAUAGGUUUAAAUAGGGUAGAGAUCCCUGUACUCUUUUGAAAUUUAAAUUUAGUCCUUAUACUUUAAUUUUGAGGCAUUUAGUCAUUUUACUUUUUUAUUUAAAAAUCUUGGUCCCUUCGUCUAAUUUUAGUAUUAAGGUUAUUGAUGUAGUAAUUAAAAAUGGUAAAUUAACAUUUUUAGCCCUUAAUGUUUACAAUUUUUGUUAAAUUAGUCUUUAUUCUUUAAAACUGCAUAAAAAUUUUAAAAAUUAAUUUUUUUUCACAUCUUAAAUAAAAUUAAAAAUUAAAAAUAUAAUUUUUAAGAAUUUUCAAAAAUUAUGAAAAAAAUAAAACUCUUUAAAUUCAAAAAGUAAAAAAAAUAAAUAUUAUUUUCAAAAAAUAAUUUAAAAAAUUAAAAAAGAAUCCAAAAUUCAAUAUUGUCUUAACCAAACCAGACGGCCAGUUGGACCAAGAAUCGGUUGAGGUAUCAUCCAGCAACAAGUAAAAAACGGUUGACUUACAAACAGAUACAAACUGGUUGAAUCGGGCUAAAAACUGAUUGAACCGAUUUUAUUUUUUAUUUUUUACUUUUUUGAAGUUUUAAUAUUUUUUGCUUUGAAUAGGUCAAACUAGGAACUAGUGGUUUGAAGAAUUCAACUACUGGUGGUUCCAAAAAUUAUUGCUUGAAUUUUUGGAAAUUUUUAUAUUUUUCAAUUUUAAAAUUAUUUAAAAUUAUUUAAAAUAAUUUUUAAAUGAUUUUUAUUUUUAUUUUUAAGAGUUUGUAGUUUUUCACAAUUUUUAUUGAUAAUAUGGAAAAAAAUACUUUUAUUUUUAAAAAAAUAUGUUUUUGUAUUUGCUUAUGUACUUUUAAAGAGUAAAGAUCAAAUUUACAAAUAUAUAUAUAUAAAUAUUGAGGUCUAAAAAAAUUAUUUUACAUUUUUUUUAAUAAUGGUCAUAUCAACAAUUCUAACAACAAUGUUGACAAAGAGAUCAUGAUUUUUAAAUAAAAAAUACAAGAACUCAAUGUCUCAAAGUUAAAAUAUAAGAGUUAAAUUUUAAAUUUUAGAAAAGUACAGGGACCUUUGGCAUAUUUAAACUUUAUAAACAAUAAAUAUAAUAAAAAGAAUUAGUUAAAUAAAAUUUAAAUUUAACUAAUUAAAGCGUAAUUUAUAACAUUUUUCAAUGAAUAUGAUAAUUUUAUUUGUUUAUAGUACUAAAUUAAGGUAAAGUACAGAAAUGGUCCUUAAAGUAUUGCCCGUGUUCUAUUUUAGUCACUAAACUUUUAAAUUUUUCUAUUUUAGUUACUAAACUAUACGAAAUCAAAUAUUUUGUCACCGAUCCUUAAGAGCCAUUUGAAUAUUAAUGGAAGUGCUGAUGUGAGAUUUUUUUUAUUGGUCUAAUAACAAAUUUAGCCUUUUAAUGUUUACAUAUGCUAACAAUUUAAUUCAAAAUAUAAAAUAUUCAACAAAUUUAGUGCUUAAUGUUUACAAAAUUUGUCAUUUUAGUUCAAAUUCUAAAAUUUCAAUAAAUUUAGCCCUCAAAAUUUAGAAAAUGACUAAAUUUCCGUCUCUUUUAGCCUGGAACUUGCACCCCAAAAUAGAUGGAAAAGUUAACAUCUAUUAACUUUAUUGGUGUGGCAAUCCACAUGUAUUCUACUAAAAAAAAUUUAAAAAUAUAUAGAAAAUUAUUUAAAAAUGAAAAAAAAUUAAAAAGUAUUUAAAAUCCAAAUAUAUAUUAUUAAAAGUUAAAAAAGAAUAUAUAAAAUAUGGUAAAAAUAUUAUAAAGCUGUGGUUUCCAAUUAAAGCUAAGUGGAGCACCUACUUGUAUAUAAUCAUCUCAUUGUUGUGUAAUGAAGAACAAGAAAUACGACAACAUUUUUCUUCAUAUUUUAUGAGGUAAAAACUCAAUUGAAUUCUUUUUAAUGACUUUUUAUAGCUAUAAAUGCUUGUUAUACAAGUAGGCAUAAGCUAAAUAAAUAGAAAAGGGAAAGUGCAUCUCUCUUAAUUUCAGUAGCAAAAUAGAGAUGUGGAAAUAUCUAAGAAAAAAUGGAAAAUAUUAAAAAAAAGGAAUAAAGGGCAAGUGGCAGAACCCCCAAAGCAAAACUUGUGUUGUAAAAAUAAACUCUGAAAGUGUACAUAUGUUUUGAUUGUCCCACCUUUCCUUCCAAAUAUUCUAUCUGAGGCCAAACCCCAUAGCCCACAGGUCCAAAACUCCCCCAUUGAUCCCCUCACCCCUUCCAAUUUCCACUCCUUUUGAUCUUUAUUUCCUCACCUUGACAUCCAUAUUCCUCCGCAGAUUUUUUCCUUUGAUUGAAUCUUCAUUUUCACCCUCACAAUGCACUUCCAUGGGUUACCAACGUUUGCAUGCUUCUUUUAAUUCUCACCCAGUUUUUGAUUCACUUUCGAUCUCCCCUUUCCCACCACAUAAAAGAUCUCUCUCUUCUUGUUGGCCACUAGUUCACUAGUUUUUUAUCAGUCAAUCAAUUAAAAAGUUAACCAGUUCUUCAAUCUUUUUCUUCAUUUUCACACCAUCCCUUUUGUCCCUACACAUCUAUGAAUACACAUGUACAUACACUUUUUCUUUCUGGUUCUGGAUUAUUUUUAUUCCUAUCCAUUAAGUUGAACUUCUACAGAUAUGGCUAUAUAUUUCACGACAUUCAAUCACAACUUAAUUCCACCAUUUAUAUAAAAAAAAUUCUUACAUAAGCAAAUUUAAAUUAUAAUUAUUUAAUUGAUUAAGAAUAAUGGGAAAAUUUUGCAUGACAAUUCAUAACUCGUAAUGAGUUAUCCUCAAACCCUUAAAGAGGAGGAUAGAACGUGCUUAAGUGUGCUCAAAUUCCCCGUUUUCUUGUACUAGCAAUAAUGUCAAUGCCAACUGAAAUAAGGCUCAAUCGGCUAUAAUUAUUUUAAAUUUUAAUUAGAUAAUAUUUUAUUUAGAUAAAUGAAUAAAUGUAAAAAAUCAUCUAAGUCAAGUUUUAAAUUAUUUUAAAUAGAUACUAAAAGUUUCAUGAAUUAGAUAUAUUGUUUGACUAUGUUUCAUUAAUAUUAAAUUUAUUUUAGAAGGUUUUAACGUAAAAGCAAGAAAAAUUGUUUUAUUACCAAUAAAGGUAAUUGAAACAAACGUUUUUAUUUGAGUCCUAGCUAUAUACCAUCUCAACUCAACCGAAAGGAUUGUAUGAAACUGUAAUUCCGCGUUAUCCUUAUUCCUUUCCAAUAGGACAAUGACAAAUCAUAUUUUUUCUCCUGAUUUUCAACAUUUUUAGUUGAAUUUAAUUUUUUUCAAGGAUGAAAAAUCUGAUUUCAAAUACAUUUAAACUCAAACAAUAAAAUGUAGAGAGAAAAAAAAACCUCUUUUACCAUAGAUAGAACCCACUUAUACAUUUUAUUCACUAUCUCAAUAAGCGGCCAGUUUUGGCCAAACGAAUACAAAUAAGAAAGGAAUAUAGCCUUUGAAUCUAGGGUGAUUUUAUCUUGUUUUAUACACUUCUCUUGUCCCCAUACACACAAAAUUAUAGAACUUAAGUUUCAGAUUCCACAUAUAUUUCUCUCUCUUUUUUUAUUUCCAUAGUAAGGAAUAUAGCCUACCACCUUCACAACAUUGUAUAUAUAUACUUCCCCCUAGGCUAUAUGGAACUUCAAGCUAUGUUCAUUUCCAUGACAUUCCCGAUGUGGUUUUGGCCAUCAUAUUCUCCUUAGUUGCUGAUACCCGUACUCGCAAUGUCAUGUCCCUUGUAUGUCUGAAAUGGCACUUGCUUGAGCGUUCCACUCGCAAAUCCCUCACCCUCCGUGGCAACAUCCGCAAUCUCUUCCUCCUCCCCACUUGCUUUCGAGCCGUUACCCAUCUCGACCUUUCUUUGCUCUCCCCAUGGGGACACCCUCUUCUUGAUUCCUCUUCAAACCCGCUUCUUCUCGCUCAACUCCUUCGGCAUGCAUUUCCCUCUGUUGUUUCUCUAGUAGUUUAUAUCCGUAACCCUUCAACUCUCCAUCUUCUAGCUCCCCAAUGGCCUAACUUACGACAUGUUAAGCUUAUACGUUGGCAUCAACGUUUGCCUACAGAACCUCUUGGUUCUGACUUUACUGCCCUUUUUGAGUAUUCUGGUAUGCUUUCCUCACUUGAUGUUUCACUUUUUCAUUCCUGGACUGAAGAUCUUCUACCUGCCAUUAAAGCCUACCCUUUGAUUGCAGCUUCUCUUUCUCAUCUUAAUAUCCUCAAACAUUCUUCAGCUGAGGGAUUCAAGUCCUAUGAGCUUUUAGCCAUUACUGCUUCCUGUCCAAACCUCCGUAAAUUGCUUGCAACAUGUAUAUUUGACCAUCGAUUUAUUGGAUUUGUUGGCGAUCAAACCUUGCUUGCUCUUGCUUCCAAUUGUCCUUGCCUUUCUUUACUUCACCUUGUUGAUGCUACGUCUUUGUCCAACAUUAGGCCUAAUCCAAAUGAUGAGGGUUACACAUCUGAAGAUGCAAGUAUCAGUCAUACUGCACUUGGAGAUGUAUUUGCUGGAUUGCCACUACUUGAAGAGUUGGUUCUCGAUGUUUGCUACAACGUUAGGGAUACUUGGCUGGCGUUGGAAUUGCUUAAUUCCAGGUGCCCCAGGCUUAAAGCCUUGAAGCUGGGACAAUUCCAUGGAAUCUGUAGGGGCAUAAAUGCUUGGCUAGAUGGGAUCGCCCUUUGCCAAGGGUUGGAAUCUUUGUCAAUCAAGAAUUCUGCUGACCUAACCGAUAAAACAUUAGAAGCCAUAUCUCUAGGCUGCCCCAGACUGUCCAAGUUUGAGGUUUUAGGAUGUAAAAAGAUCACAGGCAAAGGGAUGUGGGAAUUGACUCACGCUCUUAGGAAAACUUUGGUCCAUGUCAAAAUUUCUUUCUGCAAAAACUUUAAUGCAGUUUCUUCAUUGCAGGCAAUAAAACCAAUUCGAGAUCAGAUUGAAAGGCUCCAUAUAGAUUGCGUGUGGAACACCCUUGACAAUUCAGAAAACCAGACAAGAAGUAGUUCAAGUCAGGAACUAAGUGAAUUAUACAACUUACAAGCAAGAAAGAGAGACAUGAUCAAGGAAGAGAAAAGGUUAAAAAAGAAAAGCAAGUCCCACUUCCACGAUGUCGGGGACGAAAACUUGUUCUCUUCUAGGACAUGGUCCAAACUACAUCAUCUUUCCCUUUGGAUAGGUGUAGGUGAGUUGCUCACUCCAUUAUCCUUGGCAGGUCUAGAUGAUUGUCCAGCGUUGGAAGAGAUAGAAAUAAAGAUUGAAGGUGAUAGCAGAAAUCAACAGAGGCCUUGCAUGGAUUCACUAGGGUUGCGUUCCUUAGCUUGUUAUCCAAGGCUUUCAAGGAUGCUCUUGGACUGCAGUGGAGUCAUAGGUUAUGCUCUUACAGCUCCCCUAGGGCAGGCAGAUUUGAGCUUGUGGGAGAGGUUUUUUCUAAAUGGGAUUGAGAUAUUGAAUCUUAAAGAGCUCAACUAUUGGCCGGCACAGGACAUGGAUCUGAAUCAGAGAAGCCUAUUUCUACCAGCAGCAGCGUUGCUAGCGCAAUGUGGGAGCCUAAGGAAACUGUUCAUUCAUGGAACGACAAAUGAACACUUCAUGAUGUUCCUAUUGAGAAUCCCAACACUCAGGGAUGUUCAAGUUAGAGAAGAUUAUUACCCUGCACCUGAGAAUGAUACAAUCACAGAGAUGCGAGUUGAAUCUUGUCGUCGAUUCGAGGAUGCUCUCAAUAGUAGCAAUCGUCAUAUUCCUGAUUAGAAAUAGUGUUCCAAGUUGCUAAAUUCCUACUACUUUCAAGCCAGAGAGGAGCGUAAAUAACUUUUUCCUAAUAAAAAAUUCAAUAUAUGUUUGUAUUAAGGUUCCUUUGUGCAAUAUUUUCAAAAUUAAGUAUGGAUUGGGAUACAAUCUCAUGUUGUUAAAUGGUAUAGAAACAACAAUUCAAUUGUAUCUCUUUUAUGUACGAUAGGGGAUACUAUUUUGUCCUAUACAUCUUAUUAAAUAUAAUAAUAUAUACAAAAUAUUUAUAAAUUAAAAAUAAUAAUAUUUAUAAAUAAUUUCCAAAUUUUAUAACAAAUAAAAAAAAUCAGAUACUUAUAAAAGUUCCAAAAAUCCAAAAAUAUGAAGAUUUAAAAAAAAACCUCUAGAAAAAUUAAUUAAUGUCAACCACUUCGACUGUCACUUGAAAAAAAAGUGUCAUAUCAACUAAAAUUAAGUAUCAAAGACAAAGACAGAGAUGAAAAGCAUAUAACUUAAUUAAGUUUUGAAUAAAUUUUUAGAAGGCUUAGCAUUUAAGAGAAAAAAAAAUAAAAUGAUUUAAAAACAAAAUAAAACAAAACAAAAAGAAAGGGUAUAUUCUAAAAGAGUAUGCUUUAUCAUACAUGGGUUCAACUGUUAAUUUGUGGACAAUGAUAAAGUAUGUGAAGCUUCAUUGUCCAUCUCACCAUGAGGAUAGGGUAUCUAUUCCAAUGGCACUUCUGUGUAUAUAGUGCGGCAUGGUGGAGUUGCUCUAUCCUGUAGAUUACAUUUUAGUUUUUAAUUAGAAAAUGUGUAAAUUAAUUUAUAUAUAUUAGAUAAGUGAGUAAAAUAACUCUCAAUUAAAAUUGUAUGGUUAAAUGUUUGUUUUAGUGUUUAUAUAUAAGGUAUAAUAAUAAAUUUAGCCCUUAACCUUUACAACUGUAAUGACCCGAUUUUCAGUGAUGUCGAAAAAUAUGAUUUUGGAACCCCAUUUUUAUAAACCGAGUUCAUAAUGACGAAAUAUAAAUAUUUAUGAAGUUACUAUGAAAAUAUAAUAAAGAGUGUUAAGUAAUCAUUUUGGUCCUUUGGAUAAUUAUUAUAUAAGUCCCCAAGAAUUUUCUUAAUUAAAAUUCAAUAGCGUUAGACUUCUACAAUUUACUCCUUAAGCUUUAAUUAACUAAUUUCUCGGUUAAAUUACUUACCCGGACUUAAAUACAUGUAACAACCUUAAUUUGUAUCUGUCACCGAGAUCGGGUCACGGAGUAUUACGAUAACAAUUUAAACAUUUAAAAUUACUAUCUUAAAAAUAUUCAAUUAUAAUUACAAUUGAAUCAAUCUCAAAUCAUUCAUAAUCUAACAUGCACUUACGAGCCUUAAAACGAGUCUACGAGACCCUAAAAAUAAAUUAGAAACAUUCUGGGGUCAAUUCGAAACCAAACGGAAAAGUUAAGAAAAUUUAAAAAUUUUUGAAUACAAGGGACACAUGGUCGUGUGGCCAAGUCGUGUGUCACAGCCCAGACCGUGUAGACAUUUGAUGUUGAGUCACACGACCAUGUCGCUGGUCGUGUCUCAGACCAUGUAACAGUCUGUUUUAACAAAUGGCCGUGUGGAUAGACUAUGUGGGUCAUGUAACACCCCCAUACCCGACCCGGUCGCUGAGUCAAGGCAUCAGGAUGUCACAUUCGUUGCCGAAGCAACUACUGAAAAUUUCAGAUCAAUGUAUCAUAUUAUUUAAUUAAUAUAGAUCAUUAACUCAUUUCAGUAAUAAUUGAAUUUAUGAUAGAACUAAUUAUGAGUUAAAGGAGCUCAUUAAAACAUCCAUAAUUGAUCAAAGACCAAAUUGUAUAGGUCAUAAAAAAUUUUGAACUGCCAUCGCGACGUUGGGGUUUACACGUCGUGACAUGGCGAACUUGUCAUCGUGACGUCGUCUCCAUUUUCCUACAAGUUCCACGCUUUAUUUUUAUUUAUUUAUUUAUUUAUAUCAUUACCUAAACCAUAUUCAGAUGUCAUAACCGCCACUUCAUUUUACAUAUCAUCGACUUACAUCUAUUUCUAAUCUCAAGUCCUUAUAAAAACAUUAUAUUCAAUCAAAGAUAACAAAGUUUAUAAAAUUAAUACAAAUAUUAAAGUUUUACAAAUAAGACUAUUGGAGGACUUGCACUUUCAAAGUAGUUUACCCACUUUAUGUAUAUUUCAUAUUUAUUUCUAAAUUGUAUCAAUCAAUUUAAUUCUUCAUAAAAUUUUAACAAGAAUUCAAUAUCACAUCAAUUAACAAUUAUUCACUUAUUAUUUUAUCAAUUCGUUUAAACAUAUUCACAUGUAUUAAUCAUUCCAUCACUUACAACUAUUUCGAAACAUUUCAAAUUCGUCUACUAUAUAUAUAUUCAUAUAUUUUUUCCUCCUCCUCCUCUCCAUUCCACAUCCUUUAUGUAUAUAUUUAUUAGAAUCUUUAGCUUUUAGUAUAUAACAUGCUUAUAUGUAACAUUGUCUAUAAUUCCACUAUUUACUUAUAUGUUCAUAUCAAAGAUGUCCACUUGAGUCAUAGUCACUAAAUUAUUUAUAUAUUGAGCUACAGAAUUCGAAAUUAAUAUCCGCUUGAUGUUUUUGAAACUAGACUCAAAUAUCUUUUUACCAUAAAAAUUUUAGAAUUUAUAAUUUAGCCAAUAAGUACAGUAAAUUAUUCAAAUUUGUCCUUGUUCUGUUGCUUGACAGCUUCGACCUUUCUUUACUAAAAAUUAAUUAUCUCUUAGUACAGGGUUUGGAUGAUUUUUUCGUUUGUUUCUAUUGAAAAUAGACUCAUUAAUAAUUUAAACAUAUAAAAUUAAACUCAUAAUCAUUUUUUUUACAAUUUUUUAUGAUUUUCCAAAGUCAAAACAGGGGAACUCGAAUUCACUCCGACCUUGUUUCACGAAAAUUAAUAUAUCUCAUAAAAUCUCGUUUCUUUCACCGUUUCUUCCAUAUGAAACUAGACACAAUAAGCUUUAAUUUCAUAUUUAAUUCAAUCUCUAACUAAAUUUCUUUAAUUUUAGGUGAAUUUUCAAAGUUAAGUCAUUGCUACUGUCCAAACUAUUUUAAUGAAAAUAUUUUCUUUUCCAAGGUUCUUUGCACUAUCUUUCAUUCAAUCACACAUAAUUGUCAUGCUUUUGAUUACUAUACAAUUUAGUCACUUAUGUUUAUGUUUAGAUUACAUAUUCAUUUCUUAAUCUUAGUACUUUUCACCAUGCAAAUCACAUUUUCUCUUACCAAUUUAGUGUUUUAAGUCUCUAUUCUUCAUCAAAUACUUUUUAUUUCUAGUAUUUAGAUUAAAUACAUGUUUCAUACAUCUCACUUAAAACAUCUUUAACUCAAUCUAUUGAAAUACAAGUAGGUUUAGUAUGAAACUUACCAACUUUGUCAAGAAUUUCUUCAUUUCUUCUUUAUUUCCAUGCAUUUCUUAUCUUCACCACUUUUCUUCCUUUUUCUUCUCAUUUUUUUUCCACUUUCAUCUAUUAUUUUCUUGCUUCUAAAUUGAUAAGUAUAUUCUCUAGAAUCUCUACUUCAUCUUCUCUCUUUAACAUCUAAGGAAAUUUUCAAAAAUUUUGGGCAAAAAGAUAGGUUUUCAUGGCAAAAGACUAAAUUGUAAAGAAAAGAAAACUUCAUUUAUCAUCCUUUCACUCACGUUGGAAGGAUGAUAAAUUUCCUUCAUCCUUCCUUUAUCUAAGUAAAAUAUUAAUAAAAUAAUAUUUAACUAAUUAAUUAAAAAAACCACCAAAAUAUCAUCAACAUCAUUAUUACAUUCUAGAAUUCUCCCUGUUGCUAAUUGACCAUUUUACCCUUUAUGAUUUUUUAAAAUUCCAUCAUUGAAUUAUCACUUAAUUUGGUAAAAUUACGAUUUAGUCCCUCACAAUUCUUCACCUAUUCAAUUUGGUCCCUGUAGGCCUAUUCCAUAUCUUAGGAAAUUAGAUUAUUUUCACUUUUGGUCUUUCAAAAUUUUCAUUUUUACAAUUCAAUCCCCUAAAUUUUGAAUAUUUACACUUGAGCCAAAAAAAAUUAACAUAUUUACAAUUUAGUCCCUUCCUUAAUGCAUUAUGUCAUGCUUUUUGAUUUAACUCACUGUUGAUAUAUUUCAAGUUUCAUUUUCUUUGAUCUUAUACCUUAUUUCGGUAAGAUUUUAUCUCACAUUAUUUACGACCAAGGGGGUUUUGAGGAUGUUAUAGGUCACACGGCUGCGUGGCAGCCCGUGUCCCAGGCCGUGUGCACCAAAUUUUGCUUCAAAAAAAAGGUAAACUUUACACCUAACUUGGCCACCAAUCCAAACCUAAAAACAUAACCAAAAAUACUCUCAAACAAAUCAAAACAUACCAAUUACCUACAAUUCAUGUGCCUAACCAAUGUGCCAUUCAAAUGAACCUCAAACAAAGACUAAUUAUCUCAUAACCUUGUUAAAGAGCAUAUGACAUUAACCACUUUCUCAUCCUCAAUCAACAUUCACCAAAAUGACCAAAUAUAACCAAUAUUACCAAGUUCCAUUUUACAAAGUAUUUACCAAUUCACAUCAAUAAUAUACACAUCCAAAAGAGUCAAGCUUAUCAACAUGCUUAUUUCAAUCACAACUAUAUACAAACAUUUGUUUCAAGACAUAACAUAAUUUUAAAUUUUAUAUGACUUUCAAUAUAAGUAAAUUAUACUAGAUUCAACCAUAGACCUAAAGACUAUUAGUCAAAAUAUCAUUAUCCUAGGUACAUGCCAUGACACAAAAAGAAAUACGUCACAAAUGUUGAGUUCAAGAUUUGUCGUGGAUGCUGAGUCAUUGAAAAAAAGUUUGCGCCCAGCGCUAGUCGAAUGAAUCGACAAUGGUUUCCUGCACUUCCAACACAAGAUCAGAUAAUCUCUAUUCCAUCAUAUCAUAACUAAACUUCUCAAGUUUACCAAUAUUGCUCUUCAUCAACUUAUUCAAUUCAAUAUACAACCCAUAAUUAUACACAUAAAUCAUUUAUCCAUAACCAACCAUUUAAAACUAUUUACUCAAUCAUUCAAUUAUUCUAAUUCAAAGGACUUAAGCUUGGCCGAACUGUUAAACUAAGCUUUAUUUGAUAAAGGAUUUUGAUAUAACAAAUUAAAAGUAUUUUUGAAUGUAAGAUAAAAAUGAUAAAAUAUUUUUUAAAUUUGAAUUCUAAGAAAUAAAAAUAUGAAUAUUUACAAUAAACUCUUAGAGAAUUUUGAAACAAUUUUAAAAUCAAGUGAAAAUUAUUUUAACCAAGUUAAAAUGAUCUUAAUUAAGUUAAAAUCAUUUUAACACAUCAAAAUGAUUUUCAAACAAGUCAUAAUUAUUUCAGGCCAAAAAGUAUCGAUACCAUUUGACCAAGUAUCGAUAAUUUUUUUUGAAAUAUCGAUACCCUUAGAAAAAUCGAGACCAAAAAGACAUUCUAUCAAAACCCUAAAAAUUAUCGAUACCAUGUUUUUGGUAUCGAUACUUUUUGAAAAUAAUCGAUACCUUUCUUCAAAACGAUACCAAACCCUACAAAGUACUGAUCUGGUAUCGAUACCUAUUUUAGGAAGUAUCGAUAAAAUAUUUUUAAAGUAUCGAUUAUUUUAUUCCAAUAUCGAUACCCUUUUUGGAGGUAUCGAUACUCGCUGUUACAGGUGAAAUAAAUGUUCUGGUUUUACAUCCCCAACGGCCAUAUUAAGUUCACCAACAACCUCAACGGCUGUAAAUCUAUUAGAGGGUAUAAAUACCAUCUUUUAAAGUCCUACAACAUCCAAGAAAAUACUUUCAAGCAAAAAUCAUCAAUCAAACAACCUUAGAACUUAAAUUUUCAUAUUCUUCGUACACACACUUGUGAGUUUUAUCUUUAUUCUUUUGCUCAAGUGUAUCUCAUUGUAUUUGUGCUUCAAUUUGCAAACAAUUUUAUCUAUCUUGUAAGAAUUGUUUCUUUGUUUGCUCAUUUGUAUCUCUUUGAGAGGGCUUGAAACUUAAGAUUUGGGGUAGAAAUCUUAAGGAGUUGUAAGGUUAAACAUUAUUCUCAAAGGUUAGAACAAAUUAGUGAAUUUGGGAAAAUCCUUAGUGGUGAAAAGCUAAGGUAGUGGAGUAGGCAAUUGGGGCCAAACCACUAUAAAUUCUUUGUGUUCAUUGUUUCAUUCUUAGCUUUUCUUGCACCAAAUUUUUUAAAGGCCAAUUCACCCCCUCUUGGCAUUUUCGGUUUACUUCAUCAAGAUAUCAAUAAUAUUUCAUGCAAUUAAUACAAUUAUAAAACUUAAAUAAGUUGUUUUAUACAAUUCAAUCCUUCCAUCAUCAUUUUACAAAAUUACCCUGACAUUUUACCUUUCACGCAAUUUAAUCCCUAAGUCUUAUACUUGUAAAUUCACUAAACUUAAUCAUUACUCAUGUUGGCCGAAUAUUCUAGGGACCUAUUACAGCCCAUAUUUAUCAUUAUUUCACAAUAUUUCUAUGAAAUUUAACUAUUUUCAUAAAUAAGUCCCUAAACCAUAAAAUCACUAAAAAUCACUUGACAAAACUUGUUUAUUUAACCACCAAAUUUAAUAAUCUAUCAUCUAAAUUCAAAAUAUAUUCAAAAUAUAUCAUGGCAAGUCCCUAAAAUUUUAACAAAUUUAUAAAUUAACCCCGGGCUAGCUAGAUUAAGCUAAAAUGAGUUCAAAAAUAUAAAAAUUAUUUAAAAUGGAUAAAAAAAAUCAUACCAUGCAAAGGACUUAAGCUUGGCUGAACCUUGAGGAUGCAAAAAUGGUGGUUUUUCCUUCUUCAUUUUUGGUGAUAUUGGAGAAGAAGAUGAUAGCUUUCUUUGAUUUAAUCUUGUUUUAAUUUAAUUUAUUUAAUUACCAAUUUACCCUUAGUAUAAUAACUAAUAACUACAAGAAUUUGUCCAUAAAUGUCCACUUGCCACCUUUGUGGUUUAUUUACCAUAUAAGCCCAUUAAUUAUAGAUUCCAUAUCCAUUUGACCCAUUUAGCAAAUAGAAUUCCACUUUUGCAACAUUUACGAUUUAAUCCUUUUUACUUAAUUAACUAUCUAAACCUUAAAAAUUCUUUACCAAAUUUUAAUACAACCUUAAUAACACUCCGUAAAUAACGAGAUCUCGAUAGCUCAUUUUUUAAAACCACUUGAACCUAACUAUUCAUUCAAACAAUAUAAAUUAUUAAAUCAAAAUUUAUUACAACACUAUAUUUGACUCGUAAAUAUUAAAUAAUAAUAUUUACAGACUCGUUUGUCGGAUUUGUGGCUCCAAAACCACUGUUUUCGAUACCACUGAAAAUGGGCUGUUAUAGUAUAUUUUUAUAUUAACUCUGUAAAUAUUCUUAUUUCAUAUUUACGGACUUGGUUUACGGAAAUGGAGUUUCGAAAUCUUUUUUUCUACACCACUAGAAUUCGAGUCGUUACAUCGUAUAAGGCUCGUUUAAGAUUGUAUAUCAUGUCAUAAUGAUGUUCUGGACUCAGUAAUAUGUAUUAAUUGUUAAAUUGAACUGUAAUCGAUCGUAGUUGUUCUGAUAACGUAUGUGACAUUUUGUAGCUCAGACCUGGUGAUUGGGUCACUAUGGGGUGUUGCAACAAUAUUUAUUCAAUUUGAUCUCUACUCUUUUAUUAGAUAUAAAUUAGAAAUUUUGAAACUAAUAAGGCUAAAGGAUAAAAAAAGGCCAUAAUAACAAUUUUAAAAAAUCAAUUAAGUCCUUUUAAAAUUUAAAAUUUAUUAAAAAAUUAAAAAAUUUAUAAAAAAUUUUAUAAAAAAUUAAAAUUAUAAAAUUUUCAUUAAAAAAAAUAAUACCAACCCAUUAAAAUCUAAUGGUUAUAAGUUUUUUUUUAAAAAUUUUGAUCCUUACUCUUUUAUUGGCUUGGUAUUGUUAUUUUUAAUAAAAAUGUAAUUUUAAUUUUUUUAACUUUUUAAAUGAUUUUUUAAAUAAUUUUUAAAAUUUAAAAGGUCUUAAUUGAUUUUUUUAAUUUGUUACGAACUGCUUUUUGAUACUUUAUCCUUAUUAGUUUAAAAAUGUUCUAAUCUACUUCCAAUAAAGGAAUAUGAGUCAAAUUGAAUAAAUAUGUAAAGGUUGAAGGCUAAAUUUUUUUUUAUUAUAUCUUAUAUAUACACACCAAAACAAACAUUUGACCAUGCAAUUUUAACAAAAGGGCUAUUUUGCUCACCCGUCUAACAUUUUGGUGAUACUUUUACCUUCUAUCCCGCUUAUUUAUAUGAAUAAUAAAACAAUAUUAUUUGAUUUAUUUUUAUUAAGUUUAAAGUAUUAUUAAAUAUAAAUAUAAAUAUAAAUUAACUAUUUAUUAAUUUUAUAAACAUCAAGUAGACCAAACAAAUUUACUGUAUAUAAACAUUUUAAUCUAAAAUUUUUAUGGCUAAAGGGCUUAAGGCCCUAAACUUUUUUUUUUUAAAUCAACUAAAAUUUUAUUUAUUUUCACUCAAUUGAGUCUUUAAACUUCAAAAUUACAUUUAACUAAUUCCUUUGGUCGUCAAAGGGUAAAUGCUGCCAUUUUGGGAGAUAUUUUCGUCAUGUGGCACGCCAAUAUUGUUUCACGUGGUGAAAUUUAGUGUUUUAUAUCUAAAAUUAUUCAAAAAGUAUUAAAAAUAUAAAAAUAUAGAAAAUAAAUAUAUAUUAUAAAAAUACAUAAACGUGAAAAAUUUUAUUAGAAAUUAUAAAAAAUAGAGAAGUGCAAAAAAUUUAUAUAAAAUUCACGUUAUAUGAAAUACGAAAAACUAAAAGAAGUAAAAAUUAAAAAAAAUUAAUAAUACAAAAAUAUUAAAAAUGAAUAAAUUUUACAAAAUAUUAUAAAAAGCAUAAAAAUAUUAGAAAAUAUAUAUGAAAAAAAUAAAAAUCAUUUUUUCAUUUGCACACUAACCAUCAUUUGACCCUCGAAACUAUUUGUUGUACACAUUUACUAUCAACCUUCCGGAGGCUUGUACCUUUCUUUCUAUCGUCAAUGUCAAGGGAGUGUUUUGAGAUGCAAAUUAAGGUAGGGAAAUAAGCUAAGAACACAAGGGACAAUAGAGGUUGUAUAUAAAAUUGUAAAUAUUUUUAAAAUUUGUAUCUUUUUUAAAAUUUUAUAUAAUUUUUAAAAUUUUCUAUUAUUUUUAAUAUUUUUUGCACUUUUCUAUAUUUUUAUAAUAAUUUUCUAUAUUUUAAAAUUUUCCAUAUUUUUAACAAUUUUUAUUUUUAAUUCAUAUAGUUUUAAAAUUAUUCAUUUUAAUAAUUUAUAUAAUUUGUAUAAUUUUUGAGACAUUUAUACUAUUUUUUUAUACUUUUUGCAUUUAUAUUUAUUUUUUAUAAUUUUUUUGUGAUUUUGAAUAUUUUAGUUUUUUAAUAAUUUCUUUUACGAUUUUCAGUAUUUUUUACCGAUUUUGAGAACAAAACAGCCCCAAAAGGGCAGCUGUUACCCCAAGGGGCUUAAUUAUUAUAAUUUUGAAGAUAAGGGGCUCAAUUGAGUGAAAAAAAAUAUAAGGGCUUAAUUGAUUUUUUUAGAAAAUUUCAGGGGCUUUUAGCUAUUUUUAUUAGUCAGGGUUUUUCAUUAUAAUACAUUUCAUUGCAACUGCUGCGUUUAAGUAUAAACAUAUUAAAGAAACAUGUGUAAUGAAUAAAAAAGAAGAAUUGGGUCAAAGCUACUCUUCUUUGCAAGCAAAAGACUAGUAGGUAGCAGAGUUGAGCAUUUAAGAGCUUAUGCAUUGUACAGAUUCCAUGUAUUUCAUUUUAUAUUUGAAUUUACAAUCAUUGAACAAAAGAUAAAAUAGAUACAACAAAAUGCCAACAUGAUCCUUGUGAUUAAUGUUAGCAACAGUUGAUUGAUCCUUUAUGAACUUAGACCUACCUUUAAUCAAAAAAAAUAUAGUGAGGUUAAUGUUUAUAGAUUUGUAAAGAAGAGAGUUGGAUGCAUCAUUUUGAUAGAUUAUAUAAUUAUAACCUAAUUGAUCAACUAUUUUCAAUGGUAAAUUAGAUGUAAAAUGUUGACUGUUAGAUUCAUCUCCAGCAACUAUCCCUACUCACAAGUCAACUGCACCCAAGUGUGAACAGCAGACGGGCAGGGCAUAACCACCAAAAUAGUUUGGUCUUUAUUUCUCAUGAAACUAAAUAUUUUUCCAUAAAACAUUUGAUUAAUUCAUAAGAUACCCUCAAAAACAUUGUUUCCCCCAUCUUCUUUGGACAGUUCCAGUGUUAUUUUGGUCACUUGCAAAGAAUGUUGUAGAGCUGACUGGUAGGCAUGGCUCAGUUAGCAUUAAUUUUCCACCUUAUAUACAAUACAAAUGCAAGAUUAAGAUCAGAUAUCACUGGCAACCCCGUUGAAAAAAUAUGGGUUUCCAAAGAAACAUAUUGGGUUUCCUUUUCUUGAUAUUGGCUUCACUAACAAGCCUCUCUUCUAGCCUUCCUAGUGAAUACUCCAUAGUGGAACAUGAGAUUGACGCAUUUCUUUCGGAGGAAAGGGUGUUGGAGAUCUUCCAACAGUGGAAAGAAAAGCAUCGGAAAGUGUACCGGCACGCCGAGGAGGCUGAGAAAAGGUUUGAAAAUUUCAAGGGGAAUUUGAAGUAUAUCCUAGAGAGGAAUGCAAAGAGAAAAGCAAACAAAUGGGAACAUCAUGUGGGAUUGAACAAGUUUGCUGAUAUGAGCAAUGAGGAGUUCAGAAAAGCUUACUUGUCAAAGGUGAAAAAGCCCAUCAACAAAGGGAUAACCCUGUCAAGGAACAUGAGGAGAAAGGUGCAGUCUUGUGAUGCACCCUCAUCCUUGGAUUGGAGGAACUAUGGAGUUGUGACUGCUGUCAAGGACCAAGGUUCUUGUGGUAAGAAAAUGCCCUACAUAUAGUGUAAGUUCCCCUUUGAGAAAAAACCUGAAUAACUGUGUCCUAUGUUUGCAGGAAGUUGUUGGGCAUUCUCAUCAACUGGAGCCAUGGAAGGAAUCAAUGCCUUAGUUACUGGAGACCUAAUUAGCCUUUCAGAACAAGAACUUGUAGAUUGUGAUACCAGCAACUAUGGGUGUGAAGGAGGAUACAUGGACUAUGCUUUCGAAUGGGUUAUAAACAAUGGCGGGAUCGAUAGCGAAAGCGACUACCCCUACACUGGUGUGGAUGGCACAUGUAACACCACCAAGGUCUGAUUCAUUUUUGUUUCAGUAGUUCAACCAGUUCUUCCUCUAAUUCUAAUGUAUUUGUCUUUAAUCAGGAGGAAACCAAGGUUGUAUCUAUUGAUGGCUAUCAAGAUGUAGAGCAAUCAGAUAGUGCUCUUUUAUGUGCCGUUGCUCAGCAACCUGUUAGUGUGGGAAUUGAUGGUUCCGCCAUUGAUUUUCAACUUUACACUGGUGUAAGUAUUUGUUUGGAACCUGGAAACUUUUUGUUUAAAACGAAAUUUUUGGGGUAAUGAAAUUCGUAUGGCAUGAUGCAUGAAUAGGGAAUUUAUGAUGGGAGCUGCUCGGAUGAUCCAGAUGACAUUGAUCAUGCUGUUUUAAUAGUUGGUUAUGGUUCAGAAGACAGUGAAGAGUAUUGGAUAGUGAAGAAUUCAUGGGGAACAAGUUGGGGGAUAGAUGGAUAUUUCUAUCUAAAAAGAGACACUGAUUUACCAUAUGGUGUUUGUGCUGUCAAUGCCAUGGCUUCUUAUCCAACUAAACAAUCCUCUUCACCAUCCCCUUAUCCAUCGCCAAGUGUUCCUCCACCGCCACCUCCUUCAACUCCACCACCACCACCACCUCCAUCUCCUUCACCAAGUGAUUGUGGAGACUUUUCCUAUUGUUCAAGUGAUGAGACAUGCUGUUGCCUUUUUGAAUUCUAUGAUUAUUGCCUAAUAUACGGCUGCUGUGAAUAU
rnacentral:lncRNA from 1 species